rnacentral:lncRNA from 1 species
UUAACCAAUUUCUUCAACUUUUAAUUAUUUAUCCAAUUUCAUAUACUUUUUUUCCCUUCUCUUCAAUAUAAAAAUGGUUAUACAAAGGGUUUUCUUCUAAUUUGUCUCAACAUUAAGUACCCUUUAGAGUUUCCGAUGCUCACCCCAAUCAUCAAGUAUAUUAAAUUGACCACCUUCAUUUAUUUUCUCAAAACAAUACUAAAAGAAAAUUCUUUAAAAAAAAUUAGCAUAUAAUACCGAAGUUUUAUUGGCAAAUCGGCAAAUUCUAAUAUCAUUUAUUUAUAUCCUCUACCUCUUCCAAAUUUAAACUUGGAGUGAUUAAAAGAAUAAUAAUAAUAAUAAUGUGCUUAGAAAACCACAAACCAAGCCCUAUAUCAUCAUAUCAUAUGAAUUUUUUUACAAAUUAGUUAAUUAUUAAUAUUUUGAUAAUUUAGGGACUCUCAUUCAACCAAAGUUGGAUAGCUCUCUCUAAUGGGGAAGGUAUUCGCAUCCAACCCACUAUCUCUAAAUGUACCCGACCCAACAUUCGAGUCAUGGCUACGUGACUCAGGAGGGUUUUUUAUUUAAAUAUCCCUAAUUUAUCUUUAAAUACCAAAUUUAUACCCUAUUACAUAUAUAUACCUCACGAAGAUAGGAAAAGUAAAAAAUAACCUUAAAAAAACUAAGAAUCCACACAUUUCUUCCUCUUAGUGCAGGAAGAAGUCGAGUACGAAGUCGAGUAAGUCGAGAAUUUAGUCGAGUAAGAAUUGGUCUAGUAGGAAGUCGAGUAAGCAUAUUAAAUGAGUCGAGUAUUAAGUAAAAGUCAAAUAAAUUUUUUUAACAAGUCGAGUAAAAUAUAUGUAAUUUUUAAAGAGGUCGAGUAUUAAGUCGGGUAAGUACAUUGAGUCGAGUAUUAAUAUUUUUAAAAAAGUGAAAUCUGGUAAGUUGAGCAUUCAAUCAAGCAAGAAGUGAAGGCAAUUGAAAAAGUCGAGUAUCUAGUCGAGUACGAAGUCGGGUAUGAAGUUUGGUAAGUUGAGCAUUCAGUCGAGUAAGAAGUGAAGGCAAUUGAAUAAGUCGAGUAUCUAGUCAAGUACGAAGUCGGGUAUGAAGUCUGGUAAGUUGGGCAUUCAGUCGGUAAGAAGUGAAUGCAAUUAAAUAAGUCGAGUAUCUAAUUGAGUACGAAGUCGGGUAUGGAGUAUGGUAAGUUAAGCAUUCAGUCGAGUAAGAAGUGAAGGCAAUUGAAUAAGUCGAGUAUCUAGUCGAGUAUGAAGUCGGGUACGAAGUCUGGUAAGUUGAGCAUUUAGUCGAGUAAGAAGUGAAGGCAAUCGAAUAAGUCGAGUAUCUAGUCGAGUACGAAGUCGGGUAUGAAGUCUGGUAAGUUGACCAUUCAAUCGAGUAAGAAGUGAAGGCAAUUGAAUAAGUCGAGUAUCUAGUCGAGUACGAAGUCGGGUACAAAAUCUGGUAAGUUGAGCAUUGAGUCGAGUAAAAAGUCGAGUAAGUAGAUUGAAUGAGUCGAAUAUUAAUUUUUUAUUGGUAUUUUAUUGAGGCUAUUUUUGUACUUUCCCUAAUUUAUUUAAGUAUGUAUGUGUAAAGUUAUAAAUUUUAAUAGAUUGAGGUAUAUUUUAGGUAUUACGAAGGAAACGGGAUAUAUCCCAUGCAAUUCCAUCGACUCAGGCUACCUCGAAAUCCUCAACACCGCCACAACCACGUCGGCCACCGCCGUCACAACAGCCUCCACCAAAGAAACAGCCACAGCCACGACCAUAACUCACAGCCUUUUACAUUAUUUAUACACCUUUGUCGCUCUUCUUAUCGUCAACCCUUUUGCUAAACUCACCACUGAUGAUUUCUCAGCCAAGACCCCAUCUUGGACCCGUGAGUUUAUUGGGGCUCUUGGGUCUUACUCGUUUCCCUCUUCCCCACACACCCUUAAGUUAAGAGUUCAUGAGAAUGUUAAACUUUAUGCCAGGAAUUCUGUUUUUUUGUUCAUCCUCUUCUUUGCUUGCUCUCUGUAAGAAUUUAGUUUCCUUUUCUGAAUGGUUUUUGUAUGUGGGUAUAUGAAUUUUGAACGAGAUUUUGGGAUGGUUUUGGAUGUGAUUAGAUUUAUGUGGCCUUGAUUGGAUUUUUAAUGAUAAUUUUGAUUUGCUUACCUGUGUUUGUAAGGGUUUCAAUCUGCUUAAAUGAAUAAUUAAGUAUAGAUUUUUUUUUUCUGGGUUCCAAUUGAUAAAUAACAACACUAUGAAUUUGCAAUUUUGCGUUGUUUUUUUUUUCCUGAGCUAGAGCAAGUGAUUUAUGAUACAUUACUCGUUACCCCUAUAUAUGAAUGUGUGCACUUUUGCUUCUAUACUUGUUCUUGCCUUCUCUGGAUGAGUGUUGCUUUAAACUUUCCUUAGCAAGUCUUUCCAUUAUACUACAGUCUAGCUGUUGAUAAAUAAUGGAAUUCUUUCCUCGUCUUCACGGUAGUAAUUACAUCUCAUCUUUGCAGCUACAUUGGUUGUUCUUAUGCUCCUGAAUGUUCAUAUGGCUCUAUUCUGUGCACUUGCUAUAAGUUAUAUUGGUAAAUAUUAGAAACUCUUCUUCAUCUUUUAUGAAUGUUGCCUUUGCUUAGAGUCAGCUAACAAUUAGUCUACUGCUUUGUAGUUAUGAUUUUGCUUGCUGCAUUUCAUAAGCUCUCUCCUUCAAAGCAACCUUCUCGAAUAAGAUGAAAAUCAAUUUUCCAAACGAAGGUUCCUCAUUGAAGAAAUUUAAAGAUUCGGAAGCAACUAGCUGAUAUGACUUCUACGGAAGCAAUGAAGAAGAGGGUACCCUAUAAAAGAUGAGAAAUUACUGCAACAAAACCUCCCAAGGGAGUGACAUAAUCAUAUUGGUGGUGUACUCCACUCGGGCACAAUCCAUAGUCAUUUUGUCACCUCAAGGGGAGGAAAUGACUCCUGCAACAUGUAAGAAAACAUAAUCAAAUUGACAUAACAAUAAUUCCAAUUAUACCGUUGUGAUAGAGAGAAAAAGGAGAGCAAACAAACCUGAGUUUUCUUUAUCCAAUUGCAUUGCUCGCCCAUUUUAACUUCAUAGCGCGGUGUCUCUUUCGAGCCAAUGGAAUUAGCAGCAUUUAAUAUGCACUCAUCCACGUCUUCGCAUUCAGGAAAUAUGGAAUAAAUAUAGAUCUGCAUAAAAGCAAUCUGUAAGUAAUACUUAAAACAACUAUAGUUUUUAUUCAGAAGCCACUCUACAUUCAACAAAAUCUAAGACCAGCUAGUAACAUUAUAAUGGCGUUUUCGAGGCACUCUUUUAACACAGAAAGAAGACAAUUUUCAAUUCCAUACCAAACAUUGAAAAUUUUGUGCUUAUUUAGUAUUAUUAUUAAUUUUUUCCUCUUGCUACCUUUCUAGCAAGUGAACCAACAAAGUCAACAAAAAUCUAAGGCUAACUGGUAACAUUACAUUGGAAAUUAGAAGCACAUUUUUAACACAAAUAGAAGCCAAUUUGCAAAUGGGAAAUGAGUUUCAUUUCUUGUUUAUUGUUGCUCUCAAGAUCCUUUACAAGACAUGAAUCAAUAAUCAAAGAAAAGAAAAAAGAAGAAAUUAAAAACUAAAGUUUCAACCUCAUCAGAAUUCUCAUCAGCAUCAUUAUCAUGUUCAUCCACGCUUGUAGAACUUGCACCGAAACAUAGAAGAGCUUCAGAAAACAUAUCCUGACAACACAAGUUAAGGCACCUCAAUUUUAAUGCCAAAUAAUUACUAAUUCAAAAUGCUUAAAAACACAGACAAGUAAAAAAAGUGAAACUCACUAAGGCAUGUUUUUGACAGCAAAUGCGAACUGAGAGAUAAGAAGAACGGGCUAAAACUUUUAUGAGAACGGAAGAGGGUGCUGUUGAUUGGGUUCUGGGUUUUUGAUUUAUGAGCGGAAAUAGAUUCUGAUGGCGGGUGAGUUGUUUGUACGGAGGACGUUUGAAGAAAUGACCCAAUGAGAAGAAUGACAUUUCUAAAUUCUGCUCUGCUUUACAAAGAUAGUUGUUUAUCUGAGAGUGGGUCUUCGACUCGCAGAGCACUCAAAUAAUUUAUUUUCUAUCACAAUUUAUUUCCCCUCCCUUCUGAGUAGGAAUUAGUGCUGAUUUUCGAGCUAUCUUCCCUAUAAAACUCUCAACUAUUAGAACAAUUGAAAGAAAACAUAAUUAUAUAUUAACAUAAAGCAGCAAGUCAAUUAGAUUAGAUUGUUUGAUUACAUUGGAUCAAAUAAGAAGACGGUACCUAGAUUCUGUAAGGUACGUCCAUCCAAAAUAAGUAAAAUAAAGGUGGUCUUAAGUGAGACACGCUCCAUUCUUAUUAGAGAGGUGUACCUCACAGAAUCUGCAAGGUAGUAAGGUCCAUCUAAUAAUUUGAUAUUGUUUAACCUAUAUGCACAUUAAUGAAAGCUAUCGGCACCCUCUAAGACCUUCAUAGAACCCUGUGUUUAAAACUUGCAGAACUACAAAAAGAGAAUAGAGUGGAGCUAUUGGCACCUCCAAAAGAAUUCUUAUAUCUUAAAUUUAUAUUUUUAACUUUAAUCAAAUCACGUUUGACUAUUCAUCUAUCUUCCUCUAACCCCACAUGGGUUUUAUUUUUAUUAAAUAAAAGAUAAUUUUGUUGUUUUAGUGAAAAUGUUUUUUAUUUUUAUUUUUAUUCUUAAAUUAGUGGUUUCUGUUGGACUGAAAUUUUAGUUCAUUAUUUUCAAAUUAUGAAAGGCUUAUUUUUUUAUGGCUACUUGUUCUCUUGAUUUUAUCAAUUUACGUGUUCAUAUAAAAGUAUGUGAAUUGUCACAUUCAGAGUAUAAAAUAAUAUUGGAUUAGCUUCAAACAAUCUUUUUUAGUAUAAAAGAAAUAUUUAUUUAAUUCUUUUUUCUCUCUCUCAUAGUAAAGUUAGUGAGAAAGAAGUGUACAAGGACGUUUGUGGAAUUAAAAUAGAUCCACUCAAGAGGAUGGCCUAGAAUAUUUCUUAUCUAGUUUUUAGAUUCUACUUUCUACUAGUUUAACUUACUUCAUAGUAAUGUUUUGAUAUCUUUUCCCAUGGAAUGAUAAAAUAAAGUAAUAAAAUGAAUUCUAUAUUAUAAGAAUCUCAUUUAUAUAUAAGAAUAAGAAUAAAAACUUGGAAAAAGAAGCUCAAACAGUUCUAAAUUGAAAAGUUGAUUCUCAUGGACCGAACAAGGGCUUCAGAUUGAAUUGGUGAAAAGGUUUUGUACUAAAAGAUUUUUGUUUUCAUAUGAUUUUUUAAGAAAAAAGAAUAUAUAAGGUUAUUUGUGGAAUUAACAUAGGUGUUGUUAAAAGUACUGUGAUUUACAUAUGUUUUUAAUGGUGUAUUUUUAGAAGAAAGGUUUUAUGAGGAGUUUAAAGUGGUGCUAAUAGUUUCACUUAUUGACAAAUGGGUCAAAAAACAUCUAAAAACUUCAAAAACCUUUCAUAAUACCUGUAAUGGAACACAAAAUAGUUAAUUAUACUUUACAACUCAAUUUUUAAAAAAAACAUUUUACAACUCAAAAACACACUAGAGGAUCUUUAAUAUUUCUUAGUUUACUAUAAGAUACUAUUAGUAUAUAUAACAAAAUAAGAAUUUAUUGAUUGAUACCAUAUAUUUCAUACAAAUGAAGUGGAAAAUCUUCCACCUGAUAGAAUAUAUAUAUCAUAUGACAAGUUACAUACAUCUAAUUUUCUGCAUGCAUAUGGAACAAAAUUAAUUGUUUCAAUUUCUAAUUUGUCAAAUUGAGGUCUGAUUUCUGAAUUUUUUAGUUGUCAAAUGGAUUAAAUUUCCCCCAUAUAGGAUCCAGCUAUCUUGCAUCAUGACUUUGGUACCCUAGUCCUUUGUCUUAUAGCGAAUGAGCCUUUAGAAUGUGAAGAAAUGUAUCUAACAAUUGAGAUUUAACAUUUGGAAAAUGGGUAACCAGCUGAAGGCGUAGCACCUGUAAAUCAAAAAAAAAAGUUUGUACGUGUAAGCAUCAUUUGCGAUUUUUCCGACGGAUAAAGUUUAUAGGCGAUGGUUCUUAGCAUUAUUGUCUUGAUACUGUUUUCUGAAAGCUAUGAUGAAGUAUUGAAUCUUCUUAAUCUGGGUUUUGUUUGAGAAAAAGAAGGUUUUCACUUAUAAGUUUAUCGUGACAAACAACUUUUGCUCAUAAUCACCUAUAACACCAUACCAUUGCCUAUAUUCAAGCCACAAUACUAGUUGCAACCUUCUUAAAUAUUCAUUCAAGUAAAAUAAUAGCAAAAUUAAGCCUAUACAAAAAAUUGUAUUCUUUGAGGCAUUUAGCAAACAUUUGUAUUGUCAUAUUUAACAAACUUAUUUCCAUAAGCAUUUUAUCAAUUUUCAUUCCUAGUUCAAGCUUAAUGUUACAAAACUAAUCGCUCAACAAGAUCUAACCUAUAAUCAUCAACAAUUAGUACUAAAACAAUAAAUCCAUUAUCCAUUUAAGAAUUUGGACAUAAACUCAGCGAACUAACUCAAAUUAAAGAGGCCGCUCUUGCUGGAAGUAGCCAUUGUCGUCGCGGCAUCGAUUAGCCGUUGUUGUUGCCAUUAAUUUAUUUGCUUGAUCAAAAACUGCUGGUUUAGAUUUUUGCUGGAAGUAGCCAAUAAUUCAUAAAUUUUUAGGUUAAUUUUUUUAAUUUCCCUAUGCUCAAUUACCAAUCUAGGUGACCGGCCCAUUAUUUGUUUUUCUAGUUACUCCUAUUUCUCUGUGUUUCUUUUCUAGCCAUCAGAUGAAAUCCAACGGUGACUUUGGUAAAUGACAAAUGAGUGGUGUACAAAACCUACAAUGCAAAGUAGUUUUGGCCUCCCCAUAUAUACUGUCUAGAGAAACUCAUGAAUCUAAACGAACCAAACCCAUAUUAAAUUUAAUAAUAUCAUUAUCCUCAGACUCUCAGUUUUUCACUUUUGCUUACAUAAACAUUGUGGAACUUAAACUUAAAUCCACAUUUUUCAUCACUCUCUUGGUGGCCUCAUGUUGUUCCUUAAUCUUCUCUUCCUCAUCUUUUUAAUGCAUGCAUAAUUAACUAUAUUUUUGUUUGUGUUCCUGGACGCAAUUCAAUGUGUUGUUGAAGAGAUUAAAGCUUGUAUUGCAAGUUCUAGUGAUAUUUUGGAUGCUGAAUUGCAAAAUUUGUAACGUUACAAUCUUUGUUUCAUUUCUUACAUCAUAUGUCAAAUAAAAGUAUCAACUAAGAUUGCUGCCUCUCUUCUGAUGUGCAUAUUAAAAUUGCAUGCAAAAAUUUACAAAUCAUCUCCAUGUGAUUGGUCCUAUUAUACAAUAUUGUACUAUACAUUUGGAGAAGUAUUUAAGGCUUGGAAUUAGGGAUGACAAAACAUUGGUUUUUUUUUUUCCAAAGGCAAGCCAAAAAGCUUGAAGUAUACAUUCUGUAUUUUUUUAAAAAACUUUUUUCAUUAUAUUUUACAAAUUUUAUAGUUUAUAAAAUUUAGUUUUUUCUUUGUUAGAUCAGGCUUUAAUAGUUGGGUUCAAAUAACUUAAAACUUUAAAUAUAUGCUAUAAGUGGAUUACAUAUAUGUAAAAAGUUGUAUUUUAAUUAAAGUAAUAUAGAUUUUUAAAAUUUUCAAUAUUUUUUGGGCUUUCUGGUUGGGUUCGGGCUUUUAAACCAAAGUCCAAGUCCAGCCAGAGUACUUAGAAAACAUGCUCUAGUUAGACCGGAUUUUUCUGUCAUUCCUACUUGGAAUUCGACUAUCAUUAAUUUCAUUGUUAUAUUUUUAACACUAAGGACUCAAAUGAAAAUAAUUACAAAUAGUUUCUUAAGAUGUAAUCCUUUCAAAAAGGUGAGGGUUCAUUUAAUACUGAUAUUUGAAUCAAAGAAUGAUACAAUGAUGACAAAACAAUUGUAAAUUUUAUUUACAGUAUUAAAUAAAAAAUUAUAACUAUUUUUGAAUUAACAUUGUAACAUUACACAAUUUACUAUUAUUUUUGUCACCCUUAUGUCACGGUUAGAACUCUUUAUCAUUUUGCAUUUCUUAAAAAAUAAUGCUAAAAAGAUCCCCAAAUUUCUGCGGGAUAUGGAUGUAGUUUUAAAAUGAAGAUAUAUUAAAUAUAAAAUUUUACAAAGGAUUUAGUACUUUCUCUAAAUCUCGUUGAAGAAAUAAGAGAGCAUCGGACAUGAUUAAUAAUGCAUAUUUAUUUGAGUAAUUCACAUUUAUAACCCUGGGAUACAAAUUUUAUCUGUGAUAUACAUACAUGCAAGUAUGUGUGUGAUAUGCAUACAUACUUGGAAACUUUGGUGCCUUCCAUGACAAUCAUCUUGUGGCAGUAAGGUCAAAGAUUCCAUUGCUUUUGCUUUCAAUGAACAGAGCUAGCAUACCAGACAGGGUUAGCAUUUUAUUAAUUGCAAGUGGUAGCAUAUUUAUUCAUUAGCGUCACCUUCCCCUCAUCUUCUCCAACCUUGCUGCAAGUGGUAGCAUAUUUAUUCAUCACCUACAUUGAUAAAGUUUUUUUCACGAGAAACAGUCACGGAAAAACUUGUGCAUGAUAUAGCAGUCAGUGACUAACUCCAUGAAAUCAUUAUUUGUCUUUAAUUUUCAUCGUACUCCUUAUUAAAAAAGUAUUAUGAUUACACAGUCAGUGUUUUAUAUUCACAGAAGACAAAAGUAAUGAAGUACUGCAAUUUUGGAUUUAAUUGCAACUUGUAUAAUUUAUUAUGCUCCAAGUCCAUAUCAAAUAAACCAAAACCCAAUCUCUUUUCUACAGCUACUUCCCCAUUGUACAUAUUAUCAAAAUUCUAUAAGGGAAAAUAUCCACCGUCCACCUAUUUUUUACACCUUUUUCAAAAAUACACAAUUCCUUCAUUUUUUAACUAGAAUCCACCUAAAGUUACAUUUUUUUUCACUUUUCCACUUCCGUUUGGAAUCCGUUAAGAAAACUAACGGAAACUUAAUAAAAUGACCAUUUUACCCCCAAAACGAAAAUUACAAUUUCACCUUAAAAAAUACCAAAAAUAAUAAGAUUUAAUGAUGAAUAUCAUUAUUGGUACUUUAAUGAAGUACAAAAAAAUCUUAACUACUAGAGAUUAUAACUCAAUUAAUAAUAAAACUCUACUUAUCUUAAAUUCAAUUGAUGAUUUGUGAGAUUGGGCUAUUUUUAAUACUACUGUUAUAAUUUAGCAUUCUAAUUACAGAUAUAUUUAUAAAAAAAACAUGCAUUUGAUGGUUAUGGAAUUAAUUUAUUUAUUGACCGAUGGGGAAAAUAAUUAGAUUUAAUCUAAUUAUUUUUUGUAAUUUUUAAGGUGAAAUUGUAAUUUUCGUUUUGGGGGUAAAAUGGUCAUUUUUUAAAGUUUCCGUUAGUUUUCUUAACGGAUUCCAAACGGAAGUGGAAAAGUGAAAAAAAAUAUAACUUUGGGUGGAUUCCAGCCAAAAAAUGAAAGAAUUGUGUAUUUUUGAAAAAGGUGUAAAAAAUAGGUGGACGGUGGAUAUUUUCCCAUUCUAUAAUAAAACAUCAUUCAUGUAUAGGAGAAACUAUUGACUAAACUAACAUGCUCACACUACUUGAGUGCUGAGAGAAAGAGUUGCGUCGGUCAACCUACGACCAAUUCCAUUCAUCAACAACAAAUGUUUCAGCGGACACAUAAAUAUUUGAAUUAAGAGCUAAGAAGUUUUAACAAUGAAUUUUUUUUUAAAACAAAGAUUCUGCCUUGAUAUGUUCUAAUUUCAGAGUCAACGAUCUUGAUUCAACUUCUUGACUGGAGAACUAGCUAAGAGAAGGGAGGUACGGGAGCCAACACUAAUGUUUGAAUUGAGAGCUUUAAAGCAUACUUUCUUCCCCCCCCCCCCCCCCCCCCCCUCUCUCUUUUUAACUAUUUCUUUGCAUGCUAUAGGACUGAUUUCGGGGUGAAUCUAAGAGAGGAGGAGAUAUGGGCAUCAACUUCAGACUAUUUUCAGAGAGGCUGGGACGGGUGUUAGCUGGUGAAGAAGUCACGUUGCCUGAUGCUGCAAAACAACCUAUUCAGAACCUUCAUGCCGAGACUGAAAUCGUUACUUCUUGGCUGAGGGAAUUUGAAAAUGAAACUUCCUGGCUUAUGGUGGAAAAGAUCGGAGAAGAGGAAAUUGAUGACCUAGAUCUGGCGACCGUUAUGGAUGAAAUCAAUUGCUUUACGUAUGAAUCUGAGAGGGUCAUUGACACAUUCAUCAACAGCAUCACUCAACAGAAGAGUCAAAGCAGCUGCAGCAAGGACAUUUUUUAUGCUCUGCAAGGACUCCAAAGCAGAAUCACUAAGAUUAAGCAACGGGUUCAACAACUUAAGCACAUCGAUCCCGAAAUCAUGGAUGACUUCAGAAGUGUUGAAGCUGAAUCCGGUUAUUUUCCUGCAUCUUCAUCUUCUAAGAAUAGGAACACGGUGGGCCUAGAUGAUAGAAUGGAGGAGUUGUUAGAUCUAUCGAUCGAGGGACCAACUCAGCUUUCGGUGGUGGCCAUACUCGAUAGCAUUGGGUUGGACAAGACGGCUUUCACUGCGGAGGCUUACAACAGCAGUUAUGUGAAGCAUUAUUUUGAUUAUCUCACUUGGAUUCCAGCGCCUUAUCAAUAUGACCCUGACCAAAUAUUAGAUAUUGUUACUGUGAUUCUAUUGCUUUUUUCUAUGUUGAGUAAAAUAAAGGAUAAAGAUUAUGAAAUGAAAAAAAUUAUUCUUGGUGAAUAUCUAAUGACUAAGCGGUAUUUGAUUGUGCUUGAUGAUGUGUGGAGCACAGAGCUAUUUGAUGCUAUUCGAGAAAUCCUUCCGGAUAAUCAGAAUGGAAGUAGAGUGCUAAUCACACUCACUCUAAUUGAGAUGGUCACCUCAUUUCAGUUCGAAAAUGGAGAGAACGUUCGCCUUGAUAUAGUGCCCACUGGAGGACCAUUGAGAGUUACCUACCAAGGAUGGCCUUUCCUCAUCUUAUAUCAUGGAAGCAUCUCAUUAGAACAAAAUAUAGAGGAAGCAAUCGAGGGACCCAUGGGGCGUCUAACCGUCAUAUCUUGCAAGCUACCUUUUCACUUGAAACUUUGUUUUCUCUACUUAUCUGUGUUUCCUGCACACCUAGAGAUAUCCACCAGGCAGUUAUAUCAUUUGUGGAUAGCUGAGGGUUUCAUUCCAGACAACAGUGAGGCAACUGCUGAGAAGUACUUAGAGCAACUAAUCAACAGAGGCUUUGUCGAAGCAAAUAAGAGAAGAACUGGAGGCACAAUCAACACAUGCUCUAUUCCCGGUCGUUGCCGUCCUGUAUUGUUAGCAGUGGCUUCCGAGGUGGAAUUUAUCUUUCUCUCGUUCAUGGUUUCAGAACGUAAAUCAAAAAAGAAUGUUAAACGGAUCAACGUUUUUGAUAAACAGAGUGAUUUUGUUCACUUUGUUGAUGAUGACUCGCACAUGCAUUCUUUGUUGUACUUCACUUCAAAAAGCGACCACCUUGACCCAAUAGAUUGGGGGAUAAUUUGUCUAAUGUUGGAAUUUCUUAGAGUAUUGGACUUGGGAUCUCUUGUUCUCAUCCAAUAUCCAUCUGGAAUUGAAAAUUUAUUUCUUUUGAGAUAUUUAAAGUUGAAUAUCCCUUCCCUCAAAAUCCUGCCUUCAUCAUUAUUAAGCAAUCUUCUGAACCUUUACACCCUAGACAUGCCCUUUAGCUAUAUAGAUCAUACAGCUGAUGAAUUUACUUUGCAUGCUAGGAAUACCGCGUGAUGAGACGGGAAGGGAAGGAGUCACGUUGCCCUAGGCUGCUAAACAACAUAUUCAAAACCUUUACGCAGAGAUACGAAAUCGUUACUUCUUUGCUGAGUGACUGUGGAUACAACACAGCUUGGAUUAUGUUGCGAUCAAAUGCUAUAAAAGAUCAAAUUGAUGGAGAAUUAGAAACAGAUCUUCAGCCCAUUAUUGAAUUAGACUGUUAGCUCUCUCAAAUAGACUUGCUAACAUCGUUCCAACUGAAAAAUGGAGAGAACAUUGGGAUUAAGUUAGUGCCUGCAGGAGUGCCACUAAAAGUUACCGACGACCUUUUCUCAUCUUCUACCAUGGAAUUGUGUCAUUAGAAAAGAAUUGGCUAGAUACUUGGCAUAUCUCUAGUGGGUAUCAAAUGUUUUCAUAUUCCACAUUUUAGGAUUCUAUACUGAUCUGAGCUACUACGAUUAUGUAAUUAUGUGUUAUUAUAUGAAAUAAAAUAAUGAAUAAAUCUUGAUUGUAUAUAAAUAAGAAUACACAUAUAUCAUAAGAUUCUUCAAAACCCAUAUAAGUUUAAAUUAUAAGAGGAUUUAAUACCAUUUCACAUUACCUUUUUCUUGAAAAUUUAAUUGUAUCAAUUGUGGGUAGCUGAAGGUUUCAGUCCAAACAAUAAUGAGUCAACUGCUGAAAAGUUCUUGGAACAACUAGUCAUGGAGCUUUUUGGAGCAAAAAUGAGAAAAGCUGGAGGCACAAUCAACGCUUGCUCAAUUCCUUCUCUGUAAAUUUGAACGCUUAAACACGUACCAUCAUCCCAGUUCCUUGCAGUCGCCCCAAAGCCCCUGCUUGCAGUAGAGGAAAAACGAUUCUGUAUAGCCAUCGGGACUCAUCGAUGAAACAGAGAAGAAAAUUUGAAACAAUCCAAGGUUUCAUAGAUCAAAUGAAACCCCAAGAUCAAUCAAGACCAAUGGAGACAAGAUCAAUGGAUGAUCUUGUACUUAGCUCUAAAACAAAUAAGUAAAACCAUCAAAGAAAUUGGAUCAAAACCAGCAGGUUUAGAUUGAUUAUUUAUGAAUGUUCGGGUUGGAUUUUUCUGAUAACCUCUAGAAAGAGUCAAUAUUGUUCAGGUUGGAUUUUUCUAGUAAUGUUUAGAAAUAUAGUCGACCCCAAUCUACUCAGAACUCAUUGUCGUCGAGCUAACCUUGUAAGUACAACCUGGAGCCUAUGUUGGCAGCCUGAUUUACAAGUAUGACCUGAGAUUUAUGUAAAUGACCUGAUUUAAGAAUACAACCUUAAGCCUAUAUAAGCGACCAGAAAAUUCACCAGUCCGAUCUGAAAGUGAAGAAAUCCAACCUCGAAAUUUAUUUGUCUGACUCGAGAAUUAACUUGACAUAGAAAGCUAUCGGUUGAGAUAACAUGGCCUAGUUUCUCAUAAAGUUAUGUGCCACGAUCCAUUUAAACCAUCUCCAACUGAUGACCAUGUGCAACUGCUGAAGAAAGUGGGUAGAAGUUAAAGGUGGUAACCACCCACGACCAAGGGCCUAUUUAAGCUAAAAAGGACAACUGAGGAAAGGGUUAGAAAAAUGAACCAAAAAUUCUAUAAGUUGCCUCUCUAAAAGUCUUAAGAUUCCCGACAAGAUUUUUAGUUUUCUUUACCGAAAAAAUUCCUUAAUUUUCACUUUUCACAAUUCUCCCUUCUCGUUUACCUUUUUCUUAUACACAAUUUCUGACUUAAUCAUCGGAGGGUCUACGCCGGGACCCCACCGGCGUAUUCUAACCGUGUUUUCUGGUUGUUAGGUAUAUAAAGCUGGGUUCAGACCGAUGUUUGAGCUUGGAUUCGCGUUGUAAUUCUCCAAAAGAAAACAAAUUCAGCUGUUGAGGUCAUUUUUCGGCAUCAACAUCUUGGCGCUAUCUGUGGGGAAUGGUGCGAAAAGCCAUACGUUUGAAGAUUUAAAAGGAGGAGGCUAUCGGAUUACAAAACAGCGAUAUAUGAUAAUGAUGGAGACAGGCAGACCUUGCGCCAAUUGGCGGAGGAAAUGAAUGCCACGACAGAUAAGAGAUGGAGAGAAUGGAUCGAGAGGCACAUGGCAAAAUUUGAGGAGAUGGUUAGGGGGCUGAUUAAUGCCCAAGUUAGAGGGGCUCAAGUUCGAGCUAGUGACCCAGGGAGUAGUGGAGCGCGAGAGAGGGAAGAGCUUGGUGGUGAACAGUAGAGCAGAAUGGGACUACCACAAGUUGGGGUACGACAAGAAAAUAGAAGUGUAGGAGAACAAGUGAAUGAGUUGAGAUACAGAAUCAAUGACUUGAAUCAAGAAAGAGAGAGGGAAGAGCUGAGAGACCCCCACCAGGCAAAUGAGCUUGAGCAGCGAAUGCUGCAAUUUUAAAAAACUUUAGAGGCAUUAAAGGCGAAAACAGAGGGCAAGCAAGUGGUAGGAAGGUUGUUACUUGAUGACAAGUCCCUCUUAGUACGUAAAGUGAUGGCGGUAACUUUGCCAUCUAAGUAUGUGGUUCCAGCCUUGGUGUAUGAAGGAAAAACUAACCCGAAUCAUCAUAUGGAGAAGUUUAAUAAGAUGACCGGGAUCCAAGGUUUGAAUAAUUUUCAAAGGUGUCGUGUUUUUCCUUUAACCUUAGAAGGACGAGCACGGGAGUAGUACCAGAGAUUAAAGAAGGGAAGCAUAGAAAAUUUCAAUGAGUUAUGUGAGCUUUUCGCUGUGCGUUUUAGAUGUUCAUGCAUACUAGAGUAAGAUACGAGUAGAUUGAAAAAAAUUAGUCCAACGAGAAUUUGAAAGUUUGAGGAGUUUUGUGACCAGGUAUCAUAAAGAGAUUACUGAUCUAGGGGCCUUUGAUCAUCCAGAUGCUCUAGAGGGAUUAAAGAAAGGGUUGAGAAUCAAUCGAUUGUGGAAUAACUCAUAUAGUAAGAGGAUAACAACAUAUACUGAGGCGUAUGACCAGGAAAAUUUGGAUAUGAAAAUUGAAGAUGCAGAGGAAGAAACAAGGAGAAUGGAAAUGCAGACAUGGGGUCCGAUGAGAAGGGGGGACCUGAGAAGAAGAUGAGAUAACUUUGGGUAUAGCUCGAGGAUGAACACGAAUGAUAAGCAUCAUUACGACAAAGGAUUGUUCAAUUAUAGACAACCAGAAAGGCCGGGUCAAAAUUAGGAAGGAAAUCAUGAAAGAAGAAAAUCUCAUUAGUAGGAAGGGGUCGAGAGGGAGGAAAUAAUUAUGAGAGGAACCAACGGGAGAGCCAAGUAUAAGAUUACAAUAGGUUGCCACCACCUGUAGACCGAAGAGGAUCGAGACCUGCUAAUGGGGUGAAUUUAUUAUAACAGAGUGGAAGAUACACACAACUAAACAUAAGCAAAGUAGAAAUAUAUGUUACAAUAAAAGAUAAGGGGUUACUAACACUGCCAAAGCCGAUUGUAGGGGGUUUGAGUGGAAAUGCUCACCACAAGUAUUGUGAGUUUCACAAGGUGACCGGACAUGGAACUGUAGAUUGCAUAGACUUGAAGGAACAAAUUGAAUGGCUAGUGUAAAAUCAAUAUCUAAAGAAGUAUGUGGAUGACCAAAGAAGAGGUGGGAGAAGAGAAGACAUUAGAGAUAAUAUAGCGAUGAUGAUUAUAGGAGGGCCGACCUUAGCAGGAGACUCAAACCGCUUGAGGAGAAAUUAUAGCAGAUAUUCACUAAAAAGUUUCGAGGUGAAUUUUAAUAUUCUGGCACUAAAGAAGCAGCGGAUUCACAAGGUGUCGAUCAUGUUCACGGACGAGGACGAGGAAGCGAUCGUACAUCCACAUGAGGAUAUGCUUGUAGUGAAGGUUGUCUUGGCAGGGCAAGAAUUGAAUCGAGCUUUUGUAGAUGGGGGAAGCUCGGUAGACAUUUUGUUUAAGCAAACUUUGGAUGAUCUACAAAUAGGAGACCUCAGGCUUGAUCCCGUCAGAACAUCGCUAAAGGAGUUUGGUGGAUUUGAGCUAAUUCCACUUGAGUUGAUUGACUUGCCGCUGACAAUAGGGUCCAACCCACUACAAAAGACAGUGAUAGUGACAUGGUUGGUAGUUGAUGAGCUUAGCCCUUAUCAAGUUAUUUUGGGCAGACCGUUCAAUAGGAUAGUAUGAGUAGUGAGCUUAACUUAUAUGCAAUGUGUGAAAUUUAGAGUUCAAGGUGGAGUUGGAGUGAUGAUAGGCCAACAAUAAGUGGCUCGAAGCUGUUACACUAAAAUUGUGAGAGAAUCCAUGAAGAUCACAAGUAUCGAUCCACGAGCUGAAAAUAGGUUAUGCCAAUAGCGACCUAAUGAAGAAAUGAAACAAGUACCAGUAAGUGAGGAUGAUCCGAGCAGAGUAGUAAGAGUGGGAACAAAGAUAACAGAUGACAUUUUUAAUGAGCUUCAGAAUUUAUUGGUGGAGUAUAAUGACAUAUUUGCUUGGAGACAUGAAGAUAUACUGGGAAUAAACCCAUGAAUCAUGUGUCACUAGUUGGCUAUAGAUAAAAAACAUAGGCCAAUGAAGUAGAAAAGAAAAGUGUUCAACCAGGAAAGGUAUGCGGCCAUCUAUAAUGAGGUAGAUAAAUUGUUGAAAGUGGGAUUUAUAAGGGAAGUGAACUAUCCAGAAUGGGUUUCGAAUGUGGUAAUGGUUAAAAAGGCGAAUGGAAAAUGAAGGAUGUGUGUAGACUUUACCGACCUCAACAAAGCUUGUCCUAAAGAUAGUUUCCCUCUCUCAAAGAUUGAUUAGUUAGUGGAUUCAACAAUCGGGCAUGACUUGAUGAGUUUUAUGGAUGCAUUCUCAGGAUACAACCAGAUUCGUAUGUCCACAGUAGGUGAAGAAAAGACAGCUUUUGUGACCGACCAAAGAUUGUAUUGCUACCAUGUGAUGUCGUUCGAAUUAAAAAAUACUGGAGCUACUUAUCAAAGGUUGGUAAACAAGCUUUUCAAGCCCUUGAUUGGUAAAAUGAUGGAGGUAUAUAUAGAUGACAUGAUAACCAAGUAUGUUGAGCAGGCGGAACAUACAACGCAUUUGCGUAAGACAUUUGAAGUGCUACAAAAGAUAAGAUGAAGUUGAUUUCGGAAAAGUGUGCCUUUGGAGUGGAAUCAGGGAAAUUUUUGGGCUUCCUAGUUAGUCAAAUGGGGAUAGAAGCUAAUCUGAAAAAAGUAGAAGUCAUCCCCAAGAUGAGGUCGCCGAAGGAUCUUAAAGAUGUUCAGAGCUUAGCUGGAAAGGUUACUGCGCUGAGUAGGUUCAUUUUGAAAUCAUCAGAGAAAUGCCAUCCAUUUUUUGAAUUGAUGAAGAAAGGAAAAAGAUUGAGGUGGUUGGAAGAAUGUGAGACAACAUUUCAACAAUUAAAGGCAUAUUUGGCCAAUGUACCCACUUUGGCUAAGCCCUUAGUGGGUGAUGUUCUCUUGAUCUACUUGGUGGUCUUAAAUUAUUCAACUAGCUCAGUCAUGGUAAAAGAAGAAGAUGAAGUAUAACAACUUGUAUACUACAUGAGCAGAUCUCUUACAGGGGCAAAAGUAAGAUAUCCUAUUGCAGAAAAGUGGCCAAUGGUUUUUGUUGUAGCUACAAGAAAGCUGAGGCCAUAUUUUCAAGCUCAUGAGAUCGUGGUAGUCACUAAUCAACAUUUGAGAUCAAUUUUUCAAAAAUAAGACAUUUCAGGAAGACUAGUUAAGUGGUUAGUAGAACUAAGUGAAUUCGACAUCGGUUACCAAUCGAGGUCAGCAAUUAAAGCACAAGCUCUGGUCGACUUCAUUAAUAAUUGCAGUGAAGGGAGUGAAGAGAUGGAUGCCGAGCAGGAGAUUAAAGAGGCAGAGAAGAAGAAUGAUGUAUGGGAGCUUAAUGUAGAUGGAGCUGCAAACCCAUAAGGGUCAGGCAGGGGAAUUGUUCUUGUUUCACCCGACCAGGAAGAAGUAUGCUACUCUCUCAAGUAUGAAUUCCAUCCUACAAACAAUGAAGCAGAAUACGAAGCUCUCAGUGCGGGUCUAAAAUUAGCAAGAGCAUUGGGAGUUUGGCAUUUGAAGGUGAAGAGUGACUCUCAACUGGUAGUGAACUACUAGAAUGGGACAUUUCAAGCCAAAAGUGAGAACAUGUCCAAGUAUCUGAGCAAAGCACUACUGUUAUGUGGUAGUUUUGAUCACGCUACAAUGGAGAAAGUUCUGAGGGGAAAGAAUUACUGAGCAGGUUAUAUAGCAAGACUGGCAGUUAUAGAAUGCCCAAAGUUCCAACGAGGAAUUCCAUUGGAGUCAGUUUCAAAGCCAAUAGUUAAUUCUGAAAUGAAAGUUUGUAUGGUAAAAGAUGAGAAGAACUGGAUGGUGCCUAUCAUGAGGUAUAUUGAAUUUGAGGAACAACCUCAAGAUAAAGCAGAGGCAAGAAGGCUGCGAUGCCAGGCAACACGGUACUCCAUUAUCGAAGAUGUGCUUUAUAAGAGAAGUUGCACUUUACCUUACCUGCGAUGUUUGGGCUCAGCUGAUGCCAACUAUGUGAUGAGAGAGGUGCAUAUGGGAAUUUGUGGAAAUCACAGCGGAGGUAUGGCAUUGGCCCAUAAAAUAAUAAGGUAUGGUUAUUUUUGGUCGACCAUGCAUGAAGAUGCACAAGAGUUAGUUCGGAGAUGUGAUGAAUGCCAGAAGUUCGUCGUAAUUGUAAGACAACCACCAGAAAACAUGAUGACAAUGGGGAGCACUUGGCCAUUUGCACAAUGGGGGGUGGAUCUUAUCAAACCAAUGCCAACCGGGAGAGGCCAAAUGAAAUACGCGGUGGUAGCCAUUGAUUAUUUUACUAAAUGUAUUGAAGUUGAGCCGUUACAAAAGAUAACCGAGAAGCGCACAACAUAUUUUAUAUGGAGGAAUGUGAUUUGCAGAUAUGGCCUACCGCAAGCUAUUAUCACUAAUAAUAGAACCUAAUUCAAUAAUGAGAAUUUCAAGAAGUUUUGUGGUCAGCUUGAUAUUGAACUUCGGUUUAGCUCACCUGCUCAUCCGAAGGCAAACAGACAAGUGGAAGCGGCAAACAAAACUAUAAAGCAAUUGUUGAAGAAAAGGUUAGGUGAGAAGAAGGGAGCUUGGGUGGAUGAGCUUUCAGGAGUACUGUGGGCCUAUAGAAUGACCGUGAAGACUUUAACGGGGGAGACUCAAUUCUCACUUGCUUUCGGACAUAAGGCAGUAAUCCCAGCUGAGGUUGGCAUGGAGACACACUGCACAAAAUAUUAUGAUGAGACAAUAAACAGGGAAUAUAUAUUGUUGGAUUUAGAUUUGCUUGAUGAGAAGAGAAAGUCGGCAAGAGGUCAAGUAGCAAUUUACCAGUAAAAAGUGGCUAAGUUCUACAACAAGAAUGUCAAGCUACGACAAUUUUAGGAGGGGGACCUGGUGCUCUGCAAAGUCAAUCAAUCAACCAAAAAGCCAGCUGAUGGAGUUCUAGGGCCGAGCUGGGAAGGACCAUACAAAGUACUACACUCAUUUGGUAAUGGCGCAUAUAAGUUAGGUUAUCCGGAUGGCAGGGUCGUCGGCAAGUCAUGGAAAGCAGAGCACUUACAAAAAUACUAUCAGUUGGCCAAUCCUAUUUAUGAUGUUCUUGUUUGUUUUUUUUUAAAUAUGUUAUGAUAGUUUUUUUCUUUGUUAUUUCAAUUCGUUAUGUGUUCAAUUACGUAAUUUCUGUCAUAUUAAUAUCAAUGAGGUUAUUCAGAAAUGCAACUUUAUUUCUUACCUACUUGUGACUGAUCUUCUUUGAGAUUGGCAUAUUUGAGCCUUAUUGAGGUCCAACAUAAAUUUUUAUCAAAUCUUAUUGAGAUUAAGAUCGACAUUUGGGCCUUGUUGAGGCCGAAUGUGAAAAUUUAUCCAAUCUUAUUAAGAUUGAGAUAAGCAUUUUGGCCUUAUUGAGGUCCAACGUGAAAUUUUUCAUCAAAUCUUAUUGAGAUUGAGUUUCGACAUUUAGACCUUAUUGAGACCGAACAUGAAAAAUUUAUCCAAGCUUAUUGAGAUUGAGAUCAACAUUUUGGCCUUGUUGAGGUCCAACGUGAAAACUUGUUGAGGUCAACUAUAACUAUAACAUUUAAGAUUUACAAUUUUCAACUCGUUGAGGUCGGCUAUAGCCAUAACAUUUAAGUUCUACAAUUUUCAAUUUAUUGAGGUCGACACUUUAGAUUUGUAAGGCCUAUGAUUGAGGUCGACAAUUUAGUUUUGUGAGGUCUACAAUUGAGGCCGACACCUUUGCGUUGUGAGGUCUACAACUUUGGUCGACAUUUUAGUUUUGUAAAGCUUAAGGUUGAAGUCGACACUUGCUUUGUGAGCUCUACGGUUGAGGUCGACAUUUUAGUUUUGUAAAGCCUACGGUUGAAGUUGACACUUGCUUUGUGAGCUCUACUUUUGAGGUCUACAUUUUAGUUUUGCAAAGCCAACGGUUGAGGUCGACACUUGCUUUGUGAGCUUUACGGUUGAGGUCAACAUUUUAGCUUAGUAGGAUCUAAAACUGAGGUCGACACUUUAGAUUUGCAAGGCCUACGGUUGAGGUCGACAUUUUAGCUUGGUAAGAUUUAUAGUCGAGGUUGACACUUUUACUUUGUGAGCUCUACAAUUGAGGUCGACAUUUUAGUUUUGUAAAGCUUACGAUUGAGAUCCACAUUUUAGUUUGGUAGGAUCUACAACUGAGGUUGACAUUUUAGUUUUGUAAAGCCUACGGUUGAGGUCGACACUUGCUUUGUGAGCUCUACAUUUAAGGUCGACAUUUUAGUUUUGCAAAGCAUACGUUUGAGAUCGACAUUUUAGUUUGGUAUGAUCUACAACUGAGGUCGACACUUUAGAUUUGUAAGGCCUACGGUUGAGGUCGACAUUUUAGCUUGGUAAGAUUUAUGGUCGAGGUUGACACUUUUGAGUUGUGAGCUCUACGAUUGAGGUCAACAGUUUAGUUUUGUAAGGUCUACGAUUGAUGUUGACACUUUAAAUUUGUAAGGCCUACGGUUGACGUCGACAUUUUAUCUUGGUAAGAUCCAUGGUCGAGGUUGAAGCUUUCGCUUUGUAAGCUCUACGAUUGAGGUCGACAAUUUAGUUUUUUGAGGUCUACGAUUGAGGUCGACACUUUAGAUUUGGAAGACCUACGGUGGAGGGCAACAUUUUAACUUUGUAAGAAUCUAUAAUGAGGUCAGCUUCGCGCUUCUUAAGGUCGACUUUCCAGCCUAGUUACAAUCAGCAAUAGCCUAAACAUCUUCAGUCUUGUUGUGGUCGGCAUUAGCUUUGUUAAAAAUUAGCGUCCAGGCUACGUAACGAUUAUCCGAAUACAAAAACAAAAUGAAAGCUCAACAAGAGUUAUCAGUUCGUAACAUUACAUAAAGGCAAGCCUUAUAACAACUUCUCAAAUCUACUUAGGAAGCAUGCUCUUCGUCUUCAAUAACUCUGCUAGUUAAAGAUGUCUCACCCUCAACUCUAAUCUCAUCACCCUGAAGAACUCGAUUUUCUUCUUGAUCCGUACUCGAUGACUUCUUCUUAGCCUUUUCUUUGCUCACAUAAGCAGUCAACAUCCAUUGAAAGUCCAUGUCCGGGUGUUGUUCUUGGAACAAUUCAAUGCAUGUCUAAAUGACAUCUGCCUUCAGUUGCCUUUUCUCUAGUCGAAUGCGUUGAUCAACAUCAGACUUAACUUUUUCCAACUCAUAGCUAAGAUCGGCAAUCUUGGAGUCUUUGCUCGCAUUAGAUUUCUUUUUGGCUACCAAGUCUUCUGCCAAGUGAGUAUUUUCAUCGUUGUGAGCAUUGAGGUCACGCUUGAGCUGAUCUCGCUCGCUUGCUGUCUUUUUGUUCGUGAGGUUGUCUUUCAUCAAAGCGCGCUCGACUUCUUCUAUUUUUGCAUGGCCUUUCAAUGACUUUGCAAACGUCUCGAUAUCCGCGGCCAUGAUCAAGGAUUGCUGUGAAAGAAAGCAUGAUGGUUAAGAAGAAAAGUAUAAACAUCAAAGAAAUAAAGAUUGUGAAUUAAUACCCACCUCAGCUUGGUUUCGAGCAAGCACUUCAAGAGCAUGAGUAGCUGACAAGUGGGAAAAAUUCUUGAUGGUACCCUGGCUCACAAAUCGAGCAGCUAAGUUCACCAUGGGUAGUAAGUCCUCCGCUCUUCCUCACUUUGACUCUAUGAUGUCAUUGCUUUCAAGCAAGCUUCCUUUCGGACAUAUCGGGGAAGAGGUAAGUGGUAAAAUGCGCAAGGGACGAGAGUCGCUAGCUCGGUCACUUUUGCUCUGAGGUAGCAUGUUGCAAGCUGAAACAGCAAGUUAUUUUUCUUUUUUCUCAUCAGCUUUGUUUUUCUGUGAUGCCCGCCAUGGUUUCUUACUAUGUGGUUUUCCUUUCUCGUUCGAUAUCUCCUUGAUCACGGCUUUUGCAAUUUCUGCAGGGGUACGCUUAACAGUAGACGUGUUUCCUGCAUUUAGCAAUCAUUUCUCAACUCUAGCACUCAGCUUGUCAUUUAUAUCAACUUUCUUCUUCAAAGUCACUGCAGUAAAAACAUGUGUUAGAUUGUAUCCUUAUUUCGACCUCAACCUGAACAAAACUUGAAUUACCUAGUCUACUAAAACGAGUGGGAAUUUUAAACCAACCCUUGGUCAGCUCUACAUCCCUACCCUAAUUUCCACCCACCACGAAAUACUUGUUUUUCCAACCUCUACAUGAGCUUGGAAAGUCAAGUACUAUUCUUCUACUAUUUGAUUUUGACAUAAAAUAGUACUAUCCUUUGUGAUUGAUCCCAUGCUCAUUACAAAAAUAUAAGUGAGUAAACUCCUUAAAACACGGCUCGGUUAUAUUCUGCUCAGCCCAUACAACAUACAUACCACCUAAAACCCUCCAGCCAUUUUGGUCAAGUUGACCUGGACUCAAACCCACUCUCACCAACAUUCGAGCAAAGUAAGGUUGAAUGAGCAACUUGAAACCAAGUUAAAAAAUUUCCAUUACCCAAUUUGCUUGCCACCUCAUCUUCGCCCAAUAACUUAAGUGUAAUAUCGUCUGCAAUAAGAUAUUCCUUCCUCAACUCUUCAAUCUCUUUCUCUUUUGUAUCAAAGUUUAGUCUUAUCAAAGUUUAGUCUAUUCACGCCAUAUUCUUCAUGCUCAUCUCCCUCAUCUUCAAAUUGUGCACAACUCGAUUCCUCAUUCACCUCAUUUCCGCGUCUUAUUUUCUUAGACUUAUUUUCGGCCACGUUACAAUUUAAUUCUACAUUAUCUUCCCUGACUUUUCCAUUAUCAUCUACACCCGAUGCAAUAUCACUAAGCCCGUCCAACAACUCCUUAUUCGCAUUUUGCGAAUCGCUACAAAGUGACCCAUCUUCACUCCUUAAUUCCAUUAUUACCUAAUGUUACAUUUAACAAAACCUCAUUUCCAGUCAAUAUUAACACCCAGUAUGUAAACAGCAAAUUACAAGCAACCUUUCAUUGUCAACAUCACAUCCAACACAAUACAAAACACAGCAACAAGCAAAUGCGCUUGGGAUGAGACAACUCACCGGAUCUCCUUUAGUCAUAAUGGAUUCCAGUUUUGCUGAUAGUCAACAAUAGUAACAUCAUUCAGCAUUGGUUCUACAUCAAUAAAAUGCAACAUUAGCUGAGAGUAGUUUAAAAAAAAGAAACACAACAAAGAGAAGAAGAAGUUUGAGUUUCGACAAUAACAAAGAGAGAGGGAGAAUGCAAAACAAAAAAAAAACAGAGAGAGAGAAACGCAGCAAAGAGAAGAAGAAGUUGAGUUGUGACAAAAACAAACAAAAAAAAGAGGCGAGUUCUGUUUAUAAAAAAAAAAAAGGGCGUUUGGUUUCAAUACACACAUAUAUAGAUCUGGUAUUUAUUAUAAAAAAAAGCACAACAGAAGAUGGCGCGCGAGGUACUCACUUAGGGAUGGCAAUGGGGAGGGGAGGGGAGGGGACCAAUCUCCCCAUACCCAUCCCCGAUAUUUUGCAUAUGUCCCCGUCCCCUCCCCGUCCCCGUCAGAAUUACUUGAGAGAAUCCCCAUCCCCUCCCCGAAUAAUAACAGGGGAUCCCCGAGGGUCCCCGGUCCCCGAAUAACUAAUAGUCUAAUACAUUAUUUUUAUUUUCGAUUUUAAAUUAAUCAUAUUAAAAUAAAAAAUUCAGAUAAAAAUAAAGUUCAAAAUAUAUCUUACAUUAAUAUUGAUCCAUUACAAAGUCACAUUCAAAAUAUAAAUUAUUAAAAUAAUUAUAAAACAAUGAAAAUAAUAUAAGUAAAGUAACUUAUAAGUGCAAAUAUUAAUAACUGUAUAAUAUAAUCACAAUGUAAAAUAAACUCAUACUGUUAUUGUAAGCUCGUAACCAACUUUGACAGCACAUUAAGGCCUCCAAUGUGCUUGGAUGAAGUUUGUUACGGUGUGGGCUCACAACUCUACCACCGAUGCUAAAAGCUGAUUCAGAAGCAACUGUUGUAAUUGGAAUUGUCAAAAUAUCUCUAGCAAUUCGAGCUAAUGUAGGAUACCUAUUAGCAUUUAAUAAUAUAAAUAUUUUGAUAUUUAUUAUUUUUAACAAUAUUUAUAAUUUUGUUAUUUAUUUAUUAGUAAUUUUAAAAAUAAAAAUAAAAUUAAAAAUUAAAAUGGGGAAAUGGGUAGGGGAUGGGGAUUCCACCUCAUCCCCGUCCCCUCCCCGCAUAAAAAAUUGGGUAAAAAAUUUUCCCCGUCCCCUCCCCGAAAAAAAAAUUGGGUAUAAAAUUAUACCCGUACCCUCCCCGAAUGGGAAAAAUCCCCGAGGGUACCCGUCCCCGUGGGGAUUUUUGCCAUCCCUAUACUCACUAACAUGUUUGAUUAUGGCUCUGUAGCGUCGUUGCUCAAUUUACCCAAAAAUCGCAGGACGGCGACAGCUCAAUAUUUCACUUUUAUUGUGAAAAAGUGUGGAGGAUGAGGACGAAACAGAAGCCCAAACGAAACAGAAGCCAAAAGGUAUUGAGAAAAGACAAAAUGUAUGUUUUCAAUUUGCCUUUAAGUCACGUGCUUAUGCUUUUUCUCCAUGGUCUCGCUUUUUUAUUUAUUUACUUUAUUCUUUAUUUAUUCCUUAUUUUUAUUUUUUAUUAUUAUUUUUGCCAAAUUCUUACUUUUAAGCCUAUUUUAACGCAACACUAUCCUUGUUCUACUUCACAUUACCCCUGUUCUGCUGGAGACCAUACUACGCUUUCUUCAUUGUUUCAGUUUCCAAUACCGUUCAUAUCUUCUCAGUACUGAAAACUAGGGGACUGGUGUUCAAUUUAUAAGAAUUUUUAUAUUUUUCAUUAAUUAGUGUCCAACACCGAAAAUAGCUUCCUGAUGUUGAAAACUAUGAGACUGGUGUUCGGGUUGGAUUUUUCUGAUAACCUCUAGAAAGAGUCAACAUUGUUCGGGUUGGAUUUUUCUAGUAAUAUUUAGAAAUAUAGUCGACCCCAAUCUACUCAGAACUCAUUGUCGUCGAGCUAAUCUCGUAAGUACAACCUAGAUCCUAUUUUGGCGGCCUGGUUUACAAGUAUGAUAUGAGAUUUAUGUAAAUGACCUGAUUUAAGAAUACAACCUUAAGCCUAUAUGAGCGACCAGGAAAUUCACUGGUCCGACCUGAAAGUGAAGAAAUCUGAUCUCGAAAUUUAUUUGUUCGACCCAAAAAUUAGCUUGACAUAGAAAGCUAUCGAUUGAGAUAACGUGGCCUAAUUUCUAGGAAAGUUGUGUGCCACAAUCCAUUUAAACUGUCUGCAAUUGAUGACCACGUGCAACUGUUGAAGAAAAUGGGCAGAAGUUAAAGGUGGUAACCACCCACGACCAAGGGCCUAUUUAAGCUAAAAAGGGCAUCUGAGGAAGGGGUUAGAAAAAUGAACCAAAAAUUUUAUAAGUCACCUAUCUAAAAGUCAUAGGAUUCCCGACAAUAUUUUUAGUUUUCUCUACUGAAAAAAAUCCUUAAUUUUCAGUUUUCCCUUUUCGUUUACCUUUUUCUUAUACACAAUUUCUAACUUAAGAAUCAGAUGGUCUACGUCGAGACCCCACAGGCGUAUCCUAACCGUGUUUUCUGGUUGUCAGGUAUAUAAAGCUGGGUUCAGACCGACGUUUGAGCUUGGAUUCGCACUGUAAUUCCCCAAAAGAAAACAAAUUUAGCUGUUGAGGUCGUUUUUCGGCAUCAACAAUGAACAUCAUACUUGCCACACUCUUGCGUAUAAAUCCUUAGAUUUACAGGUCUUAUAUCACAUGAAUGAAGAUGCUAGUGGUGUGCCUCCAUGGAGCUCUAACUCAAUAGUUUUCAAGUAGUUUUAUUUAGCUAACCACCUAAGUUUGAGUUGUGGUGAGGAAAGAUGAUAAAAAUUAAUUUGAUCUUUGCACCUCACUACCUUUAAAAGAGUUCAAACUUCUAACUCGGUUUUGAAUUUUAAUUAUUUUAAAUUGAAAUGCUAAGUCCAUAUAUUAUAUAUAUGAGUUUUUUUUUUUUUUGCCCAAGGUUGAAUUAAACUAUAUAUUUACGAAAGUCUUGAGAUACAUGAUUUUCAGGAUUUAAUAAAAUCAUAUGUACUAGCUAUAUAUACAUCUUAAUAAAUGUUUGCCAGACCUUUAUUUGUACUAAAAUUAUACAUAUCUAGACUCUCAUUACACUUUAGAUUGUAACAAUUUAAAUAUUUUUUUUUUGUGGAAGUCGUUUAGAAUUCUAAGAUCGGAAGUCAAAUUUCAAUAACGAUUUUUUAAAAAUAUUAAUUUAAUAUAUAUAUAGGGAGAGAGAGAUUCUUGAGUGCAUAUACUUAACAUUAUAUAGUGUUAUAGCGAAUUUACACAAAAUUUACAUAUCGACACUUGAGAAUUUCUAUAUAUCAAAGCUUUUAAAUGCAGAAGUCUAAAUAUGGAUUUCAUGCGGAUUCACUACAAAAUCAUAUGAUGUUAACAUGUUUUUACAAUUGACUAUAAUACCACAUGAUGUUGUAGAAAAUCACACGGAAUCUCUAUAAUAUAAAGAGAGAGAUCUUGCUUUGCUUUAUAAUUGAAUAUAGGGUGGUGAUAUUCCCAUCGCUCAAAUUUUGUAAACCUACCUCACUUUAAAAAAUUAAAUCAUAAAAAAUUCACAUUAUUUUUAACGAUUUCAAAUUAUUAAGAAUAAAAUAAGCAAUUGACUAAUUAAAUCCUUAUUAAAUAAUUAAAAUACAUUUAUGAUAUGAUAUCUCAAAAAAUUUAUAUUAUUUUUCCCAUGAAAUUUACUAAUUACAAGAAAGAUCUGAUUGAUUAAUUGUUUAAAUUUUAUUUAUUUUAAAUUGAAAAAAUGUGAAUUAUUUUUUAAAUAAUUCUUUGAAAUGAUUUAAAUGUGGUACGUGUCCCACCAAGUUAAAACCUGAAGCUGAUUUAAAUUUUAUUUUGGAACGGAAACCUAGUAGCGAGGCUUCGUUCUUCAGGAAAUUCCGAGGUAAGUUAAUCAACGUUUCCACUAAUUACUUUUAUUUUGCUUCCAAAGUUUAUUUAAUUAGACCAAUUUCUGGCUUCCGACUUAAAUUGCAUAUCCAAUUUAGUGGUUGAUUUUUGGAGAUGGAGAUAAACUGAAACAUUGAUAAGCUUAGGGAAAAAAAAAUUCGAUGGAGAUUGAAAGUUCUUCGAUAGGAUUCUAGGGUUUUGAUUAGAGAAUUAAGAGAGAAUAGAUGAAGAAUUUAAAGAGAAGGGAGAAGAAUUAAUAGGAAUUAGAAUUAAUUUUAUUACUUGCCUCCUAAAAAUAUAAUAAGAACCACUUAUUUAUAGUAGUUCAAGACAAUCAUAAUUAUAAUUUAAUAAGGACUUUAAUUGAAAUAAGAAAACCUAAUACUAAUAGGAAAGAAAUUAAAACAAGCAAUUAAAAUAAAAUAAACUAUUAGGGUCCUAACAUUCACUGCCCCUUAAAACAGGCUUGUCCGCAAGCCUUUUACCCAGUUUCAAUAACCGAGAUCUUCCAAUCCACAUGAUGGUCAGGUGGUUUUUGAGGGUUGUGAAGAGGUAUAUUAGCGUCUAAAAGCAAUAGUUGAGAUUGUUUGCAGCGAUGUCCAGGCUUGAAUUGCUCAUCACAGUUGAAACAAAGCCCUUUAGAACGUCUUUCCGCCUGCUCAGUUGAGGAUAAACGUUUGACAUUAUUAGGUAAGAUAGAGGGAACCAGUCCUAAUAAAGAGGGUGCUGGUGGAGUAGGAGUUGACUGUAAUUGUGGGAGUGGAUCUUGGAUGGCAGGAAUAGGGGAACAAUUGCCUUGUAAAGUAAUUGCCUUUUCCUGAAAUCUAGCAAGUUCAAAAGUUUGUAGGAGACUAACAGGUUUGAAUAGUUGUACGCCAGCCUUGAUAUCUUUACGUAACCCAGAGAGGAAACAACUAAUGGAGAAAAGCUCAGUUAAAUUGCUAGUCCGAUCAGCCAACUUUUCAAAUUGUCGUUGAUAGUCAAGAACAGUCCCUGUUUGACAUAGUUUGGUAAGACUGCCAACUGCAUCAUUCUCUUCUAAUGUCCCAAAUCGAGUAGUCAAAGCUCGUUUAAAUUGCGCCCAAGUCAUUUCGCCCAUAGUCUGCUCUAGCCAAUGAAACCAAGGUACCGCAUCACCAUCAAAAUGGCCAAUAGCUAAAGACAAUAAGUCAGCAUCUGAUAAUCCAGUAAGGCGACGAUAUUGCUCACAUCGAAAAAUCCAUCCCGUUGGAUUGUCACCAUGAAAAAUAGGAAAGUCAAGGCAUAUGUUACGAGCUUGCACAAGAGUACUUCCAAUGCGUUCAGUAGGUUCAAGAGGGGAAUGGGUAGCAAUGACCGUUUGAGGAGCAGAGGUCCCUCCAGUAAAUAUAUCAACUUGUCGUUGAUCAGUAGCUGGUUGUUUGCCUUUUCACAACUAACUCAAUUACUGAAGGAUGCCGUGCAUGAGUUCCUGCAAAUCGUUAUUCUGCUUGGCUAAGGUUGUAACCUUUUCAUCGAUGGCUGUAAACUUGUCAUGGAAUUGUUGUGAUAACUGCUCAACUUGGCCUUCAAGCUCUUUAACAGUCAUGAUGCCUAAAAAAAGUUCGAAGAAAAUUCACGUUUGGUUGAAAAAUUUAGAUGCUGGAAAAAGUUUGGAGGGUGUGCCCGGUUCAAGUCUCCAAAAGCCAAGAGAUAUUGACAAAAGUUUGGUUGCUGUUUUUUUUUUCAAAUAGUGAACGAAAAAAAAAAUGGUGGCAGGAAGGAUGUGCUCUGAUACCAGAUGAUAGGAUUCUAGGGUUUUGAUUAGAGAAUUAAAAGAGAAUAGAUGAAGAAUUUAAAGAGAAGGGAGAAGAAUUAAUAGGAAUUAGAAUUAAUUUUAUUACUUGUCUCCUAAAAUUAUAAUAAGAACCACUUAUUUAUAGUAGUUCAAGACAAUCCUAAUUGUAAUUUAAUAACGACUUUAAUUGAAAUAAGAAAACCUAAUACUAAUAGGAAAGAAAUUAAAACAAGCAAUUAAAAUAAAAUAAACUAGUAGGGUCCUAACAUUCUUAUUACCUACAAAUGCAAUUAAUUAAAAUUUCUAAAAUUACUGUAAUUGUUGGCAAUGUGGGUUUUUUUUUUUUUGGUUUUGGGAGAGGGGGUCUGAAAUUUGCAUGCAUGCCUUAAUUGAGUUUUAUCACUUUAAAUCUUAAUUACUAAUGUUUUUUCUAUUAACGGUUGAAAAUAAGAUAAGAAGAGAGACGGUGAACUUGAAGAAGUAUAAGAAGAAAAGACAUGUACUGAUGUUGAUAUGUUUAUGUGAAUAAAGAAAUGGAAUCUUUGUCCAAGUUUUUCCCUUGAUGUUCUAAAGUUUGCAUAUAUAUGUUUCAAGAAACAAAUGGAAAUUAAAUAGUACAUAAAGGUGAACUCACAUCGUCGACUAAAGGUUACACUACCAUUUGCCCAAUGGUUCCAUUUCUAUUAUCAUUUUCUUUAUUCACAGAAAUAUCGUCGGCCUCAAAUUCAUCAGUAUAAAAAGAGGGACAAGGGCAAGGACAAGGACAGGGUGAAUCUAUUCUAUGACAACAGCAAGUCUGAAAUUUAGUUUUAUUUCUGCUGCCGCACUGAGGAAUCACGAGCAUCAACCACCUACUUUAUUACCGUUGCUUCAUUUUUCUCCUGAAGACAGUUGACUUGACGAAAUAACAUUUUUAAUGAGGCUGCCUUAGAGAAAGCAUAUAUGUUAAUCAUCUGUUGUAAUCUCAUGCCAAAAUCAUUUCAGUUCCUGCUCAUAAAAUUAGUUACUUCAACCUUUGUCAUAUGUAUUCUCCACUGCUUUAAGAUACUUUGAUAGUGAAUGUGUCUAAAUUCCAACUCAAAAGAUUCAUUUGAGGAAAAUUUCUUCAGAUGGUCAUGUAGAGUUCUAAUUUAUCUCAGCGUCAUACUCUAAAUACUUGAAAACUACAUGUCAAUCAUCAAUGUUCAUCUUUUGUUGACAAUCUCAACGAUCAAGUGUGUUUGGGAAAAAAUUAUCACAAUUAUGUUUAGUCCAUUUAUAAGACAAUGUGUCAAGUGAUCCAUUAGUCUAUUUAAAGGUUGCAAUCAAAUGAGUUCAUGUCCAGAUUGUGAAGUUGGUUAAUUUCAACAUAAUAGCAAUGAUUGUAUCCAGUGCUUUUAUAAAGUUGCUAUGUUAUUACUUCUUUAGUAAGUGGCAGACAUGACUUUCUAUUUUUCCACAGCUUCAAUUGUUAAAUAAUUGAUAAUGCUCUUUCGCUUACUCUGUUCUUUUUUUUUUUAGAUAAGCUUUAUUGCUUUUGCCCUUUCUUUCUUGAGAGUGGAUGUAUAAAACAAAUUGGCCUUGACUGAUACUUGAUGAUGUUGUAAUUAUUUCUCCCUGCUUUAUUCUUUUUACAAUAUAUGGAAGACAAAGUAUUGUAAGAUUCAUUUCCCGCACUGCUCUGCCUUGAUCUGUUCUAAUUUGAGAGUCAGCAAUCUUGAUUCAACUUCUUGGAUGGAGUACUAGCUAAGAGAAGGGAGGAAUGGGAGCCAACACUAAUUUUUCAAUGAGGAGAUAUGGGCAUCAACUUCAGACUAUUUUCGGAGAGGCUGAGAAGGGUGUUAGCUGGCCAAGAAGUCACAUUGCCUGAUGCUGCAAAACAACCUAUUCAGAACCUUCAUGCCGAGGUUGAAAUCGUUACUCCUUGGCUAAGGGACUAUGAAUAUGAUAUGUCCUGGCUUCUGCUGCAAAACAUAGGAGAAGAUGAAGUUGACAACCCAGACCUUGGGCAGAAAUCAAUUGCUUUACCUAUGAAUCUGAGAAGGUCAAUGACACAUUCUCAACAGCAUCACUCAACAGAAGAGUCAAAGCAGGUGCAACAAGGACAUUUGUGAUGCUCUGCUAGGACUUCAGAGUAGAAUCAAUGAUAUAAAACAGCGGAUGCAACAACUUCAAUACAUAGAUUCCGGAAUCAUUGAUGAUUUCAAAAGUAUUGAAGAUGAAGCUGACUAUUUUCCUGCAUCUUCAUCUUCUAAGAAUAGCGGCAUGGUGGGUCUAGAAGACAGAAUGGAGAAGUUGUUAGAUAUUUUGAAAGAGGGACCACCUCAGCUUUCAGUGGUGGCCAUCUUGAUAGCAUUGGGUUGGACAAUGUGGCUUUUGCUGCAGAGGCUUACAGCAGCAGUGAUGUGAAGCAUUAUUUUAAUUGUCACGCUUGGGUUCCAGAGCCUUACAGCUAUGACGCUGAUGAUGACCAAAUAUUAGAUAUCAUUAUUAAGUUUCUAAUGCCUUUAUCUAGGUUGAGUAUAAUAAAGGAUAAAAAUUAUGAAAUGAAAAAAAAAUUCAAGAACAUCUAAUGAUCAAGUGGUAUUUGAUUGUGGUUGAUGAUGUGUGGAGCAUUGAAGUCUGGGAUGUUAUUCGAGAAAUUGUUCUGGAUAAUCAGAAUGGAUGUGGAGUACUAAUAACACUCACUGAAAUUGAUAUUGUCAUCGCAUUUCAGUUCAAAAGCAGACAUAAUAUUUGGCUUGAUUUAGUGCCCACUAAGAGGACUAUUGAGAGUUGUUUACCUUUUUGAAGUACAUGGAACAACUAAUGAAUAGAGUCUUUGUUGAUGCAAAGAAGAGAAGUGAUGGAGGCAAAAUCAACGCAUGCCCUAUUCGUAGUCGUUGCUGGCCUUCAUUGUGGCAAACGGCUCUCAAAGCAGAAUUUAUCUUUUCAUCCUAUCCUGGAUCAGAAAGGUAAAUCGCGAAAAAAUGUCAACCAUGUCUACGUUUUUUAAAAACAGAGUGAUUUUGCUUACUUAGAUGAUUGUGACUCCCACCCGCAUUCUUUUGUCGUACUUCAAAAAGCGACCACCUUGACCCCAUAGAUUGGAUGAAAAUUUGUUAUACUUAAAAAAGCGACCACCUUGACCCCAUAGAUUGGGUGAAAAUUGUUUUGAGUAAUGGACUUGGGAUCUCUUGUUCUCAGCCAAUUUCCAUCCAAAAUUGAAACUUUAUUUCUUUGAUAUGAAGCUGAAUAUCCCUUCCCUCAAAAGCCUGGCUUUAUCAUUAUUAAGAAAUCUCUGAAUCUCUACACCAUAGCCAUUCCCUUUAGCUACAUAAAUCAUACAACAGAUGAAUUUUGGAAGAUGAACAAACUCAGGCAUCUAAAUUUUGGCUCGAUCAUACCUCCCGCACAUCCAGGAAAAUAUUGCGGCUCUUUGGAAAAUCUCAAUUUCAUUACAGCCACGCAUCCUUGCUGCUGUAUUGAAGAUAUAUUGAACAGACUACCUAAUCCUCAAAAUCUCUGGAUAUGAGGAGAUUUAUAUUUUUAUCAAUUUUUGAUGUCCCAAAGCCUUUGCAGAUUCAGAUGCCUCAAGUCAUUGAAGAUGGUGAAUGAAAGCAAGAUGCCAAGGCUCUUCAAAAUCGUCUGUGCCAAAUACCUACUUCCUCAAAGUCUAAUCCACUUGAGUUUUUCAAAUAUUGAACAAAUGGAUGAUCCCAUGCCUGCACUAGAAACGUUUCCACUUCUUCAAGUGCUCAAACUGAAGCAAAGCUCAUAUUUAGGUAAAUAGCUUACUUGUGGGCGUGAUGGUUUCCCAAAGCUCAAGAUAGUGCACCUGAAUUCAAUGCCAUGGCUAGAGAAGUGGACUAUGAGGCUUGGAGCCAUGCCAAAACUGGAAUGCUUGAUUCUCAAUUCUUGUGCUAAUUAGAAAAAGAUUCCUGAAUAGCUCUGGUGCACAAAGAGCUUAAACAAAUUCGAGUGUUGGUGGCUUCAGCCGGAGCUGAGACAAAAGCUACGGGACUUCGAGGAUAAGGCGCAGUAUGACAAUCAAGUAUAUCCUUAUGGAAUUUGAUUUGCAUGGAUUUAAUUAGAUGUAAGUUUUUCAUUUUAUGCUAUAUCAUCAACCUUUAAUUAUUAAUCUAAUUUCAUACAUUUUUUUUUCUUCUCCUCAAUAUAUUUGAUAGUACGCAGCUUGCUAAUGCUAUAAAGUGUUUUCUAAUUGUGGUUGCUUCUAAUUCUUGUCUCAACAUUAGACAUGAAGUGUUCAUCACAGUUCCUAUUGCUGACCCCGACCAUUUUCCCUUAAUUAUUUUUAGAAGAGGAAGAACCCUUGUGUAUUGAUUGUUGAACAGUCAGGAAAAACUAUAAUUUCAGAUCUUAAAUUACUAGCGCAGGUGAAAUCAUACCGGGAAAUAUGUCAAGUGUAGUGCAGCAAAAGUUUCAAUUUCAACCAGAAUCCGGCCUUGAUCCUUUCAGUAUUCACUUAUGUUGUCUACACAUUAUUGAGUCCUCAGGAUUGAUACAGGACAUUGUUGGGUUUCUUUGUUUUCAAGGAUCUGCUACAAGUAAUAAUGUCAAGUUUUUGGAUUCACUGUGUAUAUUCUAUUCGUGUGUCUUCAUUCUUGUAAUGUGCUUGAAACUCCAACUUAGUGUGGACGUGUGUGGUUUGGUCGUACCAUGUGUAAUACAUGUUAAUUGUCAUAAUUGUCUUAAGGGAAUUCUGCAUCACUUCCAUUAGAAGAAAAGUUUGGAUGUAGGCACCAUUGUUGCUGAAUCUACUGUUGAUUUGCUCUAUGUUUUCUAUAUUUUUUUUAAUUCAAUUUCGGGGAUUGCGUUUCUAGCGUUGAUUGUUGAUACAUCAGAGGACUAAAUAAAAGAAAUAGAAACUGGGGCAUAUUGCCUAAUCUUCAGAAUCUCCAAUUUUAUGGAGAUUCAAGUCCUUAUCAUUCAUAAAUAACUUGAAUGCUGGAUUGUUAUUAUCUUAGAUUCUCUAAAUAAUAAUCCAAAUAAGAAUGUAGGAAAAAUAUUGAUUACAAAUGCUUGUUUUGAACAAAUACUACCGAUUAUUUUAAAUUUUUGACAUAGAAAUUAUAAAUAGUAUUAGCAUGUGAAUUUUAAGGUAUUAGCCGAUUCUGUCCAAUUUUAGAGGUUGUUGCCUCAUGUUCACCUUAUAGUCGUUGGUUUUUGCUGAAAAAAUGAAUGUGUAUCAUUUUUUUUCCCUUUUAUUUUCUGUUAUACAUUGAUUCCCCUACUUCUAGCUGAUUCUGUUCUCCUUUAUAACGAGAAAGAAGUUAUUUUUUGUGCGCUUAUAUAUACAUGUUAAGCUUGGAUAUGUGUGGUUUGGUUUGUUUUAAUAAUAUGAUUGUGUGGUGUCAUCGGUAAUACUUUUUAAGGGUGCAAUCAAAUGAGUUUAUACCUUAUAGUGAAUUUGGUUAAUUUCAAGAUAUCAUUUUUUGGGAUCUUCGGCUUUGGUUGCUAAUACAAAAUUCCUCAAAUCUCGAUUGGAAUUUGGGAAUCCGUCCUAAAUGAUACAAGAUUUGAUAAAAGUUUCUCAUUCUGAUUUAUUAUUCGAGUUGAGAUUCAAGAUCUAAUUUUCUUCCAACUUAAUAUUCAAGACGGGAUUUGAGAUGUCUGAAAAUCUCAUUCGAGAUCCCUUAGGCAAUCAAAUGGGUCCAUAUAUCCUUAUAAUGAAUUUGGUUAAAUUCAAGAUACCCUUUUUUGGGAUCUCCCGCUCUAACUGUUAAUACGUGAACCUAGGCUGGCAAAAUUAUCCAGAUACCAAUCGAGAUACAAACCCUAUAUAAGAUUUGUUACAAAUUUCAUAUCCCAAUUUUCAAUGUAGGUCAGGAUUUAGGACCCCAUUUUAUACCGAUUCAUAAAUUUCUUUAUUUAGACAAUAACUGAUGACAUAUUAUUAGUUCAAAGCUCACGGAGUAAAGGUUGAAUUAUUGGUGCAAUCAUCCGCAAUUUUCUGCAAGCAUGCAACAUAUUAAACAAGAGAAUAUUUAAUUAUUUUUUGGGUUCUGUUAUUACAAUAAUGAUUUUGAAGAUAUUAGUUGGAGAAAAAUGGUUUUUUUAAGUCAUUUUCAAUCUUGAGAAAAAGUUUUCUUGCUGGCACACACUGUCUUUUAUCUAUAUUCUAGUCUUCCAUUAUGUUAAAAAAAAUAAAUAUGAAAAUAAAAAGAAAAUAGGACAUCAUCAAGUAUCAAUCAAAGAUCAAUUUGUUUUAUCCACUUUCAGGAAAGAAAAGGUAAAAGCAAUCCCACUGGGGACCAUAAAGUUUAUCUCAAAAGAAAAAGCACUACAAUAGUCGAACACAAAGAAGAGUAAUAAUGAGUAGAGCUGGCAAAACGGGUCAUCGGGUCGUGUUCGUGUCAUGUCAGCUUCGUAUCGUGUCAAAUUUAGGUCGACCCAAACCCGACCCAUUUAAUAAUCAUGUCAAAAUAUUGAGACCCAAACCCGACACGGAAAAAUAAUCGGGUAACCCAAUAACCCGUUUAAUAUCUAUAUAUUGAACAAAAGUUACAUCAAAUAUUUAUGCACUAUAGUACAUACGUAUGCACAUACAUACAUACAUAAUUUAUCGAUACUAUAAAAUAUACAUAUCUACGAAUAUAUUACACAUUUACACUAUUGAGGUUUUAAUUAUAUAUAUAUACAUAUACAUAUAUAUAUAUAUAUAUAUAUAUUAUAAAAUAUACAUGUCUAAAUGUAUUUAAAAUUUUAUAAAUAAAACACUGUGUUUAUAUUCACCCUUUUAAAGAAUAAAAAAAAAAUCAUCUCUAAUAUUUGAGUUUUAAUGAUAAGAAUAUGUAAAUUAUUUUAAAAUAGAAAAUAUAAUCGGAUCAUUGAUCGGGUAAAUGGGUCAAGAAUUUUAACCCUAACCCGACACGGAAAAAAAUAGUGUUGACCCGGACUCGACCCAUUUAAUAAUCGUGUUAAAUUUGACGACCCAUACCCAUUUAUUUAUGUCGUGUUCGUGUCGGGUAAUCGGGUCGUGUCAAAUUUUGCCAGCUCUAAUAAUGAGAAAGGAGUUGCAUAUAAGUUGAAGAUUUUUAUUUUUUUUUUAAAGAAGGGCCCGACAUCAUGAUGCUUUCAAUUAGCGAAGGAUAUAUGAAAAAGAGAUGAAUAUUGCACUUUAGAUUUGGAUAAUUCCGAUUGGAUUUUGAAUUGUUUGGAUUAGGAAAAAAAAAUCAUUCAAAUCCAACCUAAAUCUCAAAUACAAUCAAUUCGAUUCAAAAUAAAUAGAUAUUUCAGAUGAAUUUGGUUUUAGAUUGUUUAGUAUUUAAAUUCAAAUAGUAUUUUAAAUUCGGAUUGAAUUCGAAUUUAGGUCUUUUUGAUAAUUUUUACAAAACAAUCCUGAAUUCUAUAUAUAUAUGUAGAGUAGUUCAAUCCAAUCAGAUUGUUUAGAUUAAAACAUCCAAAUUCAAAUCAGAUCUAUUCGAAUCCAAUCCAAUGCACACCUUUAGCCCUAUUGAAUGAUCAUCUAACCAUUGAAACUAUAACGCAUUCUGUUGUAGUCUGUAGAGCGCUUGAAAAGAAAAUAUCUAAACAAUAGGGACUAUUAUGCAUUAGAUGCAUCAAUGAAUCAAAUUCUAAGGUGAUGCUUUUUUUCUUUAGACAAGCUUUAUGGUCCCAGUGGAAUUAUUUUUAAUCUUUCAGUCUUUUGAGAGGGCAAAAAAGAAACUAGUCUUGAUAGCUUAUUUUACUUUCUUCAUACAUAUACAUAUACAUAUAACACAAAUUAUAAGACACCCUUUUAUCUUCUUGCAUAAUUAAUAUUUUAUAUACACGUACAUUAUACCUCAGGUUUUGUGCAAAAAAUCAUUAUUGUACAUCAAUAAUUUCUCAAUAUAAUCCCUCUUUAUCAAUCAGUAUCCCCACGACAUCUACAGCAUUUAGUUUUAAGAUUCAUUUUCUAGUACUGCUCUGCCUUAAUCUGUUCUGCCUCAACAGCCACCUGAACUUGAUUCAACUUCUUGACAGAAGGAGGUAUUGGUGCCAUCCUCAGUUGAUUAUGUUGACUAAUGUUGAAUUAAAAGGAGAGCUUUUAACAAUUUUUUUUUAAUUAUUUUCUUUGCAUGCUAGGGCUACUGGCUACUGACUACCGAGAGUAAAGGAGAUAUGGACAUCAACCUUGGACUAUUUUCAGAGAGACUGAGAAGGGUGCUAGCUGCUGAAGAAUUCACGGUGCCCGAUGCUGCUGAACAACCUAUUCAGAACCUUUACACUGAGACUGAAAUCGUUGCUUCUUGGCUGAGGGACUCUGGAUACAACACUGCUUGGUUUAUGUAGCAAGUCAAUGCAGAAGAGGGUUAAACUCUGGCAAAAUUAGAAGAUUUUAAGGCUAUCAUUGACAAAAUUCAUUGUUUUUCAUACGUAUCUGAGAAUGUGAUUGACACAUUUGCUAUUAGCAUCACUCAACAGAAGAGUCAAAGCAGAUGCAGCAAGGACAUUUGUGAUGCUCUGCUAGGACUCCAAAGCAAAAUCAUUGAUAUAAAACAACGGAUGCAGCAAGUUCAGCACAUCCACUCCCGAAUCGUUGAUGAGCUCAAAUCGUUUGAACCAAAAGCCGGUAAUUUUCCUGCAUCCUUGUCUUUUAAGAAUAGGGACACGGUGGGUCUAGAUAAUAAAAUGGAGGAGUUAUUAGAUCUACUGACAGAGGGACCGCCUCAACUUUCGGUAGUGGCCAUACUCGAUAGCAUUGGAUUGGACAAGACGGCUUUUGCCGUAGAGGCUUACAGCAGCAACUAUGUGAAGUAUUAUUUUGAUUGUCACGCUUGGGUUGAAGAGUCUUUAUUGUAUGAUGCUGACCAAAUAUUAUACGACAUUAUUAAGUUUGUGAUGCCUUCAAGUAGGUUGAGUGAAAUUAUGGAAGAAAGUUCGGAAAUGAAAAAAAUUAUUCUUCAUGAAUAUCUAAUGACCAAGCGUUAUUUGAUUGUGCUUGAUAAUGUGUGGAGAAUAUCAGUAUGGGAUGUUAUUCGAGAAAUACUUCCCGAUAGUCAGAAUGGAAGUAGAGUAUUGAUAACACUCAGUCGAAUUGAGAUCGUCGCCUCAUUUCAGUUCGAAAAUGGAGAGAACAUUGGGCUUGAUUUUCUGCCCACUGGAGGACCAUUGAGAGUUACAUACCAAGGAUGGCCUUUCCACAUCUUAUAUCAUGAAAGCAUCUCACUGAAAGAAAAUAUAGAGGAAGCACUUGAUGAACCCCGGGGGCUUCAAGUCCUUGCAUAUUGUAUGUUAACUUUUUACUUGAAACUUUGUUGUCUCUACUUAUCUGUGUUUCCUGUACACUUUGAGAUAUCCACCAAGCAAUUAUAUCAGACGUGGAUAGCCUAAGGUUUCAUUCCAAACAACAAUGAGGCAACUGCCGAGAAAUACUUAGAACAGCUAAUCAAUGGAGGCUUUGUUAUCCUCAUUGAAGAAGCCAAGGGAUUUGUAUUUAUAUAUAAACAUUUAACCAUGCAUGAACAAGAAUUUUAAGGAUAGAGACUCUUUCCACACGCGUGUACGCGAGGGGAGGGGGGCAAAUCCAUGACCGAUUUGGUUGAACUUGUGUGCGCCCGCGAAUGUCAGCCCAAGCACGCAUGGCACGUGUUUUAUUUCCUUUUAAAUUUGUUGUAAUAGUUUCACACCUUUUGAAUUCAAAAGAUUUGUAAUAGCUUCGCAAUUAUUUUGGGCUGUUCUGCAAUUCAAUUUUUGAAUUGAAUUGUUUAAAAUUCAAUGGCUGUUACAGCAAUUAAAUUGCAUAUAUUGAAUUCUGAAAUUCAAUUUUUAUGCUAUUGUUACGUACCCACAUGAGUAUAAAAAGGCACCUUCUUCUUCUGUUUUUACACACACUGAAACCAGCACACAGAGCACUUACAAUUUUUCUUUCUUCCUUCUUUUGUCUUGUUUUCUGAUCGAGUUUACCGUUGUUGUAGUUCGCCGGAAUUAUCUGUCUGUGCUUGACAGAAAAUUCGUGCCCGUUGUAUCCUGGGAAACAGUUACCAGUAAACCUAAAGCACUUCAAUAGGUGGUAAAUCUGUUUUAAGGACACUGUAUUACAGGCCUCGAGUUUAUUUUCUUCAGUUGUUAUUUUUUUUCCUGUUGUUUAUAUCAGUUGUUGUUUUGCUGUAGUCAAAUUAGCUACUAGUUUAUUUGUUUAACUCACUGUGAUUAUUUUUUAUAACAUUGAAAUCGUCGCCUCAUUUCAGUUUAAAAAUGGAGAGAACAUUAGGCUUGAUUUGUGCCCACUGGAGGACCAUUGAGAGUUACAUACCAAGGAUGGCCUUUCCACAUCUUAUAUCAUGGAAGCAUCUCACUGAAAGAAAAUAUAAAGGAAGUACUUGAUGAACUCCGAGGGCUUCAAGUCGUUGCAUAUUGUAUGUUACAUUUUUACUUGAAACUUUGUUGUCUCUACUUAUCUGUGUUUAUUGUAUACUUUGAGAUAUCCACCAAGCAAUUAUAUCAGUUGUGGAUAGCUGAAGGUUUCAUUCCAGACAACAAUGAAGCAAUUGCUGAGAGAUACUUAGAACAGCUAAUCAAUGGAGGCUUUGUUGAUGUAGGGAAGAAAAGUGACAGAGGCAGAAUCAACACGUGCUCUAUUCCUGGGCGUUGCAGUCUUGCGUUGUUGACUGGGGCUUUCGAGGGGGAAUUUGUCAUUUCCCCAAUCAUGGAUCAGGAAGUUAAAUUACGAGAAAAUGUGAAACGCUUCACCGCUCAUGGAAAUUUGAAUGAUUUUGAAUUUUUAGAUCAUUUUGACUCGUUCCUCCAUUCUUUGUUGCACCUCACUUUAGGAAGCCACUACCUUGACCCCAAUUAUUGCGAGAAAAUCUGUAAAAUGUUCAACUUUCUUAGAGUAUUGGACUUGGGAUCUCUUGUUCUCAUCCGAUAUCCUUCCGAAGUCGAAAAUUUAUUUCUUUUGAGAUAUCUAAACUUGAAUAUCCCUUCCCUGAAAAGCCUUCUGUAACGCCACAAAUUUCCAUAAUAUUAAAUUAUAGAAAUUGGGCUUUCAUUGAUAAUUAUGGGUGGCCUAUAACCCUUAUUAAGAAAGGGAUACUAAAUUAUAAAUAGAGGUUAUUUAUGAGAUAGUUUUGAAAAAGGGUUAUUUUUCCUUAUUAAAUAGGGUUUCUUAAGAUUCCCUAUAAAUUCAUACUUUUCCUCUUCCAUAACCCUUAGUCCAUGACAUUUAUUCUUCUCCUCUGCUGCUCUUUACGCUCCUACCCAAAUCCUAGGAUUCAAACCUUUGUUUAGGACAGAAUCAAAGCAACGGGUAAGUUAUUCUCCUUAUUCUCAACAGAUUUCUAAUCACUCUAUCUAGGGUUUAUAUUGGCACGAUUCUAGAUGGUUAUAGAUCAUAAUGCAUGAUUUAGAAUGUAUUUAGGCUUUGUUUAGGGUUUUGAUUUAUUAUGAGUUUAGUUAAUCAAUUCUUGACGUACGUAUUAAGCACACAGGAUAAUUCUGAACAGCAUGAGUAUCUCGAAUUUAAACCUAUAUUUUCUGAAAGAGUUUUCUUAUGAAAUUUAUAUUUCUGGAAACUAGACAUGUAGGGCUUCUUGAGUAAAUUUUAUUUCUUUAAAUUCGACUUCGGUUUCAAUUUUAUAUGUAUUUUCGAAAUAGAAACCACUGCACUGGAAAACUACGAUUCCAGCAUUGCGAUCGGAUUCACAAGAUUAUUUGUACCACAAAUGAACUCAGAAAAUUCGGAAAGUUUAUAUGUAGGUUAAUAUAUGUGUUUAGGAUUCCCAGUUUUAAUUUCAUAAUUUUCUGAUUAUUAUUUUAUUUUAUAAAAAUCAAAGAACCCGUUCUGUUUGGUUUAGAUUAUGUGAAAACAGUUUCGAAUUUGCUGAGAAGCAAAUAGUUUUUAAAAUGUUUUUGAUGUCAGAUCCUCUUACCAAUUUUACAUGGGGUACUCAUGGAUGUCCAGAAUAGUUUCAUAGAAUAUUAUAUCAUUCUGAGUUUUAGAUUAAGAGUUAAAAUUCUGAGAAUCAGACCUGUACGGGUAUGAAUUAGAAAAUCAGAUUCCUAUAAUAAGUUAUUAAUUGUCAUAUCUUGUAUUUGUUUAAGGUAUUGAAGGUGAUUGAGGCUCUUAGAAGCUUAGAGGUGUGUUAAUUCAAAUUCAUUUGUCGAGGUAAAUAACUUCAUUCCUAAUGUACUGGAUAUGUAUAAGUAUUUUGAUAUUAUUAUUAUAAGUAUAAAUGUUGUUAUACUACUUAAAGGAUUAAUUGAUUUUGAUAACAAAAUUAGUUUUAUGUAAAUGUUUUCAAACCCAAAUUCUUUUUAACAAAGUAUUUUAUAAAUGUUUUUAAUAUGUAAAUGAUUUUAUGACAUGACAACCUUUUAUGAUUUUAUCUUUAAAAUGUUAUACAAGCCUAAAUUAUUGAUAUGAACUUUUAUGAAACUGAUACGAAUGUUUUGUACCUAUGUUUGAUUUCAAUUAUUGAUGAUUGUAUGAGAUUCUUAAUGUUUUGGCUCAUUGUCCAUAGUUAUUCUGAUUCUGAUUCUGAUUCUGAUCGUAAUAUACGAUAAAAUUUUGGAGAAACAAAAUUUCAUGAUAUACCAAAUUUUAUCUUGAUUCACACCAUCUUACCAUCCACCUUAUGAAUAACACAUCAUUUAAAAAAAAUUAGGAUAAAAUCACUCGGGAUAAAAAAAGCAGAAUAACAUUUGAGAUGUCUAGUUUUUAAUUAAGUCUGUGUAUGUGUAUGCUGAAGAAAAAAAUUAUGAUCAGAAUCAGAAUUGGAUGUUCGAGCUGUGGUUUCGGUAAUGGGGUGAAUUGGCAUUUUGAUAACAAAAAAAUUAGGUUUCUUUUAAUACAAUUUUACAAAUUUUGUUUAAUCUAAAUCAAACAUAGGUACAAAACAUUCGUAUCAGUUUCAUAAAAGUUCAUAUCAAUAAUUUAGGCUUGUAUAACAUUUUAAAGAUAAAAUCAUAAAAGGUUGUCAUGUCAUAAAAUCAUUUACAUAUUAAAAACAUUUAUAAAAUACUUUGUUAAAAAGAAUUUGGGUUUGAAAACAUUUACAUAAAACUAAUUUUGUUAUCAAAAUCAAUUAAUCCUUUAAGUAGUAUAACAACAUUUAUACUUAUAAUAAUAAUAUCAAAAUACUUAUACAUAUCCAGUACAUUAGGAAUGAAGUUAUUUACCUCGACAAAUGAAUUUGAAUUAACACACCUCUAAGCUUCUAAGAGCCUCAAUCACCUUCAUACCUUAACAAAUACAGAUAUGACAAUUAAUAACUUAUUAUAGGGAUCUGAUUUUCUAAUUCAUACCCGUACAGGUCUGAUUCUCAGAAUUUAACUCUAAUCUAAAACUCAGAAUGNNNNNNNNNNNNNNNNNNNNNNNNNNNNNNNNNNNNNNNNNNNNNNNNNNNNNNNNNNNNNNNNNNNNNNNNNNNNNNNNNNNNNNNNNNNNNNNNNNNNNNNNNNNNNNNNNNNNNNNNNNNNNNNNNNNNNNNNNNNNNNNNNNNNNNNNNNNNNNNNNNNNNNNNNNNNNNNNNNNNNNNNNNNNNNNNNNNNNNNNNNNNNNNNNNNNNNNNNNNNNNNNNNNNNNNNNNNNNNNNNNNNNNNNNNNNNNNNNNNNNNNNNNNNNNNNNNNNNNNNNNNNNNNNNNNNNNNNNNNNNNNNNNNNNNNNNNNNNNNNNNNNNNNNNNNNNNNNNNNNNNNNNNNNNNNNNNNNNNNNNNNNNNNNNNNNNNNNNNNNNNNNNNNNNNNNNNNNNNNNNNNNNNNNNNNNNNNNNNNNNNNNNNNNNNNNNNNNNNNNNNNNNNNNNNNNNNNNNNNNNNNNNNNNNNNNNNNNNNNNNNNNNNNNNNNNNNNNNNNNNNNNNNNNNNNCAAGAAUUGAUUAACUAAACUCAUAAUAAAUCAAAACCCUAAACAAAGCCUAAAUACAUUCUAAAUCAUGCAUUAUGAUCUAUAACCAUCUAGAAUUGUGCCAAUAUAAACCCUAGAUAGAGUGAUUAGAAAUCUGUUGAGAAUAAGGAGAAUAACUUACCCGUUGCUUUGAUUCUGUCCUAAACAAAGGUUUGAAUCCUAGGAUUUGGGUAGGAGCGUAAAGAGCAGCAGAGAAGAAGAAUAAACGUCGUGGACUAAGGGUUAUGGAAGAGGAAAAGUAUGAAUUUAUAGGGAAUCUUAAGAAACCCUAUUUAAUAAGGAAAAAUAACCCUUUUUCAAAACUAUCUCAUAAAUAACCUCUAUUUAUAAUUUAGUAUCCCUUUUUUAAUAAGGGUUAUAGGCCACCCAUAAUUAUCAAUGAAAGCCCAAUUUCCAUAAUUUAAUAUUAUGGAAAUUUGUGGCGUUACAAAUUUCCUCCAAGUCUAGCCCACUUGAGUUUUUCAAAUAUUGAGCUAAUGGAUGAUCCCAUGCCGGCACUAGAAAAGGCUGGCGGUUCUUCAGGUGCUCAAACUAAAGCAAAACUCGUAUUCAGGUAGAUAGUUGGCUUGUAGCUCUGAUGGCUUUCCAAAACUCAAGGUGCUGCACCUUAAGUCAAUGUUAUGACUAGAGGAAUGGACUAUGGGGAUUAGAGCCAUGCCGAAACUAGAAUUCUUAAUCAUCAACCCUUGUGCUCACUUGAAAAGGAUUCCUGAACAGCUUUAGUGCCUAAAGAGCUUAAACAAAUUGGAGUUGUAGUGGCCUGAGCCGGAGCUAAGACAACAGCUACGGGAAUUCGAGGAUAAGGAGCAGUAUGGCAUUCAGCUAUAUCCAUAUGGAAUUUGAUUAGCGUGGAUCGAAUUUGAUGUAAGUUUUUUUUCCUUUUUAUCCAAUAACUUCAACCUCUAAUUAUUUAUCUAAUUUCAGGUAAACAUCUAUUCUCUAUGAUUGAUUCGAUAGUACGCAGCAGCCUAAAUAAUAAUGAUACCAUAAAGUGUUUUCAAUCUAAUUUUUGUCUCAACAAAGACUUGGAAGUGUCCAUCAUAUUCCCUGAUACUGACACUAAUCAUUAAUCGCUUAUUAAUAGAAGAGGCAGAACCCUUAUGUAUUGGUUGUUGAAAUAAUCAAGAAAAACUGUAAAAUAAGAUAUGCAAUUACUUGUAUGUGUAGGUCAAAGCAGAGCGGAAAAUAUCUUAACUGUACUGCAGCCAAAGUUUCAAUUUCAAUAAGAAUCCAGCCUUCACUGAAAUUGUGUGGUUUCUUUUUUUUUUUUUUGAUAAGAAUUGUAUGGUUUCUUUGUUUUCACGGAUUAGUAAUUUGUACAAAAGUUUUAUUGAUUGUUUUACUUUCUAUUUUCCCAUUCACUGGUGUGUAUUCAAUUUGUCAACAUUGAAGUUGCAUAUAUGUUAUUGUUUUUUAUUUUAUUUUAUUUUUCUAGUUUUUUAGUAGUGGUACAGUUCAAUCUCAUUACUUUAGUUAAACGAAAAAUGUUUGUGCUGUGAUCACACCUCAUUAUCUUAAAACUGACAGAACGAUAUUGUCAUUCGGUUUUUUAGAAUUUCGCCGACGUGUCGUCCAAUGUAAGGGCGACAAUGCUGGUCAAAAGUCAGUUGGGGUUCGUUAAAAUAGAGCAUGGAAAUUUCGGGUUUGUUGGAAAUAACCUUUAUUGUAGUUUAUAACGCUGGUUGUUGGGUCAUCUUCACAGGUCUCAUCAAAGCCAUAGAAAGAGAAAGAGUUAAAGAGAAAAAGUUGCAUAUUCUUGGAAUGAUUGUGAAAUGGUCCUUGUUCUUCAGUGGAUGUAGGCACUUUGAUUCAAUUUUGAGUUUCGGUUUCCGGAAUGAUUCUUGAUACGUCAAAGAGGGUCUUAGGUGUGUGAUCUUGGUACUAACAGAGGAUUAAACACAACAAAAAAGAAACUGUGGCAUAUUGUCUAAUCUUCAUAGACUCCAAAUAUAUGGAGAUUUUAGCCCUCGUCAAUCUGGGUUGUCCAACAGCCCUUGUAAAAUCAAAAACCAUCACUAAUCCUUGGUGACUUUAGGGAUCUAGUAAGGACUAGGUAGAAUUGAAGAGGAGAUUUAACGAGUGAAGUUCUGAAAGUGGAAGAUUUAAAAUUUAAUCUGUAGCGUUGCAGAUUUUGGAAUCUUCGUUAGAAUUGAUGACUGAAUUCUUUCUCUAUUGGUUGAUUAGCAGCCCAAUUGCACUAAAAGAAUAAAGAGCAGCUAUAAUCGUUUUCACAUUUUCCCUUCCAGCAUCCAGAGGGUGCCUUGUAAUGCAGUGCAAUGAAGUUGAUGGCGAGAGGAUGUGCUGCUGCUCACUCAAUUCCUUACAGUCACAUCAAAGCCCUUGUUUGCAGCAGAGGAAUUCCCUUUUGUAUUCAAAUUGAUCCUUCUGCUUUGGUUGUCAUUGGAUUCUUACCACUCUUUAGCCAGUAACAUAAUGUUGAGUUUAUUGAUUUUGCUAUCUUAAGAAUGUCCAAGACAUCUUGUAAUCAUGAUAUAUUGUCAUUUUAUUUUGAGACAAAUGACUUUUUUCCCAGUUAGCAAAUGCAUAUUGCUUUCAUUUUUUGGAUUGGAAAAACAAAAAUUGGAAGAAGAAAAAUGAAAAUUAAUAAACAAAAAAAAGAUUACAGGACAUCAGCAUCAUGUUCUUUUCUUUGAACUAAGUCUUUGUUUAACCUUUCUCCUUUUCCAUUUUGUGAGUUUGGUAUCUCUUUCUUUACUUGAACCAAGAUUUUUCCUUUACUUACAAGUAAAGUUUAACUAAUCUUGAUCUUUUAUUUUUCUCUGAACUUAUUUUUCUUUCACAUGCACGAUCAUUUUCAAUUCUAACAAAUCAUUCAUCUAUCAAUACCCAAUUUGAAUAAAAUUCAGCAUUCCUUUCUAUCAAUACCCAAUUUGAAUAAAAUUCAGCAUUCCUUUUCCUAUUCUUUCUAUGUAAUAAUUUGAUUGUGUUGUUUUUAAUCAAAAUAAGAUAUAUAUCGUCAGGAUAUUGAAGUUUGUGAUCACUUUAAGAAAAAACAGGUAGUUUAAUAUCUGAAUUAUCCACAAAAUAACUCCAUUUUAUUAUUUUUAUAUCAUGAAUGUGAGGUUCAUGAUUUAUUUGUGUUUGAUUCUUGUUUACAAGUUAUGUUUUUCCUCACACGUUUCAUAUGAUCACAAAUCAAAUAAAAAGGGGGAAAUUAAAAAAAAAAAGAUUGAAAGCUUGCUUAUUUUGAGUACAAGCACAAUCUUGCUCAUUUCCAGGACGAAAUUUAUUAUGUUACAUUUAGAAAUGCGUUAAGAGAUUAAUUUGUCACAUGAUGGUUUCUAGGUAGAAUCUUUCCAAGCUAAUUUGCAUUUUAUAAAAAUUUUCUUUCUAUUCGUUUUACGUAACGAUUAGUCAACAAUCUUGGUUUGAGAAUGCAUACUCAACAUGAGGAUAUAAGAUUCAUUUCCGGCACUCUGCCUUUCAUCUCUUGUAAUUUGACUGUCAGCAAUCUUGAUUUAACUUUUUGAAUGGCAACACUCGGCAGGAUUAAUUAGAGAAGGAGGUAUCAGGCAUAGGGUUCUGAGUAGAGUUUCAUCAACAAUUAAUGCUAGUUAAUGUUUGAAUUGAGAGACAUGGAAAUUUCUUAUUAUUAUUUUUUUAAUCUUUUAAUCAUUGUCUCUCUCAAUUAUGUCUCAAUUUGCAUGUUAGGACCACUAGGCACAGAGAGAGGAGGAGAUAUGGACAUCAACUUCAGACUAUUUUCCGAGAGGCUGGGACGGGUGUUAGCUGGUGAAGAAGUCACGUUGCCUGAUGCUGCAAAACAACCUAUUCAGAACCUUCAUGCGGAGGUUGAAAUCGUUACUUCUUGGCUGAGUGAAUUUGAAGAUGAUAUCUCUUGCCUUUUGAUGCAAAAAAUAGGAGAAGUUGAAAUUGACAACCCAGAUCUUGGGACCGUUAUGGAUGAAAUCAAUUGCUUUACUUAUGAAUCUGAGAAGUUCAUUGACACAUUCAUCAACAGCAUUACUCAACAGAAGAGACAAAGCAGGCGUAGCAAGGACAUUUGUGAUGCUCUGCUAGGACUCCAAAGCAAAAUCAUUGAUAUAAAACAACGGAUGCAACAAGUUCAGCACUUCGAUUCCGGAAUCAUUGAUGAAGUCAAAUCAAUUGAAGCUGAAGCCGGUAAUUUUCUUGCAUCUUCAUCGUCUAAGAAUAGGGACACGGUGGGUCUAGAUGAUAGAAUGGAGGAUUUGUUAGAUCUAUUGAUAGAAGGACCACAUCAACUUUUAGCAGUGGCCAUACUUGAUAGCAUUGGAUUGGACAAGACGGCUUUCGUCGCAGAAGCUUACAGCAGCAACUAUGUGAAGCAUUAUUUUGAUUGUCACGCUUGGGUUCCAGAGCCUCACAGCUAUGAUGCUCACCGAAUAUUAGAUAUCAUUAUUAAGUUUCUAAUGCCUUCAUCUAGACUGAGUGAAAUAAAGGAUAAAAAUUAUGAAAUAAAAAAAAUAUUCCUCGUGAAUAUCUAAUGACCAAGCGGUAUUUGAUUAUUUUUUUAUCAUGUGUGGAGAAUAUCAGCAUGGGAUGUUAUUCGAAAAAUACUUCCCGAUAAUCAGAAUGGAAGUAGAGUAUUAAUAACACUCGCUCAAAUUAAGAUUGUCACCUCAUUUCAGUUCGAAAACGGAGAGAACAUUGGGCUUGAUUUUGUGCCCACUGGAGGACUAUUGAGAGCUACAUACCAAGGAUGGCCUUUCCACAUCUUGUAUCAUGGAAGCAUCUCAUUGGAAGAAAAUAUAGACAAAGUAUUGACCAUGUCCCUUGGGCUUCAAUGUAUCAUAUAUUGUAUGUCACCUUUUUGCUUGAAACCUUGUUUUCUCUACUUCUCAGUGUUUCCCGCACACUUAGAGAUAUCCACCAGGCAUGUAUAUCAACUGUGGAUAGCUGAAGGUUUCAUUGAAGACAAUAAUGAGGCAACUGCUAAGAAGUACUUAGAGCAACUAAUCAACAGAGGCUUUGUCGAAGCAAAUAAGAGAAGAGCUGGAGGCACAAUCAACACAUGCUCUAUUCCCGGUCGUUGCCGUCCUGUAUUGUUAGGAGUGGCUUCCAAGGUGGAAUUUAUCUUUUCCCCUUUCAUGGAUAUAGAAGGUAAAUCAUAAAAAAAUGUCAAACGUUUCUACACUUUAGAACAACAGAGUGAUUUUGCUUGCUUAGAUGAUUAUGACUCGCAACUGCAUUCUUUCUUGUGCUGCUCUCCAGAAAGCCGCCACAUUGACCCCAUAGAUUGGGAGAAAAUUUGUGGAAUGUUCAAACUUCUCAGAGUGUUGGACUUGGAAUCUCUUGUUCUCAUCUAGUAUCCAUCCGGAAUUGAAAAUUUAUUUCUUUUGAGAUAUUUGAAGUUGAAUAUCCCUUCCCUCAAAAGCCUGUCUUCCUCAUUAUUAAGCAAUCUUCUGAACCUCUACACCCUAGACAUGCCCUUUAGCUAUAUAGAUCAUACGGCAGAUGAAUUUUGGAAGAUGAAAAAACUCAGACAUCUAAAUUUUGGGUCAAUCACACUUCCUGCGCAUCCAGGAAAAUACUGUGGCUCUCUGGAAAAUCUAAAUUUCAUUUCAGCCUUGCACAUUUGCUGCUGUAUUGAAGAUAUAUUAGGCAGGCUACUUAAUCUUCAAAAUCUCUGAAUGCGGGGAGAUUUAAGUUAUGAUCAAUCUUUGCUGUCUCAAAGUCUCUGCAGAUUGAGCUGUCUCAAGUCAUUGAAGCUGGCGAAUGAAAGCAAGAUGCCAUGGCUCUCCAAAAUCGUCCUUGCUGAAUACCUAUUUCCUCAUAGUCUAACCCACUUGAGUUUUUCUAAUACUGACCGAAUGGAUGAUCCCAUGCCGGUGCUAGAAACGUUGCCGCUUCUUCAAGUGCUCAAACUGAAGCAAAACUCGUAUUCAUACAGAAAGCUGACUUCUGGACUAUGGGGAAUGCAGCCAUGCCAAAACUAGAAUGCUUGAUUAUCAACCCUUGUGCUUACUUGAAAAAGAUGCCUGAACAUCUCUGGUGCAUAAAGAGCUUAAACAAGUUCGAUUGCUGGUGGCCUCAACCAGAGCUGAGACAAAAGCUACGGGAAUUUGAGGAUAAGGAACAGUGUGGCAUUCAACUAUAUCCUUAUGGAAUUUUUUUUUAUUACAUGAGACUAUUGCUCAAACUACAACUCAUAUUACAUGAGGUUAUAACUGAUAUUUAUAAAUCAGACUAUUACUGGGACCAACUUACAUCAAUGCUAAUGGAGCUCUACCCAAAUUUUAACCCUCACAAAUAUUCGAGGAAUGUCUACUCCUCACUCUUGGGUAAGAAGGAAGACUACCUUCACUCAAUUUUUAAUGAAGGAAGGAAAUACCCCCACAAUGCAUUUGUGGGGGUUCGAACUGCUGCCCUCCAACUUGGAGGGCAGCAACUCUAACCACUCGGCCUUUGGCCGAGUGGCUAUCCUUACGGAAUUUGAUUAGCCCCUAUUGAACUUGAUGUAUGUUUCUCAUUUUACACAAUUUCUUCAAAUUUUAAUUAUUUAUCCAAUUUCAUAUAUUUUUUCCCCUUUUCUUCAAUACAAAAAUGGUUAUACAAAUUGUUUUCUUCUAAUUUGCCUCAACAUUAAAUACCCUUUAGAGUUUCUAAUGCUCACCCCAAUCAUCAACCCUCUUCAAUACAUCGAUGUUCAUUUGUUUUAGUAGUUAAGAAAAAAAAUAUAUAAUUUAGAUUUCUUAUUUUUCACAAUUUCUUCAAUGACUUGUGUAGGUGAAAUUAGAGCAAAAAUGUCAAGACCCAACCCAGACCUGGCAAGAUAUUGUCCGCUUUACGCCCAUACACCCCAAGAACAAAUCCGUGCGGGCCUUGUUAAGGCCCAAAGCGAACAAUAUCUUGCCAGGUCUGGGUUGGGUCUUGACAUUAUGGUAUCAGAGUGGCUUCGCGUGUCCACUUGUGCGAUGGUGGGGCAAACCUCAGCGAGGACGCUGAGUCCCCAAGGAGGGGUGUAUGUAACACCCUAGGCAAAUCCCAAAUCGGCAAAGCACGGGAGAGAUGAUGAGUUUAUAAGGGGUGAUCCACACCUUAAUUGGCAAGACACGUUUUGGGGUGUAUGGGCGCCCCAAGAACAAAUCCGUGCGGGCCUUGUUAAGGCCCAAAGCGGACAAUAUCUUGCCAGGUCUGGGUUGGGUCUUGACAUUAUGGUAUCAGAGCGGCUCCACGUGUACUCUUGAGCGAUGGUGGGGCAAACCUCGGCGAGGACGCUGAGUCCCCAAGGGGGUGUGUAUGUAACACCCUAGGCGAAUCCCACAUCGACAAAGCACGGGAGAGAUACUGGGUUUAUAAGGGGUGAUCCACACAUUAAUUGGCAAGAUGCGUUUUGGGGUGUAUGAGCACCCCAAGAACAAAUCUGUGCAGGCCUUGUUAAGGCCCAAAGCGGACAAUAUCUUGCCAGGUCUGGGUUGGGUCUUGACAUUAUGGUAUCAAAGCGGCUCCGCAUGUCCUCUCAAGCGAUGGUGGGGCAAACCUCAGCGAGGACGCUGAGUCCCCAAGGGGAGGUGUAUGUAACACCCUAGGCAAAUCCCACAUCGGCAAAGCACGGGAGCGAUGUUGGGUUUAUAAGGGGUGAUCCACACCUUAAUUGGCAAGACGGGUUUUGGGGUGUAUGGGCGCCCUAAGAAAAAAUUCGUGACAAGAAAACAUCAUGACUGUAGCCCGAGCUUCAAUUUCAACCAGAACCUUUCCGUCUUCACAUUUGCUGUCUACACAAAUAAGUCUUGAUCCUACAGUGGUGGACUUUUUUUGGUUUCUUUGUUUCCGCUGUCUAUUCAUAAAUAAGAAGUUUUGUUUUGGCUUUUCAGUUGAUAGUUCAUUGAUUUGUGCUUCGGCCAUGGUUUCGUUAAUUGUGUACAAAAAAUAAUUACUAUUUGUGAUGCUUGCUAGUGUUUGGGUUGAGUUGAAUGUAUUUUCUGUCUUUGUUCUGUUGCUUGCUCUGAAAUCCUGUUUCAAAGGAUGGGCAAGUCUGGCACUCAAUAGGUUCCGUUUAUUUCCAGAAAAGAUUAAUUAUUGAUGAACUUCACACUUGGCUGAAUGUCUUAGUAAACGUUCUUGUGGAGAAAUCCUAAUACCCGCUUAGGCAAUACAAUGAGGCAGAAAUACUAAUACUGCUGUACAUGUGUUGAUUGAUUAACAGCUUUGUUCUCUGAUAUUCUUUCUUUAUCUGUUGCAGAAAUUCCUUCAAUAUGAUUGAUAGUUGCUACUAAUUAUAGAAGCAUCCCUCCUUUGGCUCAUUCAAUGGAAUAUGAAAGACAGAUUACUGAGACAAAGUCACGCUUCAUUACCUUCCCAAAGAAAGUUGAAGUUUGGGCUGCGUACUUGGGAGUGGAAUGAAGAGCGGCAGCAAAAUGAUUACAAGGAUUGCCAUUUACAGGGGCACUUUUGUGACUACUGAUGUGUCCCUCUAAUGGUUCAAUAAAUUGAAACCACGUCUAGUAAAAGCUAGAAAAACGCCGUGUUAUAGUAAGCAUCGACUUUCAAUAAUAGAAUUUUGUGUGCAAGUGUGAAGUUCAUCAAUAAUCAAUCUUUAUAACUAUUGCCUACGGUAUAAAAAUAUUUAUAAAAGAGCAAGUAAUUGCAAUCCCUCGUUCAAAUUUAUAACAAAUCAACUAUAAAAAUAUUCAGAGCAAAAUUCAAGAUUAAAUUAUGUUCUAUAUUGGAUCACACGUUAAAAUAGUUAUCAAGAUAUGCAUGUAUAUAAUUAAAUAAAUGUAGAAAUUUAAUUUGGUUUGUUAGCAUUCCAUUAAGAAUAAAUUUAAACAAUUAACUAAUUAAAUCCUCGUUGAAUAAUUAUUAAGCUUCAUUUAAACUAAUAAAAUAUGUUUGUGAUAUGAUAUCUCAUAACAAAUUAACUAACGACUUUGAAAUUUAUGCUAUCUAUCUCAUGAAAUUUAUCAAACUCAUACUUGAUUCUUAGAUCAAGUUACAAAAAUCGUGUGAGGUGAAUCAGUAGAUUAAGGGCUAGCUCAAGUGAAGCUUUGAGGCAGCAGAAUCAACACAUGCCACAUUUUAAUAUUGUCAUUAUUAUUAGCAGUGUAUCAAAUUUGAAAAGUAAUUCCAGUUGUCUUUGUUUCAGCUGUGUACUCAUUAAGUAAGAGAUUUCAUUUCAGCAGAGAGUUGACUGUGUAUAAAAAUAAAGAAUGUUUGUGAUGCUUUCUAGUCUUGGAUUAAGUGGGAUUAAUGUAUUUUCUAUAAAAACUGAUCAAAAAUUUCCUCCCAUGGAUGCAAGCUAAUGCAAAUUAGUUGAACCACGUUGAAUUGAUUUUUCCUCUGUUGGUUCUUUCAAUUCUUUAAUUCAAUUUGAUCUUAAUUGCUUUUUGUUCUUUCAUCAUUAUCUUGUUUCAAUUCCAUUUUCAAUUGAGCUUCAAAUUAGUUCAUUCUUGGUAGCAUCUUGAUUGAUUGGAUUGUGAUAUUGGGCAGCAACUGAGGUAUCUCUGGUUUUAAGCACUCCAGUUGCUACAGUUAGGCACUCAAUCAAUAUGCUUUGUUCAUUUACAGAAGAGAUUUGAUUAUUGAUGAACUUCAUACUUGCCUGACUCUGUAAAGAAAUUGUAUGAAUCAAUAAUUUAUCAAUGAGUAACGUUACAAUUUAUACAAGUCAAGCAUACUUGGAUGAUAAGCCAAACACUAUAAGAUAAGUCAUAGCCUAUAAGAUAAAUACAAGCUAAGCCAUAGCCUAUAUGAUAAUUACAAGAUAACGGUAAAGAGAUAUAAGAUAAGAUUACAAGUUAUUGAAACAGAGAGUAGUUAUCUAUGUACAUGUUUGGCUAAUACUCUGAUCCCGUGUAGUGGGUUGGGAGGAUUACAUGGAGAUGCUAUUAAAGCUAAGGCAUAAGGCAGAGAUUAACAAACACAAUGAUUAGCAGUAGGUCGUUAUUAAAUAUUAUUUAACGUGAGGAACAAGAUUUUCAGCCUCGCUUCAUAGUGCUAACUACUUCGACUUUGUCUGUUACUUGGAAACUUUGGUGCCUUCCAUGACAAUCAUUUUGUGGCAGCACAGUGAACGAUUCUGUUGCUUUUGCUUUCAAUGAACAGGGCUACCUUACCAGAUAGGGUUACCAUUUUAUUAAUUGCAAGUGGUAGCUUAUUUAUUCAUUACUUUUGUCUUCUGUGAAUAUAAAUCACUGACUAUGUAAUCAUAAUAAUUUUUUAAUAAGGAGUAUGAUGAAAAUUAAAGACAAAUAGUGAUUUUGUAAUUAUUUAUUAUGCUCCAAGUCAAUAGAUAUCACAUCAACCCCCAAUAUUUUCUUUGCAACUACUUUCUUAUUGUACCCAUUAUCAAAAUUCUAUAAUAAAUGUGUAGGAGAAACUACUGACUAAACUAACAUGCUUGCACUACUGGAGUACUGAGAGAAAGAGUUGUGUAGGUCAACCUAAGACCAGUUUCAUUCAUCAACAAUAAAUGUUUCAGUGGAUACAUAAAACUUUUUGCACGCCAGUAAGUGGUAGACGUGAUUUUGCAUUUUUCCACAGCUUAAAUUACUAAAGAUCUUGCUCUGUUCUUUUCUUUUCAAAUAGGCCUUAUGGUCCCGGUGGAAUUGUUUUGACCUUUUCUUUCUUGAAAGUGGAUGUAUAAUACAUAUUGGUCUUGAUUGAUCCUUGAUCAAGACCUAUUUAUUCUCUUAUGCUUUAUUCUUUUUACAACAUAUGGAGAACAGUGUAUUGUAAGAUUCAUUUACCGUAGUCCUCUGCCUUGAUCUGUUCUAAUUUGAGAGUCAACAAUCUCAAUUCAAUUUCUUGAAUGGAGUACUAGCUAAGAGAACGGAGGUAGGGGAGGUUUAAAGCAAAGUUUCUUUCCAACUCUCUGUUUUUAACUAUUUCUUUGCAUGCUACAGGACUGAUUACAGGGUGGUACCGAGAGAGGAGGAGAUAUGGACAUCAACUUCAUGCUAUUUUCCGAGAGGCUGGGACGGGUGUUAGCUGGUGAAGAAGUCACGUUGCUUGAUGCUGCAAAACAACAUAUUCAGAACCUUCAUGCCGAGACUGAAAUCGUUACUUCUUGGCUGAGGGAAUUUGAAGAUGAUAUCUCCUGCCUUCUGAUGCAAAAAAUAGGAGAAGUUGAAAUUGAUGACCCUGAUCUCGGGAACAUUAUGGAUGAAAUCAAUUGCUUUACGUAUGAAUCUGAGAAGGUGAUUAACACAUUCAUCAACAGCAUCAGUGAACAAAAGAGUCAAAGCAGCGGCAGCAAGGACAUUUGUAAUGCUCUGCAAGGACCCCAAAGCAGAAUCACUGAUAUUAAGCAACGGAUGCAACAACUUGAGCACACGGAUUCCGAAAUCAUUGAUGCCAUCAAAACUUUUGAAGCUGAAGCCGGUAUAUCUUCAUCUUCUAAAAGUAGGGACACGGUGGGUCUAGAUGAUAGAAUGGAGGAGUUGUUAGAUCUAUUGAUAGAAGGACCACCUCAACUUUCCGCAGUGACCAUACUUGAUAGCAUUGGAUUGGACAAGACGGCUUUCGCCGCAGAGGCUUACAGCAGCAACUAUAUGAAGCAUUAUUUUGAUUGUCAUGCUUGGGUUCAAGAGCCUUACACCUGCUAUGCUGACCAAAUAUUAGAUAUCAUUAUUAAGUUUCUGAUGCCUUCAUCUAGGUUGAGUGAAAUAAAGGAUAAAAAUUAUGAAAUGAAAAAAAUUAUUCUUCAUGAAUAUCUAAUGACCAAGCGGUAUUUGAUUGUGAUUGAUGAUGUGUGGAGCAUUGAAGUGUGGGAUAUUAUUCGAGAAAUACUCCCGGAUAAUCAGAAUGGAAGUAGAGUGUUAAGUAAAUAAAAGCACCAGGUCGGUCAUGCUAUUAUUUCCGCCCCGGCAUGGAUCACCUCAGCCAAAUGGUACAAGCAGAACACGGGGACAAAUAUGAGCCGAUCAGAGAUGAGUACCAACCAGGGGAGUAUACCGACCAGAGGUAUAUACCGAGCCGAUACCCAUCCCCCGAAAAAGCGGGAACACGAUCCCAUAGAAUCACGGUAGUUGCGCUUUUUCCAGAACCGUUGCGGGAGACGCGAGAUCCUACUUUUGCCCAUAAUGUAGCAGUUAGAGUCCUAUGAGGGGCUGCCACCACUCGAAAAAGGAGGGAUGAAGGCUAAACGGGAACGUGGGACAGCGGCUAUAAAAGAAGAAGAAAUCGAUGAAGAAAAGGGAAGAAAAAAGGAAAGUAGGGAAAACUCUGCGAAAUUGUAUCCAGACGCUUUUCAAUACCGAGAGUGAGCUAAUUCUAAGCAAUUAUUUGAACCCUAAUUGCACCGUUUUCCCGUAAACACCUUGUGGUAACUUAGGCAUCGGAGGGUUUGCGCUGGCAAAACCACCGGCGUCUCUGAUCCACUUUUGUAAACGCAGGCUUAGUGAGAAAAAAGGGACAACUCCAACUUCAGUGGCUGGAGCAAUCGUUGAAGCAAGAAGGAAUUGAUAUCUUUAUUAUUGAUAACGUGAACGUUGGUGUAAAAAUCUUGUCGGGCAAAGGGCGAGCAGAUUUCAGCAUCAACAUUUUGGUGCCGUCUGUGGGGAGCUGGAUAAAAAGCUACCACCGAAUUAGUAGUUACCGGAGAAGCAACGAACGAUUAGACAUGGAUGUGCCGAGGAAGGAUGCUUUGAGGGAGGAUAACGAAACUGUGGAGACAAUCACUCUCUGGGAAAUUACAAAUGAAGCCCGGGAGAGAAUGAUGCAAGAUCGAUUGGAGCGGAUGAAGAAACAAAUGGAGACUCUCGCGACCAUACUGUAUGAGCUGAGGGAUGAGCGGAGAAAGGAUUGUGAAACCCCCAUAGGAAGAGAUGAUGUUGGAGCAGAACCCAGCCUCCGGAGGCGUAGAGUUGAGGAAAUCCCUCCGCCGGCAGACCAACCUAAUGGGGUGCAUCCCCACAGAAGCACUAGCCGGGUUCCAGGAGAACGAGUAGAUGAAGGGAGGGACCAACCUCGCCCUAGAUGGGUACCGGAAACUGAUGGCCGAGGGGCCAGUAUUGAUGAAGGAGAGCUCAGACAGGGGUUGCAAAAUGCCGAGUAGGAGCGAGAUCAGAUAGCUGCGCGUGAUCCUGACUGUGCUGUAGAAUUGGAGGGAGAGGUGCGCAGAUUAGCGCAAGUGAUAGAGGAGAUACAAGGCAAGAGAAAGCCCCCGAGCUUGAGGAUAAUGCUAGAUGAAGAAUCUCCACUAUCAACUGAGAUCAUGGGUAUUGUAAUCCCAAGAGAUUUUCGCUUCCCCGACCUCAAAUACUCCGGGCGAAGUGAUCCACUGGUGCAUAUUGAACGUUUCAACGACAUGACGGGUGUUCAGGGGUUAACACCAGCUCAGAGGUGUAGGGUGUUCCCAUUGACACUGGAGGGACGAACUCGAGAAUGGUACCGCAAGCUGUCACGAGGAAGUAUUAGAGGGUACGAGCAGAUGUGCCAAGAGUUAGUCGAACAGUUCCGAGGAGCAAUGGCCCCAGAGGAUGAUAUGAUGGAACUAAUGGAGAUGAAGCAGGAGGAACAAGAAUCCCUUCGAGAUUUUGUAAAACGAUACCACCGAGCCGUGUUUAAUUUGGGAGCUUUCAAUCACCCACAGGCGUUAAGCGGAUUAAAGGAGGGUGUGAGGAUAGGCUGGCUAUGGUAUAACCUGAGAAGUCUCCUGGUGCAGAAUUACUCAGCGAGGUAUGAGCAGGCAAAGAGAGACAUUGAAAUUGAAGAGGAAAAAUCGGCAAGGAUAAAGAGUGAACAGCUGGAGGAGCUGAGACGAAAGGAAAAGAGAACCCCAAGUGGGAGCGAGUCGGGAAAGCGAGCUGGGGAAUCCUCAAUGAUGGGUGCGGUAUCAGCUCGGUCUCGCCCUUACCCCAUAGCUCAGAGACCGCAACAGGGCUCAGCCCCCGCGCCCCCCAUUCCUAGAGCGGCAACGAGAAUUCCGGCAGUUGGCUAACCAUCCUUAUCACAACGCUCCCAAAGCACUACACACGGCCAACUCCAGAACGGGACGAUCAGGUCAGCUACCUUCAAUAUCCGCUUGGGACAAUAUUCAUAAUAGCCGAGUAGUCCAGCUAAUUGACCAGAGCUCAGCGUAUAGACAAUACACCCCGUUAAAAGUCCCUAUGGAGGAGUUGUACGAGAGAAUCGAGGGACGAGGCCUGUUGUACCCUCCAAUCCCUAUAACAAAACCUGCUCACCGACGGGAUAAGAGCAGAUUUUGCAAAUUUCACGACACUCACGGUCACACAAUCAGCCAAUGUCAUGACUUAAAGAUCCAGGUGGAGGAUUUGGUGAGAAACCGUUAUUUGGAUAAAUAUGUAGAUGGGGUGUCCUCCGUCAUUGAAUCACAGUACACGCGGGAUGAAGGAGCUGAGAGGGGCCUGGAAUGUGAACAGCCGACUAUCCGUGUGAUAGCAGGAGGGCCAACAUUGGCUGGGGAUUCGAACAAGGCACGGAAGAACUAUGGGAGAUACGCCAUGACUAGCAAAGAGGUGCUUUUCAAUUUGCCAGCAACCAAGAAGGCAAAAGUGCGGCAAGUUCCCAUUAUAUGGACAGAUGACGAUGAAGAGGGUAUCUUAUAUCCUCAUGAGGAUGCACUGGUGAUUAAGGCAAUGGUGGCUGGUACAGAAUUGGGACGAAUACUGGUAGACACGGGCAGCUCGGUUGACAUCCUGUUUAAGUCGGCCCUAGAUGAUAUGGGAAUUGCAGACUUGAAAUUGGAACGGACAAAUACAUCCUUAAAGGGAUUUGGAGGGGGACGGUUAACUCCCAUGGGGAUCAUCGAACUCUCAAUUACUGUGGGGACAAAGCCGUUUGAAAGAACGAUGAUGCUGGACUUUGUCGUGGUAGAGGAAAGAAGCCCUUACCAGAUGAUACUGGGGAGACCCUUCAUGAGGAUAAGCCAAUGCGUUGUAUUUACGCAUUAUCUGGCACUGAAAUACAGAGUAAAUGGAGUGGUUGGUGUAGUAAAAGGCGACCAGAGAAUGGCAAGGAGUUGUUAUGCUACAGCGGCCAAGGAGACACUACAGGUUACUUCUCUAGAUAACGGAGGAGAGUCUAAAAAGGGCCGCCAAGAACCCGUUGAGAAACUGGAAGAAGUUGCGGUAAGCAAAAGCAACCCGAGCAGAGUGGUUAAGAUCAGUUCAGGAUUGGUUGGGACAGUAAGAGGCGAGCUGGUAAAGUGCCUACAGUCUCAUGCAGAUAUAUUCGCCUGGUCUCACGAGGAUAUGCCAGGAAUUGAUCGCGGGGUAGCUUGCCACAAGUUGGCAAUCAAGAAUGAGGCGAGGCCGGUGAGGCAGAAGAGAAGAUGCUUUAACUAGGAAAGGUACGAGGCCAUAAAUGCCGAGAUGGAGAAACUAUUGAAAGCAGGAUUUAUAAGGGAGGCCAAGUACUCAGAGUGGAUUUCCAAUGUAGUACUGGUAAAGAAGGCCAACGGAAAAUGGAGGAUGUGUGUGGAUUUCACAGAUCUUAAUAAGGCAUGUCCGAAUGACAGUUUUCCCCUACCAAAGAUAGAUCAAUUGGUGGACUCAACAGCGGGUCACAGUCUGCUCAGCUUCAUGGAUGCCUUUUCGGGAUACAACCAGAUACCCAUGGACGAGCAGGAUGAGGAAAACACCACCUUUAUAACUAACAUGGGUUUGUUUUGCUACAGGGUGAUGCCUUUUGGCCUGAAAAAUACAGGAGCCACCUAUCAAAGGUUGGUGAACAAGAUCUUCAAGCAAUUGAUCGGUCAUACUAUGGAGGUAUAUGUGGACGAUAUGAUCACAAAGUCCAAAGAACCGAGUGAUCACAUGAAACAUUUGGAAGAGACCUUUGAACUACUGAGGAAGUAUGGAAUGAAGCUAAACCCGGAGAAAUGUGCAUUUGGGGUCAGCUCUGGCAAAUUUUUGGGGUUCCUGGUGAGCCACCAAGGGUUCGAGGCCAACUCAGAAAAAAUACGGGCGGUAACAGAAAUGAGGUCCCCACGAACAGUUAAGGAGGUGCAGAGCCUUACAGGGAAAUUGGCAGCAUUGAACCGAUUCAUCUCGCGGGCCACAGAUAAAUGCCACCCUUUUUUCGAAACCAUAAAGAAAGGGAGAAAGAUGGAGUGGACAUCAGAAUGUGAGGAAGCGUUUGGGCAGCUGAAGGAAUAUCUGGCUCACGCCCCAUUACUAUCAACUCCGAGAGAAGGUGACCAACUGUUUUUAUACUUGGCAAUCUCAAAAUGGGCCACCAGCUCAGUGUUAGUCCGAGAAAAAGAAAGGAAGCAACACCCUGUGUAUUACACUAGCAAAGCCCUGGUAUACGCAGAAACUAGGUACCCAUUGAUGGAGAAAUGGGCACUGGCUUUAAAAACGGCAGCACGAAAACUGCGACCAUAUUUUCAGGCCCACCCGAUAAUUGUGAUGACCGACCAACCUCUCCGGAAAAUGCUCCAAAAACCAGAUGCAUCAGGGCGGUUAGUAAAGUGGUCCAUGGAGCUGAGCGAAUUCGACCUGUCCUAUAGGCCCCGAGGAGCAAUCAAGGCCCAAGCCCUGGCUGAUUUUAUGGUUGACCGUGUUGAACUAGGGGAAGAGGUCCAGGAGGAACAACUAGUGGAACAGAAGGAUCCAAAGGGGGUGUGGCUGGUAAUGGUUGAUGGGUCACGUAGUGAACAGGGAUCUGGAGCAGGAGUUAUAAUCCGAAGCCCAGAAAGAGUAGAAAUCCAAGCAGAUUCCCAGCUAAUAUGUAAUCAGCUCAGUGAUCAAUUCCAAGUAAGGGAAGAGAAAUUGGGGCUUUAUUUGAAGAAGGCGAAACAAAUGGUUGAACUCUUCAAAAAGGUAGAGGUGAAGCAGAUAUCCUGGAAUGAAAAUUACCGAGCAGACAUGUUGGCAAGAAUGGCUGCAACAGUAGAUCCCAAAUUACCUAAGUCAGUUCCACUAAAGAUGAGGGCCUCGCCGAGUAUAGGAGAGGAAGUAGAGGUAAUGAGAAUAAGCAUCGAAGAAUCCUGGAUGGACUCGAUUCUCGCAUACAUCCGCGAUGGCAUUUUACCGGAGGACAAAAGGCAAGCAAGAAAGUUAAAACGCCGAGCAGCGAGGUAUGCACUGCUCGAUAGGGUGCUCUAUCGCCGAGAAUUCACCUUGUCCCUUUUGCGAUGUUUGGAUGAUGAGGAGGCAGACUAUGUACUAAGGGAGAUUCAUGAAGGAAUAUGUGGAAAUCAUUCAGGAGAAAGAACUUUAGCCUUCAAGGCACUCCGGCAAGGAUACUUUUGGCCGACCAUGCACCAGGAUGCGAAAAGGAUGGCAAAGAGUUGCAAAAUCUGCCAAAGCUUCUCAGAGGUUCCCGCACAACCCCCAGAAAAGCUCACCACUAUGACAUCCCCAUGGCCUUUUGCUCAAUGGAGAAUCGACCUGAUUGGUCCGUUACUGAAAGGCCGAGGAGCGGCAACCCAUGCAAUUGUAGCAAUAGACUAUUUCACCAAGUGGAUAGAAGUGGGGGUCCUUAGCCAAAUCACGGAGAGAAAGACAACGGAUUUUAUUUGGAAGAAUAUCAUCUGCAGAUACGGAAUCUCUUAUACCAUCAUCACCGACAAUGGAAGGCAAUUUGACAACAACAACUUCAGAGAAUUUUGCCGGAACCUAGGGGUGGACCUGAAGUUCUGCACCCCCGCACACCCCCAGGCAAACAGAAAAGUGGAAGCAGCCAACAAAGUGAUAAAGAAACUCCUGAAGACUAGACUGGGAGAGAAGAAGGGAGCUUAGGUUGACGAGCUACCAGGGGUACUGUGGGCUUACCGGACAACUCACAAAACCGCUACAGGGGAAACCCCAUUUGCCUUAGCUUUUGGUCAUGAGGCGGUAGUCCCAGCAGAAAUUGGAGUACGAAUACAUCGGACGGAAUACUUCAAUGAGGAGCAAAAUGGCGAGCAGAUCUUCUUGAGCCUGCACCUGCUGGAGGAGAAAAGGGAAGGGGCCUCGCAGAAAGUGGCCCAAUGUCAGCAAAGGGUCACGCGUUAUUACAACAAGAACGUACGCGUGAGGCAGUUCCGACCAGGAGAUUGGGUGCUUAGGAAGGUGAACCAAAACACCAGGGAUCCCAACCAUGGCGCUCUUGGCCCGAAAUGGGAAGGCCCGUACAGGGUGAUACGAGCAACUGGACCAGGAGCUUAUAAGUUAGUGUACACAGAUGGACGAGACGUAAAGAGGUUGUGGAACGCCGAGCACUUGAAGAAGUAUUUCCAGUAAGCAAAGUGCUCUACUAAGUCUUCAUAAGUUAUUUCUAUUAAAUGCAUGAUGGCUUGUUGCACAUACAUAUAUUCUGUGUUCUUGUAAUGCAUUCAAAUUUCAAUAAAGAUGAAUUCAGCACGAAAUCCCCCUGCUAGCAAACCCAAUAAAAAAAAAUUCUACCAAGGCAAGUAAGUGUCUGCUUCUGCUCGGUCAACGAAAGACCAGCAGCUAAAUUUACGAAAAUUCUACUAAGGCAAGUAAGUGUCUGCUUCUACUCGGUCAACGAAAGACCAACAGCUAAAUUUACGAAAAUUCUACUAAGGUAAGCAAGUGCCUGCUUCUGCUCGGUCAACGAAAAGACCAGCAGCUAAAUUUACGAAACUUCUACUAAGGCAAGUAAGUGUCUGCUUCUGCUCGGUCAAUGAAAGACCAGCAGCUAAAUUUAUGAAAAUUCUACUAAGGCAAGUAAGUGUCUGCUCCUGCUCAGUCAACGAAAGACCAGCAGCUAAAUUUAUGAAAUUCUUACCAAGGCAAGUGUGUGCCUGGUCCUGCUCGGCCCACGAAAGAACAGCAGGCGAUUUUACGAAAUUUCCACAAAGGCAAACAAGUGCCUGUUCCUGCUCGAUCAACGAAGACCAGCAGGCAAUUUCAAUAAAUUUUUACAAAGGCAAGUAAGUGCCUGCUUAUGCUCGGUCAACGAAAGACCAGCAGCCAAUUUUACGAAAAUUCUACUAAGGCAAGUAAGUGCCUGCUCUUGAUCGGUCAACAAACGACCAACAGGCAAUUUUGCAAAAAUUUACUAAGGCAAGCGGAUGCAUAUUCCUACUCGGUCCACUAAAGAACCAACAAGCAAAAUCAGAUAAAUUGUCAAAUUAAUUUGCAGAAACAAUCCAUGAGCAAAAACCAGACAAGAAAGCCAGUAAAGAACAUCUAAAAAUUUAUAAGCAUUUAAAUGUUUACAAAACGAAUGAAAAUCUAGAGUCUAUACAAAAAUAGACCUAAGGAUUAGGAGGGUCAACGGCUUUAGCAGGUGAAGGAUCAGCUAUCUCUGGAGGUGGAAGAUCAGCAAUACCGGGAGGAGGAGGCACGGACCCUUGUCCCACUUCAAAAGCAUGUCCCCCAACUUCCCCCUCCUACACCCCAUCUAAAGGAGCCUCCACUUGAUCCUGCUCACCCUACUCUUUAUCUGCCUGGCCGAUCUCCGCCAUAUACUCCAGCCUCCAGCUUGCUCAUGUCCAGCUCGGGAUAUUCUUCCUUAAGCACAGACAUGAUGCACUUAUAGGAGAAAACAACCCCAGAGUCAUACUCGGCAUCCAGCCGAUCGUCCACGUCAGCGGAUUUACCUUUCUCCUCAGCCAGCUGCUCACUCAAGGAUUUGAUUUCUCCCUCAAGGGCAGUCCUCAGAGUAUCUCUUUCACUUUGAGUAACCUGAAGAUCAGACUUCAGGUCACCCAACUCACCCUCAAGUUUGGAGGAAGUGGACUCAGCAACCGCAACUUUCUCCUCUAGCUCUGUAAUCUGCCUGUUCAGCUCGGCCAGCUUCUCCUUCGAGCGAUCAGCAGACUCAACCCUCUUCUUCAAGUCCUGGUUCUCAGCUUGGAGCUUCCUCUCUUGGCGCGUGAUCCUAUUCUUGUAACAAGAUACUAUAGUGGCCAACUUGAAGGAGACCCUUUGGACAGAACCAACUAAUUCAUUGAGAUUCAUGCUCUCAAUGUCCUGGACCAUCUUCGGUCCCACUGACUUCCCAUAGUCCCUCUGAUACAGGAUCAGGUAGUCACCCUGAUCACGAGCUGGAAGAGGGGAGGAUCGGUCCCCAGAGCGUGUGCUGACCUCAGAACUCUUGUCAAUAGUUUUCUCCCCGACACUCUUACUAGGUGGAGGAGGGGGCAGAGCAGGAACAGAAGCCUUAGAAGGGCUAACACUGACUUUCUUCGGAGGAGGAGGAGGGUUGCUGGAGCUGCUCGGAGCCCGACCACGCUUUCUGCUCAUUGCACUGAGGAUAUUGUUAUCCAUCCAGGCAACAAUGUCCAUUAAGCCCGAACCGACCAAGUUUAUUAGUGACAGCAGGUCUUGGCAGGUAGACGCGUUCACCAGAGUAGUUUCAACCUGGAGCAAGGGUCGGUCUUCAAGGUCCUUAACCAAACCCCAAGAUUCUGAAAAAAAACAAACAAGGUUAAAGAACUCAAUAAGUAGCAAUUUUGAUUAAGAAUAUAGGCAAAAAUGAACGACCUGGGGUGAUAAAAUGCAUUGGAAGGUAAAUAUCCCCACCAAGCGACCGGACUGCUGGACACCAGUUUCCUCCAGCAAAGAAGAAUUUGUUCUUCCAAUUCUUACAUGAAGAAGGAAACCCAGUGAUCGGUUUCCUCUUUGCAAAACUGGACAUGAAGUAGUACCAGCCCGCCUCCUUUGGGCUGCUCCGCAGCUGCUACAGAUGCUUCACUUCAACAAGGGAAGGCUCCUCCGACCCGCACCUCUCCCACAGCACAAACAUAGCCGAGAGAACCCUCCACCCGUUUAGGUGUAGCUGACUUGGGGCCAGGUGCAUACCACCCAAUAUCUUGGCAAAAUAACGUUGAAGGGGCAGCCGAGCUCCUAGUCUGAAACUCUCCAAGUGCAUCGUCACGUACCCCUUCGGAGGCCGACUAGGUACAUCACCUUUCCCAGGAACUACAAGGAGAACCUCCUCAGGAAUGUUGUAGAGGUUCCUAAGCUUUAAUAGAUCAGUGGGGGUGGUGGCACAAGCUAUGAAAUCAAUAGGGUAAGAAUCUGCCUCCACUAUGUGGCCAAAGUUCCUUUUCCUAGAGGGUCCGCUCGGCUCGGAACUGCUUCUCUCGCCAUCACCCACUUCUUCAGGGACCCCAACCCCACCAUAACUGUGAUCUUCACCAGAGCUGGAUGUGGGUCCACCUCUAUUCCCCACAAGCUCUAAUUCAGGGGAAGGCGAAAUGGUCAGGGGGCGUGGGUAUUCAAGAAUAUCCCUGCCAUGGGAAGGACCUACACUACUGGAGGGACCUAAGAAAUCGGUGGGUAUUGACACGUUAAGGUCUGAAUCCCCUGUUUCUUCAUCACUCUCAUCAACAAUUAACUUCCUUUUCCGAUUUGACAUAUCAGAAUCCCAAAAGAAAACAAAGAAAACUCGAGUAUACGGAUACAAAAGGGGGCAACACAGAACCCAAUCAACAACAACCAGGGAAGAGAUUAAAAGCAAUACCUGGAAUGAACUGGCCCUGAUAGCGCUGCCGUGACAGAGAAAAAACCCAGCAAGUAGAUACUCCGAACGCGGGAAGUGUAAGUAAAGUUCAAAGAGGGGGUAGGUUAACGACGGAGAGACGAAUAAAAAAACGAUGAUGAUGUAAGUCUAGGGAUUUGAAACGAAAAGGAGGAAAUGAAAGCAUUUAAGUGAUAAAGAUGCCAGCUCACUUACCGUAUAUCGAGGACGAAUAGCCCGUCGUUUCAAAUUUCAAAUACGAACAGUCUGGAGAUGCCACGUCACUAACCGUUACAAGAGGCCAGGCUAGAUGCAAGCCCAGAUAUGCAAUGGAUAUGCUCAUUAAGGCCCAUGCUCAGGUCGGAACCUCCCCAGAAGAAAAAUGGUACCUCAGGUCCGUCCCGGUAAAUAGAAGACCAGAUGAGAAGCCCCCGGGUUGGUAACAUUUGACUAUCAGUUUCUAUUCUUAACUCAUUUCACUUGCAAGACCAUAAACUGGGGGACUGGUGUUAAGUAAAUAAAAGCACCAGGUCGGCCAUGCUACUAUUUCUGCCCCGGCAUGGAUCAUCUCAGCCAAAUGGUACGAGCAGAACACGGGGACAAAUAUGAGCAGACUAGAGACGAGUACCAACCAGGGGAGUAUACUGACCAGAGGUAUAUACCGAGCCGAUACCCAUCCCCCGAAAAAGUGGGAACACGAUCCCACAGAAUCACGGUAGUUGCGCUUUUUCCAGAACCGUUGCGGGAGACGCGAGAUCCCACGUUUGCCCAUAAUGUAGCAGUUAGAGUCCCAUGAGGGGCUGCCACCACCCGAAAAAGGAGGGAUGAAGGCUAAACAGGAACGAGGGACAGCGGCUAUAAAAGAAGAAGAAAUCAAUGAAGAAAAGGGAAGAAAAAAUGAAAGAAGGGAAAACUCUGCCAAAUUGUAUCCAGACGCUUUUUAAUACCGAGAGUGAGCUAAUUCUAAGAAAUUAUUUGAACCCUAAUUGCACCGUUUUCCCAUAAACACCUUUAGCUAACUUAGGCAUCAGAGGGUUUGCGCCGGCAAAACCACCGGUGUCUCUGAUCCACUUUUGUGAACGCAGGCUUAGUGAGAAAAAAAGGGACAACUCCAACUUCAGUGGCUGGAGCAAUCGUUGAAGUAAGAAGGAAUUGAUAUCUUCAUUAUUGAUAACGUGAACGUUAGUGUAAAAAUCUUGUCGGGCAAAGGGCGAGCAGAUUUCAGCAUCAACAUAGAGUACUAAUAACGCUCGCUAAAAUUGAUAUCGUCAUCUUAUUUUAGUUCGAAAACUGACAGAAUAUUCAGCUUGAUUUAGUGCCAACUGGAGGACCAUUGCGAGUGACAUACCAAGGAUGGCCUUUCCACAUCCUAUACCAUGGAAGCAUCUCAUUAGAAGAAAAUAAAAGGGAAGCAAUUGAUAAGCCCCUUUUCCUUCAAUCCGUCGCACAUUGCAUGUUACCUUUUCCUUUGAAACUUUGUUGUCUUUACUUACCUGUGUUUCCCGCACACCUAGAGAUAUCCACCAGGCAGUUAUAUCAGUUGUGGAUAGUUGAAGGUUUCAUUCCAGACAACAGCGAGGCAACUGCUGAGAAGUACUUAGAACAACUAAUCAAUAGAGGCUUUGUUGAAGUAAAGAAGAGAAGAGCUGGAGGCACAAUCAACACAUGCUCUAUCCGUAGUCGUUGUUGGCCUUCAUUGCUUGUAGUGGCUUUGAAUGCUGAAUUUGUCUUUUCCCCUACCCUGGAUGCAAAAGGUGAAUCACGAAAAAAUGUCAAACGUUUCUGUGCUCUAGAACAACAGAGCGAUUUUGCUUACUUAGAUGAUUAUUACCCGCACCUGCAUUCCUUGUUGUACUUCACUUCAGAAAGCGACCACUUUGACCCCAUAGAUUGGCAGAAAAUUUGUGAAAUGUACAAACUUCUCAGAGUAUUAGACUUAGGAUCCCUUGUUCUCAACCAAUAUCCGUCCAAUAUUGAAAAUUUAUCUCUUUUAAGAUAUUUGAAGUUGAAUAUCCCUUCCCUGAAAAGCCUUCCUUCAUCAUUUUUCAACUAUCUUUCGAACAUGUACACACUCAAUAUGCUUUUUAGCGACAUAGAUCAUACAGCAGAUGAGUUUUGGAAGAUGAACAAACUCAGGCAUCUAAAUUUUGGCUCAAUCAUACUUCCUGCACGUCCAGGAAAAUAUUGCGGCUCUCUGGAAAAUGUCAAUUUCAUUUCGGCCUUGCAUCCUUGCUGCUGUACUGAAGAUAUAUUGGGCAGACUGCCUAGUCUUCGAAAUCUCUGCAUAUGGGAAGAUUUAAGUUAUUAUCAAUUUUUGUUGUCCCAAAGUAUUUGCAGAUUGAGCUGCCUCGAGUCAUUGAAGUUGGUGAACGAAAGCAAGAUGCCACGGCUCUCCAAAAUCAUCCUUGCUGAAUACCUAUUUCCUCAUAGUCUAACCCACUUGAGUUUUUCUAAUACUAACCUAAUGGAUGAUCCCAUGCCGACACUAGAAAAGCUCCCGCUUCUUCAAGUGCUCAAACUGAAGCAAAACUCGUAUUCAGGUAGAAAGCUGACUUGUGGUUCUGAUGGUUUUCCAAGGCUUAAGGUAUUGCACAUGAAAUCAAUGCUAUGGCUAGAGGAGUGGACUAUGGGGACUGGGGCCAUGCCAAAACUAGAAUGCGUGCUUAUCAACCCUUGUGCUUACUUAAAAAGGGUUCCUGAAUAGCUCUGGUGCAUAAAGAGCUUAAACAAAUUCGAUUGCUGGUGGCCUCAGCCAGAGCUGAGACAAAAGCUACGGGAAUUCAAGGAUAAGGAGCAGUAUGGCGUUCAGAUUUAUCCUUACGGAAUUUGAUUAGCCCUGAUUGAGUUUGAUGUAAGUUUUUUCUUCUUCCCCAAUAACUUCAACCUUUAAUUAUCGAUCUAAUUUCAUAUAAAAGUUUUUUUUUUCUCCACAAAAGAUUUGAUAGUAUGCAGCUGCCUAAACUAUAAUCAUAAUAUAAAGUGUUUUCUACAUUCUUAUUGUGGUUGCUUCUAAUUUUUGUCUCAACAUAAACUUGAAGUGUCCAUCACAGUUCCUGAUGCUGACACCAUUCAUUAAAAACUGUAUGAUAAGAUCUUCAAUCAGUUGUAUGUGCAGGUAAAAGCACAGCGGAAAAUAUCUUAACUGUAAUGUAGCCAAAGUUUCAAUUUCAACCAGAAUCCAGCCUUCAUCCUUUCAGUGUUCACUUCUGCUGAGUUGUCUACACGUUGUUUGGUUUCUUUGUUUUCAAGGAUUUGCAUGCUAAAAGUAAUAAUGUCAUGUUCAGAUUAAUAUAUUGUACAAAAGUCUGAUUAAUUGUUUUACUUUCUAUUUUCAGUUUCACUGGUGUGUAUUCAAUUUGUCAACAUUCAAAUUAAUAUAUGUUAUGUUUUUAUUUUUAUUUUAUUUCUUUCUCUAGUUUUUAAGUAGCGGUACAGUUCAACUUCAAGCUUAGUACUUCAGUUAGAAGAAAAGUAUUUGUGCUUUGAUCUCAUCUCAUCAUCUCAACACUGGCAGAACGACAUUGUUGUUCGGUUUUUUGGAAUUUCACCGACGUGUCAGUCAUUAUAAGGGCGAGAAUGCUGGUCAAAAGUCAGUUGGGGUUAGUUAAAAAAGUGCAGGAAAAUUCUGGGAUUGUUAGAGAUGGCCUUAUCAUAGUUUAUAAGGCUGGUUGAUGGGUCAUCUUCUCAGAUCUCAUCAAAGCUAUGGAGAGAGAGAGAGAGAGAGAGAGAGAGUUAAAGUAGAAAGUUGUAUAUUCUUGUUCUCUGUAACAAGCUCUACAUCCUGGUAACCUUGAUUUGUGAAAUAGUGAAAGCUUGAAAGCUUGUAUCCUUGUCUUCACUGGAUUUAGGCACUUUGAUUCAAUUUUUAGUUUGGAUUUCGGAGAACGAGUCUUUAUACAUCAAAUCAAAGAUGGUCUAAGGUGUUUGAUCUUGGUACUGUCAGAGGAUUAAACACAACAAAAAGAAAUUGGGGCAUAUUGCCUAAUCUUCAUAGUCUUCAGAUAUAUGGAGAUUAAGCCCUUGUAAAAUAAAAAACCAGCACUAAUCAUUGGUGAUUUGGAGCAGAAGAUUAAUGAGUAAAGUUCUGAAAGUGGAAGAUUUAAUCUAUAGUGCUGCACGUUUUGGAAGCUUUGCUAGAAUUGAUUACUGAAUUCUUUCUCUAUUGAUUGAUUAGCAGCCCCACAGCAUGCAAUGGUUUUCACAUUUUUCCCUUCACAGCAUGCAGAGGGUGCCUGUAGUGCAAAGAAGUUGAUGGCACGCAGGAUGUGCUGCUCACUCUCAAUUCCUUACAAUCACACCAAAGCCGUCUUUUGCAGCAAAGAAAUACCCGUUUGCAUUAAAAAUGAUCCUUAUAGCCAUUGAGAUUAAUUGAUUAAAUGGAGUUGACAAAUGAAACAAAAACGGAAAAAAAAAACUUUAAUUCUACCAAAAUCAUUCAUCCAUUAAUACCCACGUUGAAUAAAACUCAACGUGGUUGAAUUCCCAUUUGCCUUAAUUAAGUUUUGUCACUUUAAAUCCUAAUUACUAAUGUUUUUUCUGUUAAUGGUUGAAAAUAAGAUAAGAAGAGAGAAGGUGAACUUGAAGAAGUAUAAGAAUAAAAGACAUGUAAUGAUGUUGAUGUGUUUAUGUGAAUAAAGAGAACAACGGAGGUGGAACCAUUGGACAAAUGGAAAUGGAAUCUUUGUCCAAGUUUUUCCCUUGAUGUUCUAAAGUUUGCAUAUAUAUGUUUCAAGAAACAAAUGGAAAUUAAAUAGUACAUAAAGGUGAACUCACAUCGUCAACUAAAGGUUACACUACCAUUUGCCCAAUGGUUCCAUUUCUAUUAUCAUUUUCUUUAUUCACAGAAAUAUCAUCGGCCUCAUAUUCAUCAGUAUAAGAAGAAGGACAAGGACAAGGACAAGGACAGGGUGAGUCUAUUGUAAGACUACAGCAAAUCUACAAUUUAGUUUUAUUUUUGCUGCUACACUCAGGAAUCACUAGCAUCAACCACCUCCUUUAUUGCCCUUGAUUCAUUUUUCUCCUGAAGAUUGUUGACCUGAUGAAAUAACACUUAAAAUGAGGCUGCCUUAGACGAAGCAUAUAUGUUAAUCACCUGUUGUAAUCUCAUGCCAAAAUCAUUUCAGUUCCUGCUCAUAAAAUUAGUUACUUCAACCUUUGUCAUAUGUAUUCUCCACUGCUUCAAGAUACUUAGAUAGUGAAUCUGUCUAAAUUCCAACUCAAAAGAUUCAUUUGAGAAAAAAUUCUUCAGAUGGUCAUGUAGAGUUCUAAUUUAUCUCCGCAUCAUACACAAAAUACUUGAAACCUACACAUCAAUGAUCAAUGUUCAUCUUUUAUUGACAAUCCCAAUUCUCAAGUGUGUUUGGAAAUAAAUUAGAUUCGCAGGCAUUCUAGAAAUAUCUGGUGUAUUUCAAUGACAAUGAUGCCAAGUCAUGUCUCAUGGCGUCCAAAAAAGAAAAAAUGGUGAUGUAUGUGGAGGAAGAUCGUCAGCUCAAUUAAAACUACACCUCGGUCAUUUCUGGACUCAUCAACAAGAGGUAAUUUCUUACUUUGUGAACAAAUUUUGUGUCUUAUAAUUUUUUCUGUAUUUAUAUACUUACAUGCUGUUUUGUAAUUAUGUAGCCACCAAAGCCUGGACAUGGAGAUGUGUGUUUUGUUAUGUUUAGUCCAUUUAUAAGAUCAUGUGUCAUGUGAUCUAUAAGUCUACUUAAUGGUUGCAAUCAAAUGAGUUCAUGUCCAGAUUGUGAAGUUAGUUAAUUUCAACAUAUAGCAAUGAUUGUAUCCAUUGCUUUUAUGACGUUGCUAUGUUAUUGCUUCUUUAAUAAGUGGCAGACAUGAUUUUCUAUUUUUCCACAGCUUAAAUUGUUAAAUAAUUGAUAAUGCUCUUGUGCUUACUCUGUUCUUUUCUUUUUAGAUAAGCUUUAUGGUCUCAGUGGAAUUAUUUUCACCCUUUCUUUAUUGACAGUGGAUGUAUAAAACAAAUUGAUCUUGAUUGAUACUUGAUGAUGUUGUAGUUAUUUCUCUCUGCUUUAUUCUUUUUGCAACAUAUGGAAGACUGAAUAUUGUAAAAUUCAUUUCCCGCACUGCUCUGCCUUGAUCUGUUCUAAUUUGAGAGUCAGCAAUCUUGAUUCAACUGCUUGGGUGGAGUACUAGCUAAGAGAAGGGAGGCAUGGGAGCCAGCACUAAUUUUUGGAUUGAGGAGAUAUGGGCAUCAACUUCAGACUAUUUUCAGAGAGGCUGAGAAGGACGUUAGCUAGCGAAGAAGUCACAUUGCCUGAUGCUGCAAAACAACCUAUUCAAAACCUUUGUGCCGAGGUUGAAAUCGUUACUCCUUGGCUGAGGGACUUUGAAUAUGAUAUGUCCUAGCUUCUGCUGCAAAAAAAUAGGAGAAGAUGAAAUUGACAACCCAGACCUUGGCACCAGAAAUCAAUUGCUUUACAUAUGAAUCUGAGAAGGUCAUUGACACAUUCUCAACAGCAUCACUCAACAAGGACAUAGGGGCACGGUGGGUCUAGAAGACAAAAUGGAGGAGUUGUUAGAUAUAUUAAUAGAGGGGCCACCUCAGCUUUCAGUGGUGGCCAUCUUGAUAGCGUUGGGUUGGGCAAUGUGGCUUUUGCUGCAGAGGCUUAAUGCAGCAGUGAUGUGAAGCAUUAUUUUAAUUGUCACGCUUAGGUUCCAAAGCCUUACAGCUAUGAUGGUGAUGAUGACCAAAUAUUAGAUAUCAUUAUUAAGUUUCUAAUGCCUUCAUCUAGGUUGAGUGUAAUAAAGGAUAAAAAUUAUGAAAUGAAAACAAAUUUCUUCAUGAAUAUCUAAUGAUCAAGCGGUAUUUGAUUGUGGUUGAUGAUGUGUGAAGCAUUGAAGUGUGGGAUGUUAUUCAAGAAAUACUUCCGGAUAAUCAGAAUGGAAGUGGAGUACUAAUAACACUCACUGAAAUUCAUAUCGUCACCUCAUUUCAGUUUUAAAGUGGACAGAAUAUUUGGCUUGAUUUAGUGCCUACUAGAGGACCAUUGAGAGUUGUUUACCUUUUUGCUUGAAACUUUGUUUUCCUUACUUAUCUAUGUUUCCUGUACACCUAGAGACAUCCACCAGGCAGUUAUAUCAGUUGUGGAUAUCUGAAGGUUUCAUUCCAGACAAUAGCGAGGCAAUUGCCGAGAAGUACUUGGAACAACUAAUGAAUAGAGUCUUUGUUGAUGCAAAGAAGAGAAGCGAUGGAGGUAGAAUCAACACAUGCCCUAUUCGUAGUCGUUGCUGGGCUUCAUUGUUGCAAAUGGCUCUCAAAGCGAAAUUUACCUUUUCCCCUAUCCUGGAUCAAAAAGGUAAAUUGCGAAAAAAUGUCAAACGUGUGUACGUUUUUUAAAAACAGAGUGAUUUUGCUUACUUAGAUGAUUGUGACUCGCACCUGCAUUCUUUGUUGUACUUCAGAAAGCGACCACCUUGACCCCAUAGAUUGGGUGAAAAUCGGUUGAGUAAUGGACUUGGGAUCUCUUGUUCUCAGCCAAUUUCCAUCCAAAAUUGAAACUUUAUUUCUUUUGAUAUUUGAAGCUGAAUAUCCCUUCCCUCAAAAGCCUGGCUUCAUCAUUAUUAAGAAAUCUCUGAAUCUGUACCCCAUAGCCAUGCCCUUUAGCUAAAUAGAUCAUACACUGUAGAUGAAUUUUGGAAGAUGAAUAAACUCAUGCAUCUAGUCAUGAAAGCAAGAUGCCAAGGCUCUCCAAAAUCGUCUGUGCCAAAUACCUACUUCGUCAAAGUCUAAUCCACUUGAGUUUCUCUAAUACUGAACAAAUGGAUGAUCCCAUGCCUGCACUUGAACACUAGAAAAGUUGCCACUUCUUCAAGUGCUCAAACUGAAGCAAAACUCAUAUUCAGGUCGAUAGCUGACUUGUAGGUCUGAUGGUUUCCCAAAGCUCAAGAUAGUGCACCUGAAUUCAAUGCCAUGGCUAGAGGAGUGGACCAUGAGGCUUGGAGCCAGGCCAAAACUAGAAUGCUUGAUUCUCAAUACUUGUGCUUACUGGAAAAAGAUUCCUGAAUAGCUUUGGUGCAUAAAGAGCUUAAACAAAUUCGAGGCCUUAGCCGAAGCUGAGACAAAAGCUACGAGACUUUGAGGAUAAGGCGCAGUAUGACAAUCAAGUAUAUCCUUAUGGAAUUUGAUUCGCAUGGAUUUAAUUAGAUGUAAGUUUUUCAUUUUAUGCAAUAUCAUCAACCUUUAAUUAUUAAUCUAAUUUCAUACAUAUGUUUUUUCUUUUCCUCAAUAUAUUUGAUAGUACGCAGCUUCCUAAUGCUAUAAAGUGUUUUCUAAUUGUGGUUGCUUCUAAUUUUUGUCUCAACAUUAGAGAUGAAGUGUUCAUCACAGAUCCUGAAGUUGACCCCGACCAUUUUCCCUUGUGUAUUGAUUGUUGAACAGUCAGGAAAAACUAUAAUUUCAGAACCCUUGUGUAUUGAUCGUUGAACAGUGAGGAAAAACUAUAAUUUCAGAUCUUAAAUUACUUGCGCAGGUGAAAUCAGACCGGGAAAUUUGUCAACUGUAGUGCAGCAAAAGUUUCAAUUUCAACUAGAAUCCGGCCUUGAUCCUUUCAAUAUUCACUUCUGUUGUCUACACAUUAUUGAGUCCUCAGGAUUGAUGCAGGACAUUGUUGGGUUUCUUUGUUUUCAAGGAUCUGCUACAAGCAAUCAUGUCAAGUUUUUGGAUUCACUGUGUAUAUUCUAUUCGUGUGUCUUCAUUCUCGUAAUGUGCUUGAAACUCCAGUUCAGUGUGGACGUGUGUGGUUUGGUCGUACCAUGUGUAAUACAUGUUAAUGGUCAUAAUUGUCUUAAGGGAAUUCUGCAUCACUUCCAUUAGAAGAGAAGUUUGGAUGUAGGCAUCAUCGCUGCUGAAUCUACUGUUGAUUUGCUCUAUGUUUUCUAUAUUUUUUUAAUUCAAUUUCGGGGAUUGGGUUUCUAGCAUUGAUUGUUGAUACAUUAGAGGACUAAAUACAAGAAAUAGAAACUGGGACAUAUUGCCUAAUCUUCAGAAUCUCCAAUUUUAUGGAGAUUUUAAGCCCUAAUCAUUCAUAAAUAACUUGAAUACUGGAUUGUUAUUAUCUUAGAUUCUUGAAAUAAUCAUCCGAAUAAUAAUUAUAAAUGCUUGUUUUGAACAAAUACUACCUAUUAUUUUAAACUUUGGACUUAGAAAUUAUAAAUAUUAUUAGCAUGUGAAUUUUAAGGAAUUAGCUUAUUCUGUCCAAUUUUAAAGGUUGAUGCCUCAUGCUCACCUUAUAGUCAUUGGUUUUUGCUGAACAAAUGAAUGUGUAUCAUUUUUUUUCUUUUAUUUUCUGUUAUACUUUGAUUCCCCUGCUUCUAGCUGAUUCUGUUCUCCUUUAUAACGAGAAAGAAGUUAUUUUUUGUGCUCUUAUAUAUACAUGCUAAGCCUGGAUAUGUGUGGUUUGGUUUGUUUUAAUAAUAUGAUUGUGUGGUGUCAUCUGUAAUACUUUUUAAGGGUGCAAUCAAAUGAGUUCAUACCUUAUAGUGAAUUUGGUUAAUUUCAAGAUAUUUUUUGGGAUCUUCGGCUCUAGUUGCUAAUACAAAAUUCCUCAAAUCUCGAUUGGAAUUUGGGAGUCCGUCCUAAAUGAUACAAGAUUUGAUAAAAAUUUCUCAUUCUGAUUUAUUAUUCGAGUUGAGAUUCAAGAUCUAGUUUUCUUCCAAUUUAAUAAUCAAGGCAGGAUUUGAGAUGUUUGAAAAUUUCAUUCGAGAUCCCUUAGGCAAUCAAAUGGGUCCAUAUAUCCUUAUAAUGAAUUUGGUUAAAUUCAAGAUACCCUUUUUUGGGAUCUCCCGCUCUAACUGUUAAUACGUGAACCUAGGCUGGCAAAAUUAUCCAGAUAACAAUCGAGAUACAAACACUAUAUAAGAUUUGUUACAAAUUUCAUAUCCUAAUUUUCAAUGUAGGUCAGGAUUUGGGACCCCAUUUUAUACCGAUUCAUAAAUUUCUUUAUUUAGACAAUAACUGAUGACAGAUUAUUAGUUUAAAGCUCAUGGAGUAAAGGUUGAAUUAUUGGUUCAAUCAUCCACAAUUUUCUGCAAGCAUGCAACAUAUUAAACAAGAGAUUAUUUAAUUAUUUUUUGGGUUCUGUUAUUAACAAUAAUGAUUUUGAAGAUAUUAGUGGGAGAAAAAUGGUUCUUUUAAAUCAUUUUCAAUCUAGAGAAAAAGUUUUCUUGCUGGCAUACACUGUCCUUUAUCUAUAUUUAUAUUUAAUUCAUACGCAUAUAUAUCAUACAUACAUUAAAUGAGUGUAAUUCAAUAAAAACAUUUUAUGAUCUUUCUACUAUAUGAAAAAUAACCUUAAAAAACAGUAAAUGUACAAUUACACAAGCUCCAUUAAUACUCUACCAAUUAAAUAGAGCACGUGUUCUUUUUAAUAUCCUCAUUUCAGCUAAUUGUAUCUGUUGAUGCCGAAAUCCGGAUGAGUGGAUCGAAUCUCAAAUCCCUGCAUCAGCAUUAAAUUUGUUUGGUGGGAAGCUGCUGAUUAGUUAACACCAUGAGCAGAAUUUCAAUGAGCAGAUAUUCUAUAAGCAGACAAUCCAUGAGCAAAUAAUCUAUGGAUAGACGAUCCAUGAGCAGACAACCCAUGAGCAGACAAUCCAUGAGCAGACAACCCAUGAGCAGACAAUUCAUGAGCAGAUGAUCCAUGAGCAGACGAUCCAUGAGCAGAGAACUCAUGAGCAGAUAACCUGUGAGCCUGUGAGCACAACCAACAGUCAGGAGGUGCCGGAAGUUUUUCCGACGAGAACCCUCCGACGCUUAAGUCAGCGAUUUGGGUCUUACUUGGAAAAAUCCAUACCACAAUUCAUGUGAAUUAAUUAUGAUUGCUUUAAACAAAAAAGCUUUUAAGUAAAUUUAAAGGAAAAUAACUGAGAAUAAUUAAUCUUAAAAAAAUCCUAAGCGAAAGAGAAAUUUUCCAGUGGUAGAGAGAGAAAAAGGUCCAAUGGAUUCAGUUACCUAGAGAGAGAGAGAGAGCUAGAAGAAUCCCUUUUUUCCUUCCCCUUCCUAGGGUUUUUAUAGGAAACUAUAGCGGUUUUUAUCCUCUCCCCUAAAAUUCUCAAGAAAACUACUAAUUUUUACUAAUUUUCAGCCCACUAAGAAUAUGGUCCCUAAUAUUUCGGAGAAAAUGUUUUGACUGAAUCGUGCUUCCUGGUAACUUCCUAGUCGAGGUGACCAAUAACAUCCUAGUCGAGAAAAUGUGCUCGAGGUCACCACAUAUUAUUCUGGUCGAGUUGACCAAUAACAUCCUGGUUGAGGUGAUGUGCUCGAGGUCACCACAUAUUAUUCUGGUCGAGGUGAUGUGCUCGAGGUCACCACAUAUUAUUCUGGUCGAGGUGAGCACUAACAUCCUAGUCGAGGUGAUGUGCUCGAGGUCACCACAUAUUAUUCUGGUCGAGGUGAGCACUAAUAUCCUGGUCGAGGUGAUGUGCUCGAGGUCACCACAUAUUAUUCUGGUCGAGGUGACCAAUAACAUCCUGGUCGAGAUGAUCGGCUCGAGGUGACCAAUAACAUCCUGGUCGAGGUGAUGUGCUCGAGGUCACCAAACAACAUCCUGGUCGAGGUGAUCUGCUCAACCAUUUGCUCACUUUUACUUUGAGGAGAGCACGAUAAUGUAUGAGCAAACACCUUUAUCUUAGUCACCAUAUUUCAUUUCCUAAACAGUAUCUAGCCCAGUGGCGGCAUUUUUUUUUCUCUUUUUGGGUGUGUGUGUGUAACCAAAGCUUUUUAUCUUUCAUUUGCAAUUUGAGAACCCAUUAGCCAGACAAUUAAAUGCAGAUUCCAUGAAUUUUGCACCGUUGACUUAACUCGAAGAGUAAGACUUCGAUGUAACUACCGAGUCAACAAAUAUGCUUGUCUUCGAAAAUCUCAUAACGCAUACAUUUACUUUUUCAUAUAUUGUGUCUCUAUUCUACCUAAAGUCUUUCUCCAACUUAAAAUUCCUUGCUCGUGUUUUAAACAUGACAUAGAAGUUCUGGUUUGGAAAUGGUAGAGAUAGUUAGAUGUCACAGUUGCAUACGAGUGUACGCAAUUUCUUUGUCAAAUAAAAUCUAGUCACAUAUUUAUUCUAAAACUUAAUUAUAAACUAUGAGUAAAUAAAAAACAGUGGACAUAAUUUUAUUGAUUGUCCCAUUAAAUCCGUGGCACCUAAUUUUAUUUGCUUGCAGUGGGACGACUUUAAAUGUUGUCAUGUGGCUGCACAAAUGGACUAAUUCCUGUCACAACUUGAUAGUCUAUAUUAGCGUGGACUGUUGUGACAAAUGAACCUCUAUUUCAAUUGCGUACCCCAAUAUGUUAGAAAAAAGAAAUAUGAAAAUAAAAAGAAAAUAGGACAUCAUCAAGUAUCAAUCAAAGAUCAAUUUGUUUUAUCCACUUUCAAGAAAGAAAAGGUAAAAACAAUCACACUAGGGACUAUAAAGUUUAUCUCAGAAGAAAAAGCACUACAAUAGUCGAACACAAAGAAGAGUAAUAAUGAGAAAGGAGUUGCAUAUAAAUUGAAGAUUUUUAUUAUUUUUUUAAAGAAGGGCCCGACAUCAUGAUUACUUUCAUUUAGCAAAGGAUAUAUGAAAAAGAGAUGAAUAUUGCACUUUAGAUUUGGAUAAGUGCGAUUGGAUUUUGAAUUGUUUGGAUUAGGAAAAAAAAUCAUUCGAAUCCAACCUGAAUCUCAAAUACAAUCGAUCGGAUUUAAAAUAAAUCGGAUCUGAUAAAUAUUUCAGACAAAUUUGGUUUCAGAUUGUUUCGGAUUUAAAUGAUAUUUUAGAUUCAAAUGGUAUUUUAAGUUCAGAUUGAAUUUGGAUUUGGGUCUUUUUGAUAAUUUUUACAUAAAAUUCAUAAAAUCUAUAUAUAUAUAUAUAUAUAUAUAUAUAUAUACGAGUAGUGCUAAACGUCGGGAAAGCUGAGAGAACCCUAAGAGAAACGACAGCUUGUGCUGCCGCUUCGUGCGUGUUCUCUUGGCCCCACCUCCCACGUUACUUUCUCUUUUCUUUUUAACAUAACAUUUGCUGCAGUCAGCCUUUUGUUGCAGUCAACUCAUCUCUCCAGCACCAGAAACUACUGUAUCUUCUCCCUUCCCUCAAUUUCAUCGGCACUCUCUCUCAUCAAUGGCAUUGUUACCGACAACCACCUCUUUCUCUUCAGCUCAUCACGACAGACACCACCAGUCCGGUUCGUCACUUCGUCCGGUCUCUCCAUUAUUCCAAGUGUAUUUCCCCUAUUUUUUGUUCUAAAAAACCCAAAAAAAUGAAGAACAACACCUGUAUUGAUUUCGAUUUUUUGAUUCCAAGUCAAAGGGGUGCUUGGCUUUUAAUUAUACAAGAAGAUGAAACCAAAUUUUGAUGUUGAUGGAGAAGAAGAAACAAAACUAACAGGAGGAAAAAGAAGAUUGUUAACAUGAAUAUGUUAAUAAUAUUGAUUUUGAUGAUAACAAACUUUAAAUGGUUUUUUAUUAAAAUGUUGGAGCUAUCCCUUAAUAAACGAAAGCCUUAUAAUCAUUCCAAUCAUAUUCAUAAAAGAUGGUCUUUCAAAUUAAAAAAUGAUUCUCUGCAAAAUCUGGUUUAAAAUGUGAUUCUGGAAAUAAACGGUGAACCGUUUUCUUUCAAAUGGUUAAUCAAUUAAAAACAUAGAGCAACAUAUUGCCUAAGCUCUAACCGAUUAAGAAAAAUGGAAAACACAAAAAGCUGGGAAGGCUACUGGAAUUUAACGAUGAACCGUUUAUUUAAACGGUUAAACGAUAAAAUCCAGAAUUGAAGGUUGUACUCUUCUGGCACCAUUUAACAAAACCGGAUAAGGCUAAAUUGUUUUGCAGGUUACUGGAAACAAACGGCGAACCGUUUAUUACAAACGGUUAACCGAUAAUAUCCAGAGAGGUCACUUCAUGCAAAUCCUUAACCGUUUAAUGUAAACGGAUAACUGAUGUUCAUCUUGCAGGUCUCUGGAAUUUAACAGCGAAAGGGUAAUCCUAAACGGCAAACCAUUUAUUUGAAAUUUGGCCCAACGGUAACUUUUGACCAGCCUAAAUGGUUAACCGUUAAUGGUUAACGGCGAACUGUUUUCGGGCAAACAGUUUGUAACGGCUAGUUUUUUCAGCUCCAACUAUAAAUAAGCUCAUUCAAAUUCAAACAAAUCUGAUCACAACACGACUAUUGAGCUUAUACUAGAGAAUACAAUCUUCAUAGAGCUUUGACCACAUUCUUGCUUCAUCUAUUCACAUAUUGGGCAUCAUUUUGUAAUCUUAAAUAUUGUGAGAGGCAAAACAAAUUUGUAAUCUUUUAUUUUGAGUGAUUGUAAGUGUUGGGAUACACUUGGAUUAAAGAGAUUGGGAUAAUCUCUUGUUGUAAAGGUUAUUGACAUGUUGGAAGUCAAGUGUAAGCAUUUGAAGCCUUGGAUGCUUGCUUAGUGGAAUCCUCAAGCCCGGAAAGCUUGGAGGCGUGGACGUAGGCGAGGUUGGUCGAACCACGUAAAAAUCUCUGUGUUUGAAUCUCUCUUCCCUUAUCUUUUUAUAUUGUGAUCAACUUCUUUGUUAUUGCUUUGAAUUUGGUUUAUAUUUGCAUUAAGUUUUUCUUUAUAAAUUGAAUAAUUUUUAGAAUUCCAAUUCACCCCCCCCCCCCUCUUGGGUUGUAUAACUAGAAUUUCAUUUGGUAUCAGAGCCUUGUUCUCUUAUUAGGACUUAAUCGUCUAGAGUAAAAGAUCUAUGGCAACCCUAAAUGACUCAACCUUUAGAGAAGGGCAAUCCACAACUAGACCACCGUUCUUUGACGGUAAUGACUAUGCAUAUUGGAAAACUAGAAUGAGAAUCUAUUUGCAAGCUUUAGAUUAUGAAAUUUGGGAAGUUGUACGCGAUGGUCUGUUUUUGCCCCUAACUAAAAAUGAAUUCGGGGAAGAUAUUCCAAAACCUUCAAGGGAAUGGAAUGAAUUGGAAAAGAGAAAAGCUUCUCUAAAUUCCAAAGCUAUGAAUGCUUUAUUUUGUGCACUUGAUAAAAAAGAAUUUCAUCGAGUAUCUAGUUGUGAAAGUGCCAAUGAAAUUUAGCACAAACUUGAAGCACAAAUCAAGUGAAAGAGUCAAAAAUUAGUAGGUACACUCGACAACAUGAGUUGUUCCAAAUGGAAUAAAAUGAGAGUGUGUACUCUAUGUAUACGAGAUUUACGGACAUAGUAAACACCCUAAGAGCCUUAGGAAAGACCUUCUCAAAUAGCAAAAAAGUUAAGAAAAUCAUUAGGUCACUUCCAAAAGAAUGGAGACCAAAAAGAACCGCUAUUGAAGAGGCCAAAGAUUUAAAUACUUUAGCCCUCGAUGAUUUAAUUGGUUCUCUCAUUUCAUAUGAAGAAGAUUUGGCAGCAGAAAAAGGGCAUGAGGAGAAGAAGAAAAGCAUUACUCUCAAAUCUUCAAAAUAUGAGAGUGAUGGGGAGAGUGAACCGGAUGAUGAAGAGCUAGCCAUGCUAGCAAGCAGGUUCAGAAAAUUCUUCAAGAAAACCGUAGAGCGAAGAAAUUUCAGAAACUUCAAGAACCAAAGGGAGAAGAAAGAGGUAAUCACAUGCUAUUAAUGCAAGAAGCAUGGCCAUAUAAGAUCGGAGUGCCCACUUAUCAAAAAACUCAAGAAGAAAGCAUUGGUUGCAACUUGGGAUGAUAGCGAGGAAGAUUCAAGUGAUGAAGAAGGAUUGCAAGAAGUAUCAAACCUAGUGCUUAUGGCAAUAAGAGGGGAUGAUGAUCUCAAUGAGGUAAGUGAUCCCACCAAUGAUGAAUUGUAUGAUGCUUUUAAAGAAUUGCAUAAUGAGUUGAUGAAGAUUGGUAAAAAGAAUGUAUGUCUUAAAAAGGAAAUGGCAAAGCUUAAAAAUGAAAAUGAAUCUCUAAAUGCAAGAAUUGCAUGCCUAGAAAUAGAGAACAAAACAUUGCAUGAUGAAAUUGCAUUAUCAAAUGAGAAACCUAGCAUCUCACAUGAGCAUUUAGAAUCACACAUAGAUGAUUUGAAAAAUGAAAACCAAAUGCUUAAGAAAAAGAGCAAUGAGUUGAAUGAGAUUGUUUUGAAAUUUACAAAUAGGCAAAAGAUGUUGGAUAAUAUGCUUAACUCACAAAAAUGUGUUUUUGAUAAAGGAGGACUUGGGUAUAAGCCUAACUUGAAGCAAAAGUAUUAUAAGAAUUAUUUUGUUAAAGCUACCUCCACAAGUGAUCAUAAGAUUGUUUGCCAUUAUUGUAAUCAAAAUGGUCACAUGAAAUAUAGAUGUCCCGUGAAAAGGAAUGCAUAUUAUGGUGUCAAAUGUAUUUGGGUUCCAAAAGGAACCGUUGCUAACUCUCAAGGACCAAAAAAGCUUUGGGUACCUAAAACUUGAGAUUUUUCUUGUAGGGCUUAAAGAAGAAGAAAAAUAAAUGAUACUUGGACAAUGGUUGUUCAAGGCACAUGACUGAAAAGUAUGCAUGGUUCUCAAGCUUCACCAAAAUUGAAAAUGGUAGAGACGUAUCUUUUGGAGAAAACUCAAAAGGAAAAAUUCUUGGAAUUGGAAAUGUUGGUAAAGUUUUCUCAACUCUAAUUGAGAAUGUAUGUUUGGUUGAGAACUUGAAACACAACUUAAUUAGUAUUAGUCAAUUAUGUGACAAAUGUUAUAAAGUCAUCUUUGAUAAAUUUAGUUGUGUUAUUGAGAAUUCAUGUAAUGGCAAGAUCUUAUUUGUUGGGAAUAUAUGUGGUAAUGUUUAUAUCAUUGACAUAGAAUGUGCAUCUACUCUUGAUAAAUGUUUUUUGGCAUUGCAUGAUGAUAGUUGGUUAUGGCAUAGAAGGUUAGGACAUGCAAGUAUGGAUUUGAUUUCAAAAAUUUUGAAAAAUGAUUUAGUUAAAGGUCUUUCAAAAAUUGGUUUUCAAAAAGAUAAGAUUUGUGAAGCUUGUCAAUUUGAAAAACAAAUCAAAACAUCUUUCAAAAAUAAAAAUCGUAUUUCUACUUCAAAACCACUUCAACUUCUUCACAUAGAUUUAUUUGGACCCUCUAGAUAUGCUAGUUUAAAUUAUAAAUAUUAUGCAUUUGUGAUAGUGGAUGAUUAUUCUAGAUAUACUUGGGUAUUAUUCUUAGCCAAUAAGGAUGAUGCUCUUGAUGCCUUUAAAGUGCUUUGUAAGAAAAUACAAAAUGAAAAAGGGUAUGGUAUUGCAUGCAUUAAGAGUGAUCAUGGAAGAGAGUUUGAAAAUCAUGCAUUUGAGAUUUUUUGCAAUGAUUUUGGCAUUGAGCAUCAAUUUUCAUCACCUAGAACUCCACAACAAAAUGGAGUUGUUGAGAGAAAGAAUAGAUCCAUUCAAGAAAUGGCUAGGACUAUGUUGAAUGAAAAUUCAUUGCCUAAGUAUUUUUGGGCCGAGGCCGUCAACACUGCUUGUUAUGUUUUAAAUCGUGUGUUGAUUAGACUUAACCUUAACAAAACUCCAUAUGAGCUUUAGAAACAUAGAAAACCCAACAUUGGUUAUUUCAAAGUGUUUGGAUGCAAAUGUUUUAUUUUGAACACAAAAGACAAUCUUGGCAAAUUUGAUCCAAAAUCUAAUGUUGGUAUUUUUCUUGGAUAUUCAAACUCAAGCAAAGCUUAUAGAGUUUAUAACAAAAAUACAUUAGUUGUAGAAGAAUCUAUGCAUGUUACUUUUGAUGAGUCUAACCCCUCAUCUACGGAGAAAGUUGUUGUUGAUAAUGAUGUAGAUGAAGACUUAAAAAAAGAAUCAUCAAAAGAUAACCAAAAGGAUACGUCUCAUGGGAAUCAAGAUGAGCAACAUGAAGAAAUGAAUGUAGAGCAAAAUGAAGGUGCAUCUCAAUCACUCCUCAAGGAGUGGAGGUAUGUUUCUUCUCACCCUAAGGAUGUAAUUUUAGGAGAUCCCUCACGAGGUGUUACAACUAGAUCAUCUCUUAGAAAUACUUGUGAGCAUAAUGCAUUUAUUUCUCAAAUUGAACCCAAAUCCUUUGCGGAUGCGGAAAAUGAUGAUCUUGGAUUAUGGCAAUGCAAGAGGAGUUAAAUCAAUUUGAAAGAAACAAUGUAUGGGAAUUAGUUCCUAAACCGGAACAUCAAUCCGUCAUAGGUACUAAAUGGAUAUUUAGAAAUAAGAUGGAUGAAUCCAGUGUGGUUGUAAGGAAUAAAGAUAGAUUAGUGGCUCAAGGUUACAACCAAGAAGAAGGAAUUGAUUUUGAUGAAAUAUUUGCACCCGUAGCUAGACUAGAAUCAAUUAGAAUAUUGUUGGCAUUUGCAUGUCAUAAAGAUUUUAUUUUAUUUUAAAUGGAUGUGACAAGUGCCUUUUUGAAUGGUUUUAUAAUGGAAGAAGUGUAUGUAAAACAACCCCCUGGUUUUGAAAAUGAAAGAUUUUCAAAUCAUGUUUAUAAGUAAUUUAAAGCUUUGUAUGGCUUAAAACAAGCACCUAGAGCAUGGUAUGAUAGACUUAAGAAUUUCUUAUUAGAAAAUGAUUUUUCAAUGGGUAAAGCGGAUACUAUUUUAUUUGUCAAACAUAAGGAAAAAGACAUACUUGUUGUUCAAAUUUAUGUUGAUGAUAUUAUUUUUGGUUCUAAUAAUGAAUUGUUGUGUAAAGAAUUUUCAUCUUACAUGAGUAAUGAAUUUGAAAUGAGUAUAAUGGGAGAGUUGAAGUACUUCCUUGGGCUGCAAAUAAAACAAAAUGAGAAAGGAAUUUUCAUAAAUCAAGCCAAGUAUGUAAAAGAUCUACUCAAAAGAUUCAGCAUUGAUGACUCAAAGACCAAAAACACUCCAAUGAGCACAAUAACCAAACUUGACAAAGAUGAAAAAGGCAAGGAAGUAGAUAUAAAAAUGUAUCGAGGUAUGAUCGGAUCUUUACUUUAUUUAACUGCAAGUAGACCCGAUAUCAUGUUUAGUGUAUGCUUGUACGCAAGAUUUCAAUCUUGUCCCAAGGAAUCUCAUUUGCUUGCUAUUAAAAGAAUUUUCCGUUAUUUGAGUGGAACCGUACAUAUUGGCCUUUGGUAUCCUAGGGGAACUCAUAUAGAUUUAACAUGUUAUUCGGAUGCGGAUUUUGCCAGUUAUAACGUUGAUAGGAAAAGCACUAGUGGAACAUGCUAUAUCCUAGGUCACUCACUUAUUUCAUGGUUUAGCAAGAAACAAAAUUCUGUUGUACUCUCAACUACAGAGGCCGAAUAUAUAGCUGCAGGAAGUUAUUGUGCAUAAGCUCUUUGGAUGAAACAAACACUUAGAGAGUAUGGUAUUAACCUAGAACAAAUUCCUAUUAAGUGUGAUAAUACUAAUGCUAUAAAUCUUUCAAAGAAUCUUAUUCAACACUCUCGAACCAAGCAUAUAGAAAUAAGACAUCAUUUCUUGAGAGAUCAUGUUCAAAAGGGGGAUAUUUUUACCAAACCUCUUGGUGAAGAACAAUUUUCAAAGAUUCAGCAUGAACUUGGAAUGAUGAAAUUUUCACAUUAACGUUACUAUUCAUGCUACUGAGUGUAUUGAAUUGAUUGACUUCUUGGUGAAUUGAUGAUUUAAAUGCUUAAGCUUGAUAUUCAAAUGAUGUGCUUGCUUUGUUAAUUCUUGAUUGAUUAUAUGAAUUAAUUGCUUCAAUACAUGUUCAUGAAUCAUGCAUUAAAAUGGCUCAUGAAACAUUUUUAGAUCAAUUAAAUGAUCUUGGAAUGUAUUAUUUGCUGGCAAAAAAUUAAAUCAAAUGUGCGAAAUUAUUGAUAAAAUAAACGGCUAACCGUUUCCAAUAAACGGUGUACCAUUUUAUUCCAGAAACUCGAUUAAGUUGACUGCCUUUUAACCCUUUUACCGUUUGUUGCAAUCGGUAAACCAUUUAAAAUCAGAGAGCUCGCUAGCAGUUACUCCUCAGCCGUUAAGAGUUUAACCUUUAACUGUUUCCCAUUCUUUAGCCUCUGGAAGUUACCCCUUAACCGUUUAAAUAAACGGUUAACCAUUUUCGUGAUUAUAAAACUGUUCAAAGGUUUUUUCUUCUCCUUCUCGAGUUGCCCCUUCACCGUUUCGGCCAUUGUUGCACAGCCGAAUCCUCCUCUCCCCUCAAACCUUCAUUUUUCUUGUUUUUCUUGCCAAAUCAAACCUAUAACAUCAUUUCUUAUCACCUUUAGAACACUUUCACCGAUUCAAAUCCUCAAAUCAAGCCCAAAAUUGAAAAAUCCCAAAUCUAAACCCUAACUGCGGCCGCUCGGGUUUCUUCCUUUUUAACCCGAUUCUUCCCCUUCUUCAGCCAAAUUAAGCAUCAAAAUCACAUCAUUUACUCAUUCCUAAGCAAAUAAUCGAUUCAUCUUCUUCUCAUCACAUCUCUCCAGUAAUUUUCAAACUCCUUUGUGCUUCACCAUGGCUGCACCCCCUCGGAGAAAUCUCAGGCGAAAAUCUGUGCCUCCAAGGAACCCUAUACCACUACGGGAAGUCUCUGAAUUCGCAAUAAUUCAUUUCCCCAUGCCUUCCUUGGCCAAGCGGUUCGAGAAUCGCUUCAAUGGUCGAAAGGUACUUGACUCUUCUUAUGUUGAAAUAGAUGAUUUCAGUACCUUAGUUGUAUGUGGUAGAAGUAUUAGGGAUAUGCUUCAGCCUUGGGAGUCUGCCAUUGACUUUGAUGACCGAGUUUAUCCCAACUUAGUACGAGUCUUUUAUUCGAACAUGGAAAUCUUCGCAACUCGCCUAAAUAGGAUAGUUACUCAAGUCGGCGAUGUGCCUAUUGAAUUUGAUGAUGCGGACCUAGCUGACUUUCUUGGUAUCUCUAGUGAGGGUCAUGAUAUUUACACCUCUAGGAAAGCCCUUUUUUUUUACAGUUUUUAUCAUACUGAUGGAGUCCGUAAUAUUUGUCGUCGUCGAGACUUGUCUGAUGAGAUCUGUCUUCUACCUUUUCGGUCUCAACUUUUACCUCUCCAAGUUCGCAUUCUUCACACUAUUUUACAGCACAUAGUGACACCUAGGAAGGUUCACUCGGAUGAGGUUACGAGGUUGGACGUUGGCCUAUUAGAUAGUCUCAUUUCAAGCCGUCCCAUUAACCUCGGCUAUGUUAUUGUGCGGCACAUGUUGAGUACUCCCGUAGUUAACCACCACUUGCUUCCAUAUGGCAGUAUCAUUACUAAGAUACUACGACGCUUUGAGGUGCCUCUUCUUGAUACCACUUAUAUGGAGACUAGAGGGAUUGGUCCUGAGGCCAUGACUAGUAUCGGUUUUACUAGGAAGAAUGGUGAGUGGAUAAAGACAAACAACUCCAAAAACCGGGAUACCUUGAUUGCUCCAAAGGACGAUCGGAUGCUCAACGAUGUCUAUCCUCCCAAUAAGCUUCCAGAUUUUAGAUUAGGAGCUCAUCCUCAUCCUCCUCAUCGCCGUUUUGUCCCUUGGCCUUCAGCUGACUCUGACUCUGAGGAGCGUGCGAUGGGUGCUGAUAUUCCCUCCUCUUCCGAGCCGCCUCUAGCUCCCAAGCAGCCUCCUGCUCCUGAGCCAUCUGAUGUUCCUGAGCACCCAUCUGCCUCUGAACCACCUCCAGCUCUAGUUCAGCCCCAUGCUUCAGAUGUUGUGCAGCAGUUGAUUGCUGAUGUUCACCGAAUUUCAGAGCGCCAGCAGCUGAUUCUUGAUCGGUUGGACACUUUUUCCCGUGACCACCAGCAGUUACGUUCUGACUUUCAGACCUUCCAGUAGCAGAGCAUUGAUCAGUAGCAUGAGCUUAUCGCUGGACAGCACACUCUUCUCCACUAUUUUGGCUAUGAUCCGGGGAGCACAUCUUCUCCACCUCCAUAGUUUCUGAAUUCUAUUUUCGCACAUACAUUUCAUAUUUUGGUUGUUUGCGUGUUGCCAUUUAUAUUUUUAUAUACAUUGCUACCUCUAUAUGCUCUUUAUGGAUUUUGAUGACAUGUUUUUAUGAUGUUCUUGAUGUUGGAUGACUUGAUAUUGGUUGAUGAAAUUGUUGGUUUAUUGGUUAAUGGAGUUGUUGGUUUGUUUGUUCAUGGCGUUGUUGGUUUGUUGAAUGAUGGAGUUGUUGUUAAUAUAUUUUGUAAGUGUUUUAAUCUCAUUUUGUAUUAGUGGUUUUGAUCCAUUUUAAGGGGAAACUCUGCCAAAAUUUUCACUCGCCAAAAUCGGGUAACUUUUUUAACGGAUUUGCGGUUUUCCUUUCUCUCUUUUCUUUUUGAUGAUGAAGGGGGAGAUAAUUAUGAGGAGAUUUAAAAUGAAUUUAAAAAUAUUUUCUCGAGCAAAAGUCUUUUUAUUGGACAUUUCUUAAUUUGGCCAUACAUUUAGGGGGAGCAUAUAUUAAGGGGGAGCAAAAUAUUGAAUAAAGUUUGUCAUCAUCAAAAAGGGGGAGAUUGUUAACAUGAAUAUGUUAAUAAUAUUGAUUUUGAUGAUAACAAACUUUAAAUGAUUUUUUAUUAAAAUGUUGAAGCUAUUCCUUAAUAAACGAAAGCCUUAUAAUCAUUCUAAUCAUAUUCAUAAAAGAUGGUCUUUCAAAUUAGAAAAUGAUUCUCUGCAAAAUCUGGUUUAAAAUGUGAUUCUGGAAAUAAACGGUGAACCGUUUUCUUUCAAACGGUUAACCGAUUAAAACCACAGAGCAACAUAUUGCCUAAGCUCUAACCGAUUAAGAAAAACGGAAAACACAAAAAGCUGGGAAGGCUAUUGAAAUUUAACGGUGAACCGUUUAUUUAAACGGUUAACCGAUAAAAUCCAGAAUUGAAGGUUGCACUCUUCUGGCACCGUUUAAUAAAACCGGAUAAGGCUAAAUUAUUUUGCAGGUAACUAAAAACAAACGGCGAACCGUUUAUUACAAACGGUUAACCGAUAAUAUCCAGAGAAGUCACUUCAUGCAAAUCCUUAACCGUUUAAUGUAAACGGAUAACUGGUGUUCAUCUUGCAGGUCUCUGGAAUUUAACAGCGAAAGGGUAAUCCUAAACGGCAAACCGUUUAUUUGAAAUUUGGCCCAACGGUAACUUUUGACCAGCCUAAACGGUUAACCGUUAAUGCUUAACGGCGAACCGUUUUCGGGCAGACAGUUUGUAACGGCUAGUUUUUUCAGCUCCAACUAUAAAUAAGCUCAUUCAAAUUCAAACAAAUCUGAUCACAACACGACUAUUGAGCUUAUACUCAAGAAUACAAUCUUCAUAGAGCUUUGAACACAUUCUUGCUUCAUCUAUUCACAUAUUGGGCAUCAUUUUGUAAUCUUAAAUAUUGUGAGAGGCAAAACAAAUUUGUAAUCUUUUAUUUUGAGUGAUUGUAAGUGUUGGGAUACACUUGGGUUAAAGAGAUUGGGAUAAUCUCUUGUUGUAAAGGUUAUUGACACGUUGGAAGUCAAGUGUAAGCAUUUGAAGCCUUGGAGGCUUGCUUAGUGGAAUUCUCAAGCCCGAAAAGCUUGGAGGCAUAGACGUAGGCGAGGUUGGCCGAACCACGUAAAAAUCUCUGUGUUUGAAUCUCUCUUCCCUUAUCUUUUUAUAUUGUGAUCAACUUAUUUGUUAUUACUUUGAAUUUGGUUUAUAUUUGCAUUAAGUUUUUCUUUAUAAAUUGAAUAAUUUUUAGAAUUCCAAUUCACCCCCCUCUUGGAUUGUAUAACUAGAAUUUUAAAGAUAAUUGUGAUGAUGAUGUUGUUGAUGAAGAAGAUGAAAUUGAUGAUGGAGAUAAGUAACGAAGAAAUUGCAAAAGAGAGAGAAAGAAAAAAGAGAAGAAGAAGAAGAUAAAAGAAGAAAAAAAUAAAAGAGAGAUAAAAUAAUAUAAAAAACAAAAGAGGAAAUGCUUAAAGUAAAGUGGGGGUGGGGCUAAGAGAACAUGCGGGAAACGGUAGCACAAGCUGCCGUUUCUCUCAGGGUUCUCUCAGCCUUCCCGACGUUAAGCAUUUUCCUAUAUAUAUAUAUAGUAGUGCAAUCCCAAUCAAAUUGUUUAAAUUAAAGUGGAUCCAAUCCAUCAGAUGCACAAAUUUUAUCCAAUCGGAUAUAUAUGGCAACAUCCAAAUCCAAAUCAGAUGGAAUCAUAUAUAUCUGAAUCUAAUCCAUGAACACCUUUAGCCCUAUUGGAAUGAUCAUCUAACGAUUCAAACUAUAACGUAUUCUGUUGUAGUCUGUAGAGCGCUUGAAAAGAAAAUCUCUAACAAUAGCAACUAUUAUGCAUUAGAUGCAUCAAUGAAUUGUUGAAAAUUGAUUUUAAAAAAAGAAAGGUGGCUUCAAAUUUGGUGGCUUAACCACCAAAUUUGUUGACCAAAAUUUGUUCAUCAAAUUUGAUGGCUAAGCCACCAAUUUUGAUCAAAAUUGGUGGGCAUAAUUAUGCAAGUUUUUGCCUAUAAAUAGGAGGGUUCUCCUCCUCACUUUUGUAUCCAAUUAAGAGCAUUCAAUAGGAGUAUUUGGCUCCUCAAUAUGGGUAUUACGGGUUUGCUUUGUUAAAGAAUAUUUUUCGGGAUCAUGUAUUUGGGGCUUGGGUGAGAGAAAUUAUUUCUGAGAGUGUGGUUGUAAUAAUUUUCCACAUAAUGAAUAUUUUUUUCUCUGGUUGUCUUUUGACAACAGCCGUGGUUUUCUUCCAGAUUUAGAGUUUUCCAUGUAAAUCUUGUGAUGUGUGACUGAUGUAUUCUCCGUUUAAUUUUUUCUGUUAAUUUAUUUCUUGACAAAUUAUUUGUAGUGAUCUUGGGAGAAAACUCAAUUUCUUAACAUGAAUCAGAUUCUAAGGUGAUGCUUUUUCUCUCUAGACAAGUUUUAUGGUCCCAGUGGAAUUAUUUUUAAUCUUUCAGUCUUUUGAUAGGGCAAAAAAGAAACUAGUCUUGAUAGCCUAUUUUACUUUCUUCAUACACAUAUAUAUAAAACACAAAUUAUAAGACACCCUUUUAUCUUCUUGCAUAAAGAAUAUUUUAUGUACACAUACAUUAUACCUCAGAUUUUGUGCAGAAAAUCAUUAUUGUACAUCAAUAAUUUCUCAAUAUAAUUCCUCUUAUCAAUCAGUAUCCCCACGGCACCUGCAGCAUUUAGUUUUAAGAUUCAUUUUCCAGUACUGCUCUGCCUUGAUCUAUUCUACUUUGACAACCACCUGAACUUAAUUCAACUUCUUAAUAGAAUGAGGUAUUGGUGCCAUCCUCAGUUGAUUAUGUUGACUAAUGUUGAAGUAAAAGGAGAGCUUUUAACUUUUUUUUUUAUAAUUAUUUUCUUUGCAUGCUAGAGCUGCUGGCUACUGACUACUGAGAGUGAAGGAGAUAUGGACAUCAACCUUGGACUAUUUUCAGAGAGACUGAGAAGGGUGCCAGCUGGUGAAGAAUUCACAGUGCCCGAUGCUGCUAAACAACCUAUUCAGAACCUUUACACUGAGACUGAAAUCAUUGCUUCUUGGCUGAGGGACUGUGGAUACAACACUGCUUGGUUUAUGUGGCAAGUCAAUGCAAAAGAGGGUCAAACUCUUGCAGAAUUAGAAGAUUUUAAGGCUAUCAUUGACAAAAUCAAUUGCUUUUCAUAUGUAUCUGAGUAGGCAAUUGACACAUUCGCUAUCAGCAUCACUCAACAGAAGAGUCAAAGCGGAUGUAGCGAGGGCAUUUGUGAUGCUCUGCUAGGACUCCAAAGCAAAAUCAUUGAUAUAAAACAACGGAUGCAGCAAGUUCAGCACAUCCACUCCGGAAUCAUUGAUGGGCUCAAAUCGAUUGAAGCAAAAGCCGGUAAUUUUCCUGCAUCCUCAUCUUUUAAGGAUAGGGACACGGUGGGUCUAGAUAAUAGAAUGGAGGAGUUAUUAGAUCUAUUGAUAGAGGGACCGCCUCAACUUUCGGUAGUGGCCGUACUUGAUAGCAUUGGAUUGGACAAGACGGCUUUCGCCGCAGAGGCUUACAGCAGCAACUAUGUGAAGCAUUAUUUUGAUUGUCACGCUUGGGUUGAAGAGUCUUUACUAUAUGAUGCUGACCAAAUAUUAUACGACAUUAUUAAGUUUGUGAUGCCUUCACGUAGGUUAAGUGAAAUUAUGAAAGAAAGUUCGGAAAUGAAAAAAAUUAUUCUUCAUGAAUAUGUAAUGACCAAGCGGUAUUUGAUUGUGCUUGAUAAUGUGUGGAGAAUAUCAGUAUGGGAUGUUAUUCGAGAAUACUUCCCGAUAAUCAGAUUGGAAGUAGAGUAUUGAUAACACUCAGUCAAAUUGAGAUCGUCACCUCAUUUCAGUUCGAAAAUGGAGAGAACAUUGGGGUUGAUUUUGUGCCCACUGGAGGACCAUUGAGAGUUACAUACCAAGGAUGGCCUUUCCACAUCUUAUAUCAUGGAAGCAUCUCACUGAAAGAAAAUAUAGAGGAAGCACUUGAUGAACCCGAGGGCUUCAAGUCGUGCAUAUUGUAUUUUACCUUUUUACUUGAAACUUUGUUGUCUCUACUUAUCUGUGUUUCGCGUACACUUUGAGAUAUGAACCAAGCAAUUAUAUCAGUUGUGGAUAGCUGAAGGUUUCAUUCCAGACAACAACGAGGCAAUUACUGAGAAGUACUUGGAACAACUAAUCAAUGGAGCCUUUGUUGAUGCAGGGAAGAGAAGUGAUAUAAGCAGAAUCAACACAAGCUCUAUUCCUGGGAGUUGCAGUCCUGCAUUGUUGACUGUGGCUUUCAAGGGGGAAUUUAUCAUUUCCCCAAUCAUGGAUCAGGAAGUUAGAUUACGGGAAAAUGUGAAACGCUUCACCGCUCACGGAAAAUUGAAUCAUUUUACAUUUUUAGAUGAUUUUGACUCGUUCCUCCAUUCUUUGUUGUACCUCACUUCAGGAAGCCAAUACCUUGACCCCACUUAUUGCAAGAAAAUCUGUAAAAUGUUCAAAUUUCUCAGAGUAUUAUCCCCUCCCUCAAAAGCCUGCCUUCAUCGUUCUUAAGCAGUCUUUUGAACCUGUACACCCUAGAGAUGCCCUUUAGCUACAUAGAUCAUACAGCAGAUGAAUUUUGGAAGAUGAGCAAACUGAGGUAUCUAAAUUUUGGAGCGAUCACACUUCCUGCACAUCCAGGAAAAUAUUGUGGCUCUCUAUAAAAUCUCAAUUUCAUUUUAGCCUUGCAUCCUUGCUGCUCUACUGAAGAGAUAUUGGGCAGACUACCUAAUCUUCAAAAUCUCCGGAUAUGGGGAGAUUUAAGUUAUUAUCAAUCUUUGUUGUCCAAAAGUCUCUGUAGAUUGAGCUGCCUCGAGUCAUUGAAGUUGGCGAAUGAAAGCAAGAUGCCACGGCGAUCCAAUAUCAUCCUUGCUGAAUACCAAUUUCCUCCAAGUCUAACCCACUUGAGUUUUUCGAAUAUUGAGCUAAUUGAUAAUCCCAUGCCGGCACUAGAAAAGCUGCCGAUUCUUCAGGUGCUCAAACUGAAGUAUUCAGGUAGAAAGCUGGCUUGUAGCUCUGAUGGCUUUCCAAAACUCAAGGUGCUGCACCUUAAAUCUAUGCUAUGGUUAGAGGAAUGGACUAUGGGGAUUAAAGCCAUGCCGAAACUAGAAUGCGUGAUCAUCAACCCUUGUGCUCACUUGAAAAGGAUUCCUGAACAGCUUUGGUGCCUAAAGAGCUUAAACAAAUUGGAGUUGUGGUGGCCUGAGCCCAAGCUGAGACAACAGCUAUGGGAAUUCGAGGAUAAGGAGCAGUAUGGCAUUCAGCUAUACCCAUAUGGAAUUUGAUUAGCAUGGAUCGAAUUUGAUGUAAGUUUUUUUCCUUUUUAUCCAAUAACUUCAACCUCUAAUUAUUUAUCUAAUUUCACGUAAACAUCUAGUCUCUAUGAUUGAUUUGAUAGUACGUAGCAGCCUAAAUAAUAAUGAUACCAUAAAGUGUUUUCUACAUUCUAAUUGUGGUUGCUUCUAAUUUUUUUCACAACAAAGACUUGGAAGUGUCCAUUAUAUUCCCUGAUACUGACACUAAUCAUUAAUCCCUUAUUUAUAGAAGAGGCAGAACCCUUAUGUAUUGGUUGUUGAAAUAAUCAAGAAAAACUGAAAAAUAAGAUAUUCAAUUACUUGAAUGUGUAGGUCAAAGCAAAGCGGAAAAUAUCUUAACUGUACUGCAGCCAAAGUUUCAAUUUCAAUAAGAAUCCAGUCUUCACUGAAAUUGUUUGGUUUCUUUGUUUUCAAGGAUUAUGUCAUAUUCGGAUUAAUAUUUUGUACAAAAGUUUGAUUAAUUGUUUUACUUUCUAUUUCACAUUCACCGGUGUGUAUUCAAUUUGUCAACAUUCAAGUUGCAUAUAUGUUAUUGUUUUUUAUUUUAUUUUAUCUUUUUUCUAGUUUUUGAAUAGUGGUACAGUUCAAUCUCAUUACUUCAGUUAGACGAAAAAUGUUUGUGCUGUGAUCACAUCUCAUCAUCUUAAAACUGAUUGUGAAAUGGUUGUUGGGUCAUCUUCACAUGUCUCAUCAAAGCCAUAGAAAGAGAGAGACUUAAAGAGAAAAAGUUUUAUAUUCUUGGAAUGAUUGUGAAAUGGUCCUUGUUCUUCAGUGGAUGUAGGCACUUUGAUUCAAUUUUGAGUUUGGUUUUCUGGGAAUGAUUCUUGAUACGUCAAAGAGGGUCUUAAGUGUGUGAUCUUGGUACUAACAGAGGAUUAAACACAACAAAAAGAAACUGGGGCAUAUUGUCUAAUCUUCAUAGCCUCCAAAUAUAUGGAGAUUUUAGCCCUUGUCAAUCUGGGUUGUCCAACAGCCCUCGUAAAAUAAAAAACCAUCACUAAUCCUUGGUGACUUUAAGGAUCCAGUAAGGACUAGGUAGAAUUGAAGAGGAGAUUUAACGAGUAAAGUUCUGAAAGUGGAAGAUUUAAAAUUUAGUUGUAGCGAAUAAAGAUUUAAGAUUUAAUAUUUAAAAUUUAGUUCUUUCUCUAUUGGUUGAUUAGCAGCCCAAUUGCACUAAGAGAAUAAAGAGCAGUUGUGAUCGUUUUCACAUUUGCCUUGUAAUGCAGUGCAAUGAAGUUGAUGGCGAGAGGAUGUACUGCUGCUCACUCUCAAUUCUUUACAAUCACAUCAAAGCCCUCGUUUGCAGCAGAGGAAUUCCCUUUUGUAUUAAAAUUGAUCCUUCUGCUUUGGUUGUCAUUGGAUUCUUAUGGUUUCUUCACUCUUUAGCCAGUAACAUAAUGUUGAGUUUAUUGAUUUUGCUAUCUUAAGAAUGUCCAAGAUGUUGAUGCUGAAAAAGGACUUCAACAGCUGAAUUUGUUUUUGGUGGAAAACUAGUACGAACAAAAUUUGAAUGUUGAUAUGGACUUUAAAUCUGCAACUUGAAAGCUACAGAAACCGGUCACAACUCGCCUGUGGGGGAUCUGGCGAGAACCCUUUGAUGCUUAAGUUAGAUUUGGAGUAAAUUAGAUAGUUGACUAUAAAGGAAAUAACUAAAGCAGAAUAAGAAAAAAAGAUGAAAUAAUAUAAAUUUUCUCUCCUUCUCUACGAUGGAAGAUUAAUUUUCUUUUUUCAUUCCUUCUUCUGGUGUACACUGUUUUCUUAAAUACCCCUCAAGAGGCAGACAGUUUUAUUCCUCUUAAAAGUCGCUCAUCUUCGCAACAUGGGUAGUUGGCUCACAUGGGUAGUCUUUGCAGAUUAAGCUGCCUCGAAUCAUUGAAGUUGGUGAACGAAAGCAAGAUGCCAGCUUUCUCUAAAAUUGUCCUUGUUGAAUCCCAUUUUCCUCCAAGACUAACCCACUUGAGUUUAUCUAAUACUGAACUUAUGGAGGAUCCCAUGCCCGCACUAGAAAAGCUGCCACUUCUUCAAGUGCUCAAACUGAAGCAAAAUUCAUAUUCAGGUAGGAAGCUAACUUGUGGCUCCCAUGGUUUUCCAAAUCUCAAGGUAUUGCACCUGAAAUCAAUGCUAUGCCUAGAGGAGUGGACUAUGGGGAUUGGAGCCAUGCCAAAACUAGAAUGCUUGAUUAUCAACCCUUGUCCUUACUUGAAAAAAAUGCAUGAACAGCUCUGGUGCGUAAAGAGCUUAAACAAGUUCGAUUGCUGGUGGCCUCAGCCAGAGCUGAGACAAAAGCUAAGGGAAUUUGAGGAUAAGGAACAGUGCAGCAUUCAACUAUAUCCUUACGGAAUUUGAUUAGCCCUUAUUGAAUUUGAUGUUUGUUUCGUGUUUUAUCUAAUUUCUUCAACUUUUUAUUAUUUAUCAAAUUUCAUAUACUUUUUCCCCCUUCUCUUCAAUAUAAAGAUGGUUAUACAGAGUAUUUUCUUCUAGUUUGUCUCAACAUUAAGUACCCUUUAGAGUUUCUGAUACUCACCCCAAUCAUCAAGCCCUAUUUAGCAGCAGCGGAGACUUAAAUACUCUUCCACAUUCAACCAUGAGCCUAGCAGACAUCGGCGUUCAUUUGUUUUAAUAGUUAAGGAAAAAAAUGUAAUUUAAAAUUCUUCUUUUUCACAAUUUCUUUAAUGACUUGUGUAGGUGAAAUCAGAGUAGAAAACAUCAUGACUACAGCCUGAGCUUCAAUUUAAACCAGAAUCCUUUCCAUCUUCACUUCUACUGUCUACACAGACAAAUCCUGAUCCUACAGUGGUGGACUUUUUUUUGGUUUCUUUGUUUCCGCUGUCUACUCAUAAAUAAGAAGUUUCGUUUCGGAUUUUCAGUUGAGAGUUCAUUGAUUUGUGCUUCAGCGAUGGUUCGUUAAUUGUGUACAAAAAAUAAAUAAUAUUUGUGAUGCUUUCUGGUGUUGGGUUCAGUUGAAUGUAUUUUCUGUCUUUGUUCUGUUUGUUGUGCGCGGAAUGCGGAAUCAAGCACACCAAAUAAUUACAGAAAAAUAAAGGAAACAAGAAUUUACGUGGUUCGGUAAUUAAACCUACAUCCACGGAGGUAAGAAAGAAUAAUUGUUUAUUUAACAAUUAAUAGAGUACAAUAUUUGAGUAACGAAUCUCACUUCCUAUAAACCCAAAUAUACCCAGUACUCUCACACUCUGUAGGAAAGAUAAAUUCCCCAGACACACUUCUCUCACUUCUCUCAAAAGCUUAGAAACUUAUAAGCUUAACAAUUUUGAGAUGAUUUCAAAUGAAUGAAAUCCUUAGCUAUUUAUAGGAGAAAUGAAUUACUAUGCUAAGAAUAAAAUAAUUAAAAAUAUAAUUUUUAAUUAUUAUUAUUUUUCAACAAAUUGUUGGUGCACCAACAAUUUGUUGACUUCAACAAAUUUGCACCAAUAAUUUGUUGACUUCAACAAAUCUCCACCUCGGCGAAAAUUUUUCAAAUUUGAGUCGACUACCAACAAGCCAUCAUCCCCAAAGUGGUUGCAUCUCUAUGACUGCCUACGUAUCUAAAAUUUGGGAUCAAACCAACCGUAGUUCAAAAUUCCCGAAGGACAUAUCUUAACACAAUCGAAGGAUUUGAAUUAAUUUCAAGUAAUGUUGAAACUUAACUUCAGAAACUACCUUGGUCAACAUAUCUGAUGGAUUAUCUUUGGUAUCGAUCUUUCUCAACAACACAACAUCGCUCUUAAUAAUCUCUUUCACAUAAUGAUAUUUCACAUCUAUGUGCCUCGUCCGAGCGUGAUAUNNNNNNNNNNNNNNNNNNNNNNNNNNNNNNNNNNNNNNNNNNNNNNNNNNNNNNNNNNNNNNNNNNNNNNNNNNNNNNNNNNNNNNNNNNNNNNNNNNNNCCGCAAUGUUCUCCUAGAUACCUCCCAAAUCACCUAUUAAGCCUUCCAACCAGAUAGCUUCUUUUACAGCUUCAGUUGCUGCCAUAUACUCUGCUUCCGUAGUGGAUAGAGCAAUUGUCGAUUGUAGAAUCGACCUCCAGCUAACCAGACCUCCACCCAAUGUGAAUACGUAGCCCAUUGUUGAUCUUCGCUUGUCAAGGUCUCUAGCGAAAUCAGAAUCACAAUACCCAACACAUUAUUGACCACAAUCCUUCUUGAACAAUAACCCAACAUCAACUGUCCCAUAUAGAUAUCAGAGAAUCCACUUUACCGCAAGCCAUUGAUUUUUACCCGGAUUAUGCAUGUAUCUACUAACCAUGCUCACUGCUUGAGAUAUAUCGGGCCUUGUGCAUACCAUAGCAUACAUAAGACUACCCACAGCACUAGCAUAUAGAACAUGAGCCAUGUAAUCGCACUCCUCUUGAGAUCUAGGACAUGAAUAAGAGCUUAAUUUGAAAUGAGGAGCUAGAGGUGUACAUAUCGAUUUAGUUUUGUCAUCCAUACCGAAUCUUUCUAGCACUUUCUUCAAAUAAAACUUUUGAGUCAACCAUACGCUCCCAUUCUUCUUGUCUCUACGAAUCUCCAUCCCAAGUAUUCUCUGUGCAUCACCUAAGUCUUUCAUCUCGAACUCAGAAGCCAGCUGCUUCUUUAAUCUUUCGAUCUCAUCUCUAUUCUUCGAAGCUAUAAGCAUACCAUCGACAUAGAGUAACAAAUAGAUGAAAGCUUCAUCUGGUAGUCUUCUAAAGUAAACACAAUGAUCGUGUUCACUUCUGGUGAAUUUCUGCCUUUGUAUAAAUUGAUCAAAUCUUUUGUACCACUGCCUUGGCGAUUGCUUCAGUCCGUACAAAGAUUUAAUCAACCUACACACAUGAUUCUCAUUUCCAGUAACUCUGAAACCACAAGGCUGAAUCAUAUAGAUUUCCUCCUCCAAAUCUCCAUGCAAGAACGCCGUCUUAACAUCCAAUUGAGCCAACUCUAACUCAUAUUCUGCAACUUAGGCAAGUAGGAUACGAAUGAAAGUAUGUUUUCCAAUUGGAGAGAAAACUUCAUUGUAGUCAAUACCUUCCUUUUGAGCAAAACCUUUUGCCACGAGCCUUGCCUUGUAUCGAGGAGUUGUUUGAUUUGGAGAUCUUUGCUUUUUGGUGUAGACCCAUUUAUUGCCAAUAGCCCUUUUCCCCUUUGGUAACUUUACAAGUUCCUAAGUCUGCUUUUGAUGGAGAGAUUUCAUCUCUUCCUCCAUGGCUAACUUCCACUGAUCACUUUCACUACAGCGUAAUGCUUCACCGAAAGUGUUGGGGAAGUCAUCAUCAAUAACUGGAAGUGCAUAGGCUACCACCAUAUCUUUAGUAAGCCAUCUGGGUUUCUUUAUCUCUCUUCUUGGCCUCCUUGUUGCUAUAAAAUCAUCAUUAUCUACAUCAUCAAUUGUUUCUUCAUUUUGUGGGACAUCAGAAAAAACAAUCUCUUCUUCAACUCUAGGUGUCACCUCUAUAGUUGAACUCUUCUUUGAUGUAGAACUAACUGGUACAUAUGGAGUUGCGUCAAGCUCCACCCGCUGCAAUACCUCUUUGGUCUUGUUCUCCACCUGCUGAGAACUUGAAGCUUUGAUCAUUGAAGCUUCAUCAAAUGUGACAUCUCUGCUACACACAAACUUUUUGUCUUCGAGAUCCCAAAGCUUGAAGCCCUUUACUCUACUUUUGAAUCCCAUAAAGAUAGCUUUUCUAACACGAGGAUCCAGUUUACCAUCUUUGACAUGAUAAUAAGCUGGACACCCGAAUACACGAAGGGAAUCAUAGUCUUGUGCAUACUUUCCAGACCACAUUUCCAUAGGAGUUUUACCUCCAAUUGCAGCAGAAGGCAAUCGGUUUACCAAGUGACUUGCGUAGCUCACAGCUUCAGCCCAAAACUUUUUAUCUAAACCAGUAUUAGAUAACAUACACCGUACCUUCUCCAGUAAAGUACGAUUCAUACGCUCAGCCACACUGUUCUGUUGCGAAGUAUGUCUCACCGUGAAAUGUCUUUUAAUACCCUCGUUCUGGCAUACUUGCAAGAAUGGAUCAGAAGUAUAUUCACCCCCAUUAUCAUAUCGUAUUACUUUGAUCUUUCUGCCAGUUUGAGUCUCCACUAAUUUCUUUCAUUUCACGAAAAUCUCUAGAACCUCAUCCUUUCCUCGCAUGGUGUACACCCACACACGUCUAGAGAAAUCAUCAAUAAAUGUAACAAAAUAAUGGCUUCCACCAAUUGAUGCAGUCUUGGUUGGUCCCCAUACAUCACUAUGAACAUAUUCAAGGAUCUCACGAGUAUCGUGAUUACUUGUACUAAACUUGACCCUUGUUUUCUUGCCUACUACACAAUGCUCACAGAAAUUUAAUUUACAGGUUUUGGUACCUUUUAAGAGUCCAUGUCUCAUCAGAGUUUGCAAAGACUUCUCUCCAGCAUGUCCCAGUCGUACAUGUCAUAGCUUGGUGGUGUCACUGUGCGCUUCAACAACAUUUGCUUCAUCAGUUGUACCUCCCUUCAAAUAGUACAGAUUGUGACGCCGAACCCCUUGCAGAAUCACCAUAGCCCCAUGUGUAAACUUCAUUAUACCAUCUUCAAUAGUAACCUUGUAGCCUUUAGCUUCCAAAGCACCCACAGAAAUUAGAUUUUUCUUUAAAGUUAGAACAAAUCUAACCUCUUUGAGUUCUCUGACCAUUCCAUCAAAUAUUUUGAGCCGAAUUGUUCCUAUCCCCAUUGUGCGAUAAGGUUGAUCAUUCCCCAUCACAACUGCACCGGAUUCCAGAUUACGAAAAUCCGUAAACCAUUCCUUAAUAGGACACAAAUGAUAGGUUGCUCCAGUAUCAAGUAUCCACUCGCUCGAACUAGCCACGUAUGCUGCAGGAGUAAUACUUAGUGAAUAAUGAGAGCCGUCAUCUUUCCGUGCCAUGUUUGCUGCUGCUGGUUUCUUCCCAUCUCUCUUUUGAGCCUUUGGACAAUCUUUCCUCCAAUGGCCCUUUUCAUGACAAAAGGCACACUCAUCUCGAGCUAUAUUUCUGCUUCUCGAUUUGGAUCGAGAAUUCUUUCCACCACGCUUCUUUUGUUUCUCCAUCGCCCAAUCUUUGCUCACCAAAGCUUCAGACGAUACUCAUUCAGAAUUUUUAUCAUUAUUCCGAAUCUCUAAGCUAGUCAAUGCUGUGCAAACAUCUUUAAAGACGAUCACACUCUUCCCAUAUAUCAAAGUAGUCACAAAAUGGCUAUAUUCCUCUGGUAGUGAGUGUAACAGAAUUAUAGCCUUGACUUCAUCCUUAAUAUCUUCAUCAAGAUUCUUCAAAUCAGCAAGUAACUUUUCAAAUCUUGAAACAUGAUCGUGCAUUGACACCCUAGGCUUCAUUCGAAAACCAUAUACUUGGCUCAUUGCAUGAAGGCGAUUUUCAGGACUUUUCACCAGGUACUUCUCCUCCAAUGUACGCCAUAAAGUCACCGCACACUCCUCAUCUUUCACCAAGUAUUUCACCUCCUUGGUCAAACAAGAUCUGAUCUGACCAAAGGCUUUUUCAUUCAUACGAUCCUAAAUUUCUUCAUUAUACAAGUGUCUUUUAUUUUUCAUAACAACACCAAGAUCGAUUUGAAUAAGGGCAUCCAUAACUUCGCGCCUCCACAUGCCGAAGUUGAUUUUCCCAUCAAACUUUUCAACAUCGAUCUUCUGGCCUCCUAUAACAGGUGCUGAAUAGCGAUUUGACAAAUCUCGCAUCCCACCUGAAGUGUCUCCUGAAAUAGUCUCGGUAGAUCUCUCCCCAAUUCUGGAAGUUUCACCUUCUACUAUUUUCUCAACGAACUAUUUCCACUUGAAAAAUAGUCUCUAUGAUGUUAAUUUCGCGUGAAUAAAUGCACCAGGAAAGUUCUCAGAAAACUGGACAGGAACUCGAUCCCAAUUAAAAACCAGAAUCCUUAGACUCUUAUCGCCUUUGUUAACAGAACUUUCCUAGACAUGCAAAAAUACACACUACUUACAAUAGACUGUCUCCCAAGUAUAAAUGGCCGUCUCCACCGUAUUCGUGAACAGUACCGUAUGUGAACAGUGCCGAAUACGGGAAUAGUACCGUAUACGUGAACAGUACCGUAUCCCCCCAAGUAAGAACCUUCGGCUCUGAUACCACUUGUUGUGCGCGGAAUGCGGAAUCAAGCGCACUAAAUAAUUACAGAAAAAUAAAGGACACAAGAAUUUACGUGGUUCAGUAAUUAAACUUACAUCUACGGAGGCAAGAAAGAAUAAUUGUUUAUUUAACAAUUAAUAGAGUACAAUAUUUCAGUAACGAAUCUCACUUCCCAGAAACCCAAAUAUACCCAGUACUCUCACACUCUGCAGGAAAGAUAAAUUCCCCAGACACACUUCUCUCACUUUCCACAAAAGCUUAGAAACUUAUAAGCUUAACAAUUUUGGGACGAUUUCAAAUGAAUGAAAUCCUUAACUAUUUAUAGGAGAAAUGAAUUACUAUGCUAAGAAUAAAAUAAUUAAAAAUAUAAUUUUUAAUUAUUAUUAUUUUUCAACUAUUAAUAUUUUUCAACAAUUUGUUGACUUCAACACUGUUGCUUGCUCUGAAAUCCUGUUUCAAAGGCUGGGCAAGUUUGGCACUCAAUAUGUUCCGUUUAUUUCCAGAAAAGAUUAAUUAUUGAUGAACUUCACACUUGGCUGAAUGUCUUAGUAAACGUUCUUGUGGAGAAAUCCUAAUACCCGCUUAGGCACUACAAUAAGGCAGAAAUACUAAUACUGCUUUACAUGUGUUGAUUGAUUAACAGCUUUGUUCUCUGCUGCUCUUUCUUUAUCUGAUGUAGAAAAUUCCUUUAAGAAUCAAUAUGAUUGCUAGUUGCUACUAACUAUAGAAGUACUCCUCUUUUGGCUCAUUCCAUGGAAUAUGGAAGACAUAUUACUGAGACUAAGCCACGCUUCAUUACCUUCCCAGAGAAAAUUGAAGUUUGGGCUAUGUACUUGGGACUGGAAGGAAGAGCGGCAGCAAAAUGAUUAAAAGAAUUGCCAUUUAGAGGGGCAUUUUUGUGACUACUGAUGUGUCCCUCUAAUGGUUAAAUAAAUUGAAACCACGUCUAAUGAAAGGCUAGAAAAAGGCCGUGUUAUAGAAAGCAGCGACUCUCAAUAAUAGAAUUUUGCGUGCAAGUGUGUGCAUUCGAGAACGCAAGUAUAAGUUUUUGUAUAGCUAUAGCCUACGGUAUAUGCACGAGCAUCUAAUAUAUACUUUGCAGUGAGCAUUAGCACCACAUCAAAUAUUUUUAGUAGAGCAUGCAUGAGAAAAAAAAUUAAAUGUAGAAAUUUAAUUUGGUUUGUUAGCAUUCCAUUACUUGGCCAAUUUCCUUAACAUUGAAUGAUUGAGUAAAUUUUUAAUUUUUUGUUUUCAAGAGGUUAUUAGAUUUGUUUGGAGGUAAAAUUUGAAGGAUAUUUAUGGACUAGUUGAAAGCUGACAUGUGGUAUAAGAAUAAUAAAUAAGAAGUUGAACGGUGAAAAAACAAAUGACACCUCGACUGUCCUACACGAGCCAAUCAAGGAAAAAAAUAAAGUUUGGUAAAUUUGGCGUCACGUGAAGAGCAAGCUCAUUUGAUAUUUGAGUAAAGAGGUGCCAUGCAGUAGAAAAGAUUAAACUACCCUGCGGUACCCAACCUAAAUAUAUUCACUUAAAAGGGACAAGAGAAGGACUCCAUUUUUCUUUUUCUUUCUCUUCAACUCUCUUGAGCUCGAGUCACAACUUGUAAUUGAUUCAAUUCAAAUUGGAAAAUUCAGUGAAAAAAACAACCAACCAUAAGUUAAAGUAUUGGAUAUGCCUUUCCAGAAAAAAAAGGCUCUGAACAUCCAGUAACAUUUCACCUUCUUCUUUCGCCGAAAAAUCAGCUCUAUGAGUUGGUUUUCCAGCGAAACCUUCUUUUUUUAUUUUCUUUACUUAUUUUCUCCACUCAGAUCCUCAUAUAUGUGGUGGUUUUGUUCUUCCACUCAUAUUUUCAAAUCUGUGGUGGUGUAUUCUUCCACUCAUAUCUAGAGAUUUGUGGUGGUUUAUUAUUGUUUGUCUACCCAGAUUUACAAAUUUGGGGUUGUUCAUUUGAUUUUGCUUGGUUUUGUAUUUUAUGAUGCAUAAUUUUGAGAAGAAAAGUUUCUACUUUGUGGAAAGUGUUGCAAAGGCAGAUCUGAUAGAUGCCUUUAAGAGACUUAAGAAAUUUGGGCAAAGUUUUUGCAGAGAAGAAACUAUCUAUGAUGCAUCAAAAGUGGAGUCCCCUCCCUGCUCAUGUUGUAAAGGCUCAGCUUUUCAAAGAGUAAGAAAGACAAAGCCUUCUCAUAUUGCUCACCCCAGAGGAGAGAAACAACAGAAGUGGUUCCCUCCCCCUGAAAAUAUUUUCAAAAUUAAUGUAGAUGUUGCCAUCAAUACUAAGAAUCAGAUUGCAGGCGUGGGAGCAGUGAUUAGAGAUUCUAAUGGAAAGAUAAUUGCAGCCGGUAUUAAUCAAAUUCAUCUUAAGGGACCAGUCAGUUUAGCUGAGGCAGAGACUGUGCAAUGGGGGCUUCAGUUGGCAAAAGAAGCAGAUUUAACUUCCUUGAUCAUUAAGUCAGAUUGCUUAGAGGUGGUUCAACUUGUAAACAACACCAAGAGCAGCAAAACAGAAAUUUUUUGGACAAUUCUGGAGAUCCGAAAUCAGUUGAAAGUUUUUCAAAAAGUUGUUCAUCACAUAACAAGUCAAUGUAAUGCUUAUGCCCACUCUCUAGCUAAGUUAGCUUUGGGAAGAAAUUCUUCUUCUAUGUGGCUAGGAACUAUUCCAGUCGAGAUUCAAGUUGUAUUUGAGGUGUUGUGAUUUAUGAAAGAUUUACUUUCUUUUCAAAAAAAUAAAAGUAUUGGAUAUGCCUAUUUAUCCUCUAAUAAUUACUUUAAAUACUUUAUUGUUCUACACACUCAUCUAUUAAAUUUAAAAAAUUAAGUUAUACUUUGUAUGGUCUUUAAAAUACUAAAAAUCCUUAAGCAUGUUAAAUUAAUCACAUUUAUUUACUCAAAACAAUACUCAAAGAAAAUUCUUUAAAACAAUUAAGCAUAUAAUACUGAAGUUUUUAUUGAAAAAUCGACAAAUCCUAAUAUAAUUUAUUUCUAUCCCCUACCUCUUCGAAAUUUAAACUUGGAGUGAUUAAGAGAAUAAUAAUAAUAAUAAAUUGUUUAGAAAACCACUAACCAAGGCCUAUAUCAUCAUAUCAUAUCAUAUGAAUUUUGUUACAAAUUAGUUAUUAAUAUUUUGAUAAUUUAGUGACCCUCGUUCAACCGAAAUUGGAUAACUUUUUGCAAUGGGGAAGGUAUUCGCAUCCAACCCGUUAUCUCUAAACGUAACCGACCCAGCAUUCGAGUCAUGGCUACGCGACUCAGGCUACCUCGAAAGCCUUGACACCGCCACCACGACAUCGGCCACCGCCGUCACAACAGCCUCCACCAAAGAAACAGCCACAGCCACGACCAUAACUCACAGCCUUUUACAUUAUUUAUACACCUUUAUCUCUCUUCUUACCGCCAACCCUUUUGCUAAACUCACCACUGAUGAUUUCUCAGCCAACACCCCGUCUUGGACCCGUGAGUUUAUUGGGGCUCUUGGGUCUUACUCGUUUCCAUCUUCCCCACACACCCUUAAGUUGAGAGUUCAUGAGAAUGUUAAACGUUAUGCCAGGAAUUAUGCUUCUUUGUUCAUCCUCUUCUUUGCUUGCUCUCUGUAAGAAUUUUGUUUCCUUUCCUGAGUUAUUAUUUUGAGUUAAAAAAAAUUAAAUUUUUGAAUGGUUUUUGUAUGUGGGUGUAUGAAUAUUGAACGAGAUUUUGGGAUGCUUUUGGAUGUGAUUAGAUUUAUGUGGCCUUGAUUGGAUUUUUAACGAUAAUUUUGAUUUGCUAACCUGUGUUUGUAAGGGUUUCAAUCUGCUUAAAUGAAUAAUUAAGUUACAGAUUUUUUUUUCUGGGUUCCAAUUGAUAAAUAACAACACUAUGAGUUUGCAAUUUUGCGUUGUUUUUUUUUUUCCUGUGCUUUGAAACAACUAUAUGAAUACUUAAAAUACUCCGGGAGAAUUGGUAUUUGUGCUGGUUCAGGGCAUUAGUUCAUAGAGUCUCGCCUUUCCAUUGUUUAGUUUUUAACUGAUGGAGAUAUUUUUUUAAUCAUAGUAUUGUGUGUGUUAGUUGUAUUACAAGUUUUUUUUUCUGUGUAUCAUCUGUCUAGUGACAUUGUCUCUGUCUCCAUCUUAUAGAUACCAGAUGCCACUUGCACUUGUUGGGUUGAUAUCAAGUUUGGCACUUUGGGAUUUUUUCAAGUUCUGUAGUGACAAAUGGAACUGGGAUCGGCAUCCUGUGAUUAGGCAGGUUCUGGUUCGCAUUGCACAAUGUGGUGAGUUCUCAAAUAUUUCAUCUUUGAAUCAAAAUGGCAGCCGAUAUUGAGAUAACCUGCUACACUCUUAUACUGUAUGUGGUUGAUGGGGUAAAAAAAUGGUUUUUGACGAUUGUUUUUCCGUAUUGGAAGGGCACUGUUAGUUCCACUCAUAGACUUACUAGGACAUUGCAAAUCGUUACGCCUAGUUGGCCAAGGGAAUGCUGUCUGAACUACACAGUUCCGUAUUGAUUAAGAUAUUUAAGAUUUCUCCUAGGAAGUAAACAUGUUCUGGUUUGGGUCUGAUGACCUUAAGAAAUGUAAAGAGAAAGGGUUUGUAUGACUAAGAUUGUGGCAAAACAGUUUUAAGUUCCAUUAAUCAGUGGAAGAAAAAAAUGUCAUACUUUUGGGAGAAUAUGGAGUCUAUGACCAAUUGACACAGGGUUCAAGCAUGGACUUCAGGAGUUUCUAGCUAGAAUAAGCAUUGUGAUUUGAUUUCUUUCCGCUCAAAGGGUCCUAACCAUAGAACGAGCAAGAAAAUUAGCAUGAAAUAGUACUGUGCUAGAGCAAGUGAUUUAUGAUACAUUUCUCGUUACCCCUAAAUAUGAAUGUGUGCACUUCUGCUUCUAUACUAAUGUUCUUGCCUUCUCUGGAUGAGUUUUGCUUUAAACUUUCCUUGGCAGGUCUUUCCAUUAUACUACAGUCUAGUUGUUGAUAAAUAGUGGAAUUCUUUCGUCGACUUCACAGUAGUAAUUACAUCUCAUCUUUGCAGCUACAUUGGUUGUUCUUAUGCUACUGAAUGUUCAGAUGACUCUAUUCUGUGCACUUGCUAUCGGUUAUGUUGGUAAAUAUUAGAAACUCUUCUUCAUCUUUUAUGAACGUUGCCUUUGCUUAGAGUGAGCUAACAAUUAGUCUACUGCAUUGUAGUCAUGAUUUUGCAUGCUGCAUUUCGUAAGCUCUCUGCUUCAAAGCACCCUUCUCGGAUCAGAUGAAAAUCAAUUUUCCAAACAAAGGUUCCUCAUUGAAGAAAUUUAAAGAUUCGGAAGCAAUUAGUUCAUAAGACUUCUACAGAAGCAAUGAAGAGCAGGGUACCCUAUAAAAGAUGAGAAAUUACUGCAACAAAACCUCGAAAGGGAGUGAGAUAAUCAUACUGGUGGUGUACUCCACUCAGGCACAAUCCAUAGUCAUUUUGUCACCUCAACGGGAGGACAUGACUCCUGCAACAUGUAAGAAAAGAGAAUCAAAUUGUCAUAACAAUAAUUCCAAUUAUACCGCUGUGAUAGAGAGAAAAACGAGAGCAUGCAUAUGGAAAAAAAUUUAAUUUUUAAAUUUCUAAUUUGUCAAAUCGAGGUUUGAUUUCUGAAUUUUUUAGUUGUCAAGUGGAUUAAAUUCUCCCCCGGCGCAUAUAAUGUCUAGAGAAAUUCAUGAAUCUAUGCAAACUAAACCCAUAUUAAAUUUAAUAAUAUCAUUAUCCACAGACUCUCAGUUUUGCACUUUUGCUUACAUAAACAUUAUGGAACUUAAACUUAAAUCCACAUUUUUCAUCACUCUCUUGGUGGCCUCAUGUUUGUUCCUUAAUCUUAUUUUCCUCAUCUUUUUAAUGCAUGCAUAAUUAACUAUAAUAUGACAACUAAUUGGCUGGCAUUUAUAUAUGCAGGCGUGUUAUUAGCAUUAGGCUAAUUAAUUGUUUGGCAUUUAUAUAUGCAAGUGUGUUGUUUAAUAUUUCCAUGCCGGCAGUUGAUGCUCAACCGGAAUCAAAAGCAGUCACUUGUAAAAGCAAUGCCGACUGUGACAAUCCCUGUCAGUCGUUUCGAAUGCGAUCUUGAUACCCAUCUCUGCGUUUGUGUUCCUGCCCGCAAUUCGACCUUUGUUGAAGAGAUUAAAGCUUGUCUUGCAAGUUCUAGUGAUAUUUUGGAUGCUGAAUUGCAAAAUUUGUGGCGUUACAAUCUUUGUUCCGUUUCUUACAUCAUAUGUCAAAUAAAAGUAUCAACUAAGAUUGCUGCCUCUCUUCUGAUAUGCAUACUAAAAUUGUGUACAAAAAUUUACAAAUCAUCUCCAUGUGAUUGGUCCUAGAUUCCUACUAUACAAUGUUGGCUUUCGAGCUGAGUUCGAACUUUUUAGCCGGAGCCCAAGACCAGCCAGAAUACUUAGAAAACAUGCUCUAGCUAGACUUGAUUUUUCUGCCAUUCCUACUUAGAAUUCCAUUAUCAUUGAUUUCAUUGAUGGAUUGUUAUAUUUUUAACACUAAGGGCUCAAAUGAAAAUAAUUAUAAAUAGUGUCUUAUGAUAUAAUACUUUCUAAAAGGUGAGAGCUCAUAUAAUACUGAUAUUUGAAUUAAAAAAUGAUACAGUAGUGAGAAAACAACUAUAGAUUUUAUUUAUAAUGUUAAAUAAAAAAUUAUAACUAUUUUUCAAUUAACAUUGUAACAUUGCACAAUUUAUUAUUAUUUUUGUCACCCGUUGUUAGAAUUCUUUAUCAUUUUUCAUUUCUUAAAAAAGAAUGCUAAAAAGAAAAUUGAACAUAUAUUAACUAUAAAAUUUUACAAACGAUUUAGUACUUUCUCAGAAAUAAGACAGCAUCAUACAUGAUUAAGAAUGCAUAUUUAUUUGAGUAAUUUUACAUUUAUAACCCUGGGAUACAAAUUUUAUUUGUGAUAUAGAGACAUGGAAGUCUCGCAAUAAAUUUAACAAGUAACACCUGACAUGAUUUUGCAUUUUUCCACGGCUUAGUUAUUAAUUAUUAAAUAAUUGAUAACGCUCUUGUGCUUGCUCCGUUCUUUUCUUUUCAGACAAGCUUUUAUAGUCCCAGUGGAAUUGUUUUUACCCUUCCUUUCUUAAAAGUGGAUGUAUAAAACAAAUUGGUCUUGAUCAUAUGGGAGACGAGAUUAUUGUAAGAUUCUUCCUUGAUCUGUUAUAAUCUGAGAGUCAACGAUCUUGAUUCAACUUCUUGACCGGAGAGCUAGCUAAGAGAAGGGAGGUAUGGGAGCCAGCACUAAUGUUUGAAUUGAGAGCUUUAAAGCAUGUUUUUCUUUUAAUUAUUUCUUUGCAUGCUACAGGACUGAUUACAGGGUGGUACCGAGAGAGGAGGAGAUAUGGACAUCAACUUCAGACUAUUUUCAGAGAGGCUGAGAAGGGUGUUAGCUGGUGAAGAAGUCACGUUGCCUGAUGCUGCAAAACAACCUAUUCAGAACCUUCAUGCGGAGGUUGAAAUCGUUACUUCUUGGCUGAGCGAAUUUGAAGAUGAUAUCUCCCUCCUUCUGUUCGAAAAAAUGGCGGAGGAGGAAAGUCAUGACCCAGAUCUGGCGACCGUUAUGGACGAAAUCAAUUGGUUUACGUAUGAAUCUGAGAAGGUGAUUGACACAUUCAUCAACAGCAUCACUCAACAGAAGACUCAAAGCAGCUGCAGCAAGGACAUUUUUGAUGCUCUGCAAGGACUCCAAAGCAGAAUCACUGAUAUUAAGCAACGGAUGCAACAACUUAAGCACAUGGAUUCCAAAAUCAUUGAUCGCAUCAAAACUUCUAAAGCUGAAGCCGGUAUAUCUUCAUCUUCUAAAAGUAGGGACACGGUGGGUCUAGAUGAUAGAAUGGAGGAGUUGUUAGAUCUAUUGAUUGAGGGACCACCUCAGCUUUCAGUGGUGGCCAUACUUGAUAGCAUUGGGUUGGACAAGACGGCUUUCGCCGGAGAGGCUUACAACAGCAGUUAUGUGAAGCAUUAUUUUGAUUGUCACGCUUGGAUUACAGAACCUUACAGCAAUGAAUAUGAUGCUGACCAAAUAUUAGAUAUCGUUAUUAAGUUUCUGAUGCCUUCAUCUAGGUUGAGUGAAAUAAUGGAUAAAAAUUAUGAAAUGAAAAAAAUUAUUCUUCAUGAAUAUCUGAUGACCAAGCGGUAUUUGAUUGUGAUUGAUGAUGUAUGGAGCAUUGAUAUGUGGGAUGUUAUUCAAGAAAUACUUCCGGAUAAUCAGAAUGGAAGUAGAGUAUUAAUAACACUCACUGACAUUAGGAUCAUCAUCUCAUUUCAGUUCGAAGACGGAGAGAACAUGCGGCUUGAUUUAGUGCCCACUGGAGGACCAUUGAGAGCUACAUAUAAAGGACGGCCUUUCCUCAUCUUAUAUCAUGGAAGCAUCUCAUUAGAAGAAAAUAUACGGGAAGCAGUGGAGACACCCCUUGGGCUUCGGUACAUCAAAUGUUUAAUGUUACCUUUUUGCUUGAAACCUUGUUUUAUCUACUUAUCUGUGUUUCCCGCACACCAAGAGAUAUCCACCAGGCAGUUAUAUCAGUUGUGGAUAGCUGAAGGUUUCAUUCCAGACAAUAGUGAGGCAACUGCUGAGAGUUACUUGGAACAACUUAUCAAGGAAGGCUUUGUUGAAGCAAAGAAGAGAAAAGCCGGAGGCACUAUCAACACAUGCUCUAUUCCUGGUCGUUGGCGUCCCGUGCUGCACACAGUUCCUUAUAUGGUGGAAUUCAUCUGUUCCCCUUUCAUGGAUCCAAAAGGUAAAUCACCAAAAAAAGCCAAACGGUUAAACGCUGUUGAAAGAGAGGGUGAUUUUGCUUGCUUAGAUGAUUAUGACUCGCAACUGCAUUCUUUGUUGUGCUGCUCUCCAGAAACCCGCCACCUUGACCCUAUAGAUUGGGAGAAAUUUUGUGGAAUGUUCAAACUUCUCAGAGUAUUGGACUUGGGAUCUCUUGUUCUCAUCCAGUAUCCAUCCGGAAUUGAAAAUUUAUUUCUUUUGAGAUAUUUGAAGUUGAAUAUCCCUUCCCUCAACAGCCUGCCUUCAUCAUUGUUAAGCAAUCUUCUGAACCUCUACACCCUAGACAUGCCCUUUAGCUAUAUAGAUCAUACAGCAGAUGAAUUUUGGAAGAUGAACAAACUCAGGCAUCUAAAUUUUGGCUCAAUCACACUUCCUGCGCAUCCAGGAAAAUUCUGUGGCUCUCUGGAAAAUCUCAAUUUCAUUUCAGCCUUGCAUCCUUGCUGCUGUACUGAAGAUAUAUUGGGCAGACUACCUAAUCUUCGAAAUCUCCGAAUACGGGGAGAUUUAAGUUAUAAUCAAUCUUUGUUGUCCAAAAGUCUCUGCAGAUUGAGCUGUCUCGAGUCAUUGAAGCUGGCGAAUGAAAGCAAGAUGCCACGGCUCUCCAAAAUCGUCCUUGCUGAAUACCUAUUUCCUCAUAGUCUAACCCACUUGAGUUUUUCUAAUACUGACCUAAUGGAUGAUCCCAUGCCGACACUAGAAAAGCUGCCGCUUCUUCAAGUGCUCAAACUGAAGCAAAACUCGUAUUCAGGUAGAAAGCUGACUUGCGGCUCUUAUGGUUUUCCGAACCUCAAGGUGUUGCACCUGAAAUCAAUGCUAUGGCUAGAGGAGUGGACUAUGGGGAAUGCAGCCAUGCCAAAACUAGAAUGCUUGAUUAUCAACCCUUGUGCUUACUUGAAAAAGAUGCCUGAACAGCUCUGGUACAUAAAGAGCUUAAACAAGUUCGAUUGCUGGUGGCCUCAGCCAGAGCUGAGACAAAAGCUACGGGAAUUUGAGGAUAAGGAACAGUGCGGCAUUCAACUAUAUCCUUACGGAAUUUGAUGUAUGUUUCUCGUUUUAACCAAUUUCUUCAACUUUUAAUUAUUUAUCCAAUUUCAUGUACUUUUUUUCCCUUCUCUCCAAUAUAAAAAUGGUUAUACAAAGUGUUUUCUUCUAAUUUGUCUCAACAUUAAGUACCCUUUAGAGUUUCCGAUGCUCACCCCAAUCAUCAAGCCCUCUUUAGCAACAGUGGAGACUUAUGUACUCUUCCAUAUUCAACCAUGAACCUAGCAGACAUCGGUGUUCAUUUGUUUUAGUAGUUAAGAAAAAAAAAUGUAAUUUAAAUUUCUUAUUUUUCACAAUUUCUUAAAUGACUUGUGUAGGUGAAAUCAGAGCAGAAAACAUCAUGACUGCAGUGCGAGCUUCAAUUUCAACCAGAAUCCUUUCCGUCGUCACUUCUGCUGUCUACACAAAUAAAUCCUGAUCCUACGGUGGUGGACUUUUUUUUGGUUUCUUUGUUUCCGCUGUCUAUUCAUAAAUAAGAAGUUUCGUUUCGGAUUUUUCAGUUGAGAGUUCAUUGAUUUGUGCUUCAGCCUCGGUUCGUUAAUUGUGUACAAAAAAUAAAUAAUAUUUGUGAUGCUUUCUAGUGUUUGGGUUGAGUUGAAUGUGUUUUCUGUCUUUUGUUCUGUUGCUUGCUCUGAAAUCCUGUUUCAGAGGCUGGGCAAGUCUGGCACUCAAUAUGUUUCGUUUAUUUCGAGAAAAGAUUGAUUAUUGAUGAACUUCACACUUGGCUGAAUAUCUUAGUAAACGUUCUUGUGGAGAAAUCCUAAUACCCGCUUAGGCACUACAAUAAGGCAGAAAUACUAAUACUGCUUUACAUUUGUUGAUUGAUUAACAGCUUUGUUCUCUGCUGCUCUUUCUUUAUCUGAUACAGAAAAUUCCUCCAAUAUGAUUGCUAGUUGCUACUAACUAUCGAAGUAUUCCUCCUUUGGCUCAUUCAAUGGAAUAUGAGGGACAUAUUACUGAGACUGAGCCACGCUUCAUUGCCUUCCCGGAGAAAGUUGAAGUUUGGGCCGUGUGCUUGGGACUGGAAUGAAGAGCGGCAGCGAAAUGACUACAAGAAUUGCCAUUUAGAGGGGCAUUUUUGUGACUACUGAUGUGUCCCUCUAAUGGUUCAAUAAAUUGAUUGGUCAAAAUAAUUCUAUUAAAUUUAAUUAAAUUUAAUCGAAUAUGCCUCAAGUGUUUACUCUUAAUAAAUAAUUCAGAGUUAUUUUGAAAUAAGGUUAAUGUGAGUUUGAAGUGUCGUUGUUCAGUUUGCAUGAAUAUAUUUUGAAUAUAAACUUCAAGAAGGUAUAAUUGCAAUCCCUAGCUCAAAUUUAUAACAAAUCAAUUAUAAAAAAAUUCAGAGCGAAAUUCAGGGAGUAUACUCUAUUAAAUUAUGUUCUAUAUUAGAUCACAUGUUAAAAUAGUUAUCAAGAUAUACAUAUAUAUACGUAUUUGCAUAAAUAAAAUGUACUGCGACAUUACGUAAUGCAUUUGAGUGGGCAAAGGAGGAACUUUAUCACUUGUAAGGCUCUUUUGUUUGUGGUUACUCAAACCAAUUUGCUUGAAUAUAUCCUGCAAGAGCCUUUUUUUUUAUUGCUACCAUAUGCCAUGGUUGUGAACUAAAAGGUUCUUAAACACAAGAUAUAUGUUAAAAGAUUUUUCAUAACCAGUCUUUUAACACCAUUUUCAUCCAUAUCCGUUUAACAACCGAUCUUUAAUAACCAGUCUUCAUUGCUCUAUUCAGAUGUAAAUAGUAAGCAGUUAUAAUGUAUUUGUUUUAUUUAAUUAAAGGAAAAUUAAGUGAUGAAAUUUGGUGUAGGCCAAAGAAAAAGAGUAAGUGUAGAAAUUUAAUUUGGUUUGUUAGAAUUCCAUUACUUGGCCAAUAUCCUUAACAUUGAAUGAUUGAAUAAAUUUUUAAUUUUUCGUUUUCAAGAGGUUAUUAGAUUUGUUUGGAGGUAAAUUUUGAAGGAUAUUUAUGGACUAGUUGAAAGCUGACAUGUGGUAUAAGAAUAAUAAAUAAGAAGUUGCCACCUCAACUGUCCUACACGAGCUAAUCAAGGAAAAAAAAUAAAGUUUGGUAAAAUUAGCGUCACGUGAAGAGCAAGCUCAUUUGAUAUUUGAGUAAAAAGCUGCCAUGCAGUAUAAAAGAUUAAACUGCCCUUUGGUACCCAACCUAAAUAUAUUCACUUAAAAGGGACAAGAGAAGCACUCCAUUUUUCUUUUUCUCUCUCUUCGACUCUCUUGAGCUCGAGUCACAACUAGUAAUUAAUUCAAUUCAAAUAAAAAAAAAAUCAGUGAAAAAAACAACCAACCAUAAGUUAAAGUAUUGGAUAUGCCUAUUUAUCCUCUAAGGUGGUGUUUUUUUUUUUUUUUUUUUAAGGGAAAGUAAAGCUUUCCAAACUGACAUUGAAAACAACAGCAAAACAUUGUCAUGGAAAAUUUUCCAGCCACAGAGCAGGUCUUUCAAAACUUAAAGCUAAUUUAGCUAAUGAAUCAGCCAAAGCAUUACAAGCUCUAAGGUGGUGUUUGAUUUUAAGAAAUGGGAGGAGAAUAAAAGAGUGGAAUGGAAGAGAAAUGAGUCGAUGAGAAUAGUGAAAUUAAAUUUCAUUAUUUGGUUUGAUAUAAAAUUUGAUAAGAAAAAAAAUUAUAAUUUUUUUCUUUGAAUAAAUUUAUUAUCUAUCUUAAAUAUUAAAUUAUCUAUAUUAGUAAUAAAAUAUAAUUUGAUAUUAAUACUAAAUCGUUUUAAUUUCAAAAAGUUCUAAAACAAUUCAUGAUUUAUAUUUAAUAUAAAAUAUAAAAUAAUUUAAUAUACUAACUAUUUAAUAUAAUUUAAUUUAAAUAAAAGCCGGUCAACAGUAGCGGUCAAUAUAAGUCAACAUCGGUCAACAAAAGUUAACACCGAUCAGCGGUGGCCGGUGACUUUCCGACGGAAUUUCAGCGGCUUCCGGCGAUGUCAAAGGGUCCGGCGACGGUCCGAUGAAGUUAAUUUAUAUUUAUAUAUUUUCAUAUUAAAUAAAAUAAAUAAGUUUAUUCAUUUUAUUAAAUUUCUUAAAUCAUUCAUUAAAUUUAAUUAAUAUAAAAUUAUUUAUAAAAUUAAAUUAAUAAAAUAAAAUCAUAAAUAAUAAUUAUUAAUAGCAUUAAAUAAGUUAAAAUAUUGGAGGGUAAAUUUAGAAGCUUGGGUUUUUACCAUAAGAGAAAUUUGAAUUCUUCACUCUUUGGUAUGGAAUUUAAAUUCUACAUUAUAAAGGAUAUUAAAUUUUAAUAAAAAUUAAAUUCUUAUAUAUUUUGUACAAUCAAACAAUAAAAAUAAAAGUAGAAUUUAAAUUAUUUUCCUAUUCUCAUUCUCUGUUUCCAACCAAACAUCACCUAAUAAUUACUUUAAAUAUUCUAUUAUUCUACACACUCAUCUAUUAAAUUUAAAAAAAUUAAGUUAUAUUUUGUACGGUCUUUAAAAUACUAAAAAUCCUUAAGCAUUUUAAAUUAAUGACAUUUAUUUACUCUCAUUCAACCGAAAUCGGAUAGCUUUUUUGUAAUGGGGAAGGUAUUCGCAUCCAACCCGUUAUCUCUAAACGUACCCGACCCAGCAUUCGAGUCAUGGCUUCGUGACUCAGGCUACCUCGAAAUCCUCGACACCGCCACCACCACGUCGGCCGCCGCCGUCACAACAGCCUCCGCCAAAGAAACAGCCGCAGCCACGACCAUAACUCACAGCCUUCUACAUUAUUUAUACACCUUUAUCUCUCUUCUCACCGUCAACCCUUUUGCUAAACUCACCACUGAUGAUUUCUCAGCCAAGACCCCAUCUUGGACCCGUGAGUUUAUUGGGGCUCUUGGGUCUUACUCGUUUCCCUCUUCCCCACACACCCUUAAGUUGAGAGUUC